UUUCAUUUCCUACGGUACCACCAGUUACGAGGAAGUCCUUUUCAUCACCAACUUUCCAAACAGUUUGGUUAACACACGAUGUACUUGAUGUUCUAACCGAGAACAUGAUAUGUAUGGCAUACAUUUCACGCAGUACCAAAUCAUCAUCAUUAAGAAUGAACUUUACGGGUGUCCCAUCUCCCGUUAAACCGAGAUACGGAAUAUGCAGCAACACAUCGUUUGGGCAUUUAUGACCUCCAAUAUUAUCCAAGUAUACAGAUCCACCUUCGAUGAUGGGAGUCUCAAUAAUGUACUCCUUGCCAAUCUUGACUGGAUCGCCGUCUUGAUCAAGUACGGCAGGGAGUACAAGAUUAUCAUCAUGAGUAGUUGUUGGCAGGACAAUUGGAUUAUUGUCCCAUGUGAAAGAUUGACAAAAGGAAACCAAACAGAGCGUACUUGAAACCAAGAGGAACAUCAAAAUAUUAAUGGAUUUCAUUUUUAAUUUGACUGUCUUGUGUGUGUAUUUUGCUUUCUAUAGUUGUUAGUCUAUCUCCAAUUUAUAGACCACCACAUGAUGUACGUAAGGGCAUUUUUGAGAAACAUAAAAUACCCACCUUUUAGGAAAAUAUACUCUUCCGCCUAUUCAAGAUUUUGAUGAAAUGAUGGAUGCACUAUUACGAAAAGAUAUAAAUUUUGAUCGGUUUGACAUUUAGGUUCUUAUAACUGGAAAUCAUUAAAUUUUAAAAUUAUAGGUCCAAAAUUAUUUUCUAUCUAUACGAACCACUUACAGAGGUGUUACCCAAUUUCAGGAAGGAAAAUAAAACAAGAUAGAUAAAAGAUUCAUAUUUAUAACCUCACUUAGACAGGUGCUCCGAAUCAUCAUCGCACAACAUUAUAUGAUACUUCGAGUGUGGGUUCACACAUCUAUAUUUAAAUAUUUUAAAAAAAAAAUAGAACACUACUAUAUAUGAUCUAGGGAGGGAAGCAUGAGUUCACGUGAACCCGGUGUCCCCCUCCUGGAUAAGCCUCUAAUCCUAACCAUGAUUAGAAGUUUACUUUAAUUAAUUAAAUCUCAAUCAUUUAUGUUUAACCAUGAUAUAUGCAUCUUCCUUCCAAGUAAGAACUAAUUGGAGAGGAGCUCCAAAGAAAAUUGACGCACUACCAUUCAUAGAAAUAUUUGUAUUUAGUGUUUUUCAUCCAUUAUAUUCAAAGAUAAACAAUUUUGUUUAAAACAAUGAAUUAUUUAAAUUUCUUCGAAGGUAUAGUGAUAGGAGCGAUAAUUGAGUAAUUAUUUAUCGCAAAUUAACUAUAUGUGUUCACAAGAAAGAGUCCCAUCUACUUUAAUUUUAUUAAUUGCUUCAAUAAGUCUUAUUUCCUGUCUUUUUCCUAUCGUAAUUAUGCAAACCAUGAUUUAUGCUAUUCUCAUACAUUAAAUAUUUUGUUGUUUAAGACUUUAUUUUAGCACACACAAAAAUCAUGUUUUGUUACUAUUCUCCUACGUGGAACGAUCACUACUAAAAAACUGCUAAAAAACGACGGAAGAAAAAGCGACGGACAAUGUCGCUCCAAAAAAGCGACGGACUAAGAGAUGCCGUCCGUCGCUUUUUAAUUAAAAUAAUUAUUUUUAAAAUUAUUUUACAAAAAGCGACGGACUGUAUAUCUUAGUCCAUCGCUUUUUUUACGGAUUUUUGCGCUAAAUAUAUAUAUAAUUAAUAAUAAUUUAUUUAAUAUAUAUAGAGACGUCGUCCGUCGCUUUUUAUUAAAAAUAAUUAUUUANNNNNNNNNNNNNNNNNNNNNNNNNNNNNNNNNNNNNNNNNNNNNNNNNNNNNNNNNNNNNNNNNNNNNNNNNNNNNNNNNNNNNNNNNNNNNNNNNNNNNNNNNNNNNNNNNNNNNNNNNNNNNNNNNNNNNNNNNNNNNNNNNNNNNNNNNNNNNNNNNNNNNNNNNNNNNNNNNNNNNNNNNNNNNNNNNNNNNNNNNNNNNNNNNNNNNNNNNNNNNNNNNNNNNNNNNNNNUUCUUGGUCAAAUAUUUUAAGAAAGCGACGGACAAUGUCUCUUAGUCUGUCGCUUUUUGGUCAAAAUGUUGGUCAAACAUUUUUUUUAAAAAGCAACGGAUAUAGAGAUGUUGUCUGUUGAUUUUUUAAAAAUAUCUGCACUAGCAGACGCGAUUUUCCCCAUUUUCUCCAUAUAAAAAACAAAAUUGAGAAAAUAUUUUGAUUUAAUUUUAUUUAAAUCGUCUUCCGGAGAAUGAUUUUGUGUAAAAUAAAAAACAAAAAAAAUUAUAAUACCGACUUCCAGAUGUCGGUAAAAUUAAAUAGUAUGUAAUAAAUUAAUAUUUUCAAUUAACUUUAAAUAAAUCGUCCUCCGAAUGACGGUUUUUAUAUAGUUAAAAAAUAAUUUAAUAGAAAUACUGAUCUCCUGAUGUCAAUAUUAUUUAAUUAACAUGAUUACUUUUUAUUUAUCUUAAAAUUUAAUGUGAUACCGACCUCAUAAGGUCGGUAUUUUUUAUUAUGAUUACUUUUUAUUUAUCUUAAAAUUUAAUGUGAUACCGACCUCAUGAGGUCGGUAUUUUUUAUUAUAUCUAAUUACUUUUAAUAAAAGCGACAUCCGGAGGUCGGUUUGUUUAAAAUAUUCCUAUUAAUAAUCAUAAUUUUGCUAUUGUGCAUAAUAUUAAAAUUUCAUUUUACACCUACGAUUAAUUGUUCAAAAAGUGUAACAAUUUUGUAUACUUUUACAAAUAAAAUGUUAGAAUUCGUGAAAUAAAUAAAAAAAUAUCUAUAAUCCAUAUUUAGAGUAUGAAACUACGUUGAUAUGAAUUAGGAGAUAAUUAUACUUAUAUUUAUAGAGUAAUGUACAAAUCCUAUCAGUCCGCGCCUCAUCAUAAACUUAAUAUCUCAUGUCAUGAUGUAGUAGAGGUGAAGAGCUAACAUAUAAUCCAUUCCAGUAUGAAAUGCGAGAUAGUAUUAUUAUAUACGUUCGAUCUUGAAUGGAUGUCAAGUGUAGUGAUCACCUCCUAAUUAUGAUGACAUGUAAAGGAUACUUCAUCGGAGUAUGAAAUACAUUGAUUAAUUAUAUAUAUAUUCCUCGAGUAGUUUAACAAAUCAAGUCUUAUAUACUAGUGGUUCAGAUAUGAAAUACAUUAUCAAUUAAAGAAAUACCAAUGAUCAAUUCAAGGAGAUUUAUAUAUUAAAUUUGAUAUUGAUAUACUUUUGUUGAUCAAUAAAAUUAAAUUUAUAUAAUUAGAAGGUAUAUAAUUUAAAUUUAUAAAAUUAACUUGAUCGAUAAAUUAAAUUUAUUUAAUUAAACUUUUGUUGAUGUGUAGUUAAAUUUUAUAUAUAUAUAUAUGUUAAACAUUUUAAAUCAUAACUUAUAGUAUAGUAUUUUCAAAUGUGGAAAUUUAUUUUGAAAAAAAUUAAAAAUUUAAUGUCAAAAUGAAAAAGUUUGAAUAUCAUGAGGUGAAAAGUAUCACAUAAAUUGAGAUAUUAAAAAUAGGCCGCCUUAAAAAUACUGUCAUAGAAGGGUGAUAGUGAUUACUUAGGUUGAUACUGUAAUUUAUUUAAAUUUGAUGGUGUUAAACAUCAAUAAAGUAGAAAUUGACAUCAAUGAAAACAAUACAAUAAAUUUUUAAAAAUUUAUAUUAUUUUACUUAGUUUUGAUUUGUUAAGAAAACCCGAAGAAACAGCAGAACCAUUCGUAAAAAAGUUAAGCCAAAAUACAUAACAAAGUUUUUUCAAAAUAUAUAAAAAAAAAUUACUAUCAAUUUAACCAUUCUUAAGACUAUUUUUAAUUAAUUAAAUUUAAAUUACUCAUUCUAGAAAAGUGAAAAACGUUAUUAUGAAAUAGAGAGUAGUUGAAUUCAAAAGUGAUAACUUAAACUGCUGUUUUAUCAUAAUUUUGAAUUUGAAAUAUAAAUAUUUAAAUUUUAAAGUAAUUUUUAAAAUUUAAAGUUGUAUUUGAAUAAAUAUUUUUAGAGUUUUGCAAUGAAAAUUUAAAAAAUCCAAAAUUUGCCAAAUUAACAUUUAAAACUUAGAAUUUUUGUGAAGAUCGAUUUCUAAAAUUUAAUUCAAAAUUUAUGACUAAACUUCAACUAAAUAAUUGAUUAAACGGAAAAGACUAGUCCUUUUCUUGUCAUUGAUCAAUCAACUCCGCCGUGCAAUAAUGAUGUGUAUUUUUUGUUUUAUUUUAAGGUGGGUCCAAUAAUGAUGAAAUUUAAAUUUUAAUUAAAAUGGUUCAAAUUUGCUUCAUCCCAAACUCAAAACACAAUUUUUCUAAUGUGAUUUUUGAAAAUCCCUAACAUUACUCACUAAAAGUAUUAGUAUUAAUUUUCAAAUUAAAGAAAAUGGACUCUCUUUUAUACCACUCUAAUCACUGUAUGUAAUACACUUUGUCUUUUAUUUUAAAAAUGGAAAAGAGUUAAAAUUACCUCUAAACUGUGCAAAAUAUAUCACUUAUACCCUUCGUUACAUUUUGGGAUAAAAAAUGCUCCUGUUGUUAUCCUAAGAGACCACAAAUACCCUCAAGAGUUAACAUCCCAAAUUCUAGUGACAUGGCAAGUCAUGUGGGAUUAAUCCUUCCACCUAAGCGUUGCCAGCUACGAUUCACUACAAAAGAACCAGACCUUUAGUGGCAACAACAGUCGCCACAAAAGCCCAAAAUAUCGUCACUAAAGGGUUUUUAACAUUAAAUUCUAAUUAUGUUUUUUUCUUCAUUAUUUUAAAAAAACCAAAAAUGAUAUCGAUUAAGGAGGAGUUUGAAGACACUAUAUGUUUUAUUUUUAUGUCAUAUGUAAAUGUAUAAAAUGUACAAUGAUGCAUUAUGUAGUAGGAGAUUUGAAUCGAUAUGUAAUUUUGAUGAUUUUCGUAAUAAUAUUGGAUGUUUUUAAUGUUAAUAGUGCAAGUUAUUUAUUUUAGAAAAUUAGGUUGCAACCGAAAAUUAAUUAUCAUAUUAUUUUGUUGAAAAAAUAGAUUUUACUAGUGAAUGGUUGUUGCAGCCUUAAUUGCCACUAAAAAUCACUCAUAACCUUUAGUCUCAAUAUUUUGAGAUUUUGUGGCGACUUUGUCGCCGCUAAAGGUCAAGUUCUUUUGUAGUGAAUCUUAGUUGGCAACGCUUAGGUGGAGGAAUUAGUUCCAUGUGGUGUGCCACAUCACUAAAAAUUUAGAUAGUUAACUCUUGAGGGUAUUUUUGGUCUCCUGGGAUAAUAACGGGGGAAUUUUUUAUCCCAAAAUGUAACGAAGGAUAUAAGUGGUCUAUUUCGUAUAGUUCAGGGGUAAUUAUGACCCUUUUCCGUUUUAAAAAAUUAUCACACCCCACUCUACAUGGACAAUACAUUCAACCUUGACAAAAAUUAAAUAAAUUAUUAGUAUUAGUUAAAAUUAAUUUUUUUAAAAAUUAUUAUCCAAAAAUAAUAUUAUGUAAAAUAUUUUUUUUACUCCACUCCAUCACUUCCUCUCAUCGNNNNNNNNNNNNNNNNNNNNNNNNNNNNNNAAAAAUAAUUCUACCCACCCCACCUAACCCUCCGCUUUGAAUUUUUUUUCUCAUUUAGUGUUAGAUAUACACAUAUCAAAAAUAUUUUUUACUUGCCACCGCAAGAUUUUUUUAAAUUUAUAAUUUAUUUAUGUUAUAUUUGUACACUAGAAGAAAAAAAAAUUCUAAAAAUAUAUGUAAGUACAUAUCUAACACAAAAUGAGAAAAAUGUAAAAUAAAAAUAAAAAUUAAGAGCGGAGGGUUAAAUAGAUGGGUAGAAUUUUAGUUUUUUAAAAAUAAAAUAGUAUCAACUUUUUUUUGCAAGAGGGGCGGGAAUGAGUGGGUGGUUUUUUCUUUGGGAGGACAGGGGGAGGAUGAAAUAUGAAUUUUUUAAAAGAUUUUUUUUUAAAAGGAUGGGGAUUGUCACGGGGGGGGGGGGGGCCCNNNNNNNNNNNNNNNNNNNNNNNGUGUACAGUGAGGAGGUGGUGGAGUGGGGUAAUUUUUUUUUUAUGGAUAGUAAUACUUUAACCUUUAAUUUUUAAUUAAUAUUAAUAGUUUAUUAUUCAAUUUUUGUCAAGAUGAAAUAUUUUAUCCAUGUAGAAUGUCAUGUGUCAAGGUUUAAUCAAAUAAAAGGGAGAGUGCAUUACACACACCACUGAGGUGUGUUUUUCAAACUAAAAAAAUGAUAGUUUAGAUAUGAAACUCACGCUCUCAAUAGUUUAGGUAUGAAACAAAAAAAAAAGGAUUGUUUAGGUGUGUUUUUUGACAUUUAUCUCUUUUUUUAAUUACUAUAUGCCCAACACAUUAAGAAGUAAAAUUCAUAGUGACUAAUGCUAAGAAAAGUCUUAUUCAAUCAUUGAUCAAUCAACUUUAUUUUUUUGUAUUAUUAUAUAAACAUUUUGUCUUAAUUGGAGAAGGAGUUUACUGGUUGGAAUCUAAAAUUGUUAAGAUUGUUUUUAACAAUGCUAAAGAUAGAAGGUGUCCUUCUAAGGAAAUUGGGAGAGGUACGAGCAUUAUAGCAUAGGCCAAAGCAGCUUAUUUUGGAGCCAAAUGGUGGGUGAAAAAUGAAUAUUCAAACUUUAUUUUAGAAUGUGAUUUUCUGAUUAUAAUUAAUAUGAUCAAGGAUAUAUCUCAAAUGGCCUGAAAAUUGCUGGAUAUUAUUAUGGAGACAAGAAGAAUUACUUUACAGGCCAAUGCGAUUGUUCGACAUUGUUUCAGAAAGACGAAUUAAGUGACGGACAUACUAACUAAAUAUUGUUUAUAUAACAAGGACGUCUUGAUUUUUUAUGGAUCAAAAACUUAAAUAUACAAUUUAACCACUUAAAUAAUCCCUAUAUAACAAUAGUUUAACUUUUUACCUGCAUAGCAAUAAAUUUUUUACAAAUCAAAAAUAAAUAAAAAGUAAAUCGAUAAAUUAUAAAACAACAAUACACGUUCUUAUAUUAAAUAAAAUUUCAUUCCUUAGGUUUCUCUUAUUUUGUUAUUUACCUUCCACAAAUCUCUCAAUAAUUAAUCCCUCAAUAUUUUUAUUUCCUUAAUUUUCUCCUCUUUUUAAAAUUUUUUCUUAAAAUAUUGAACAAAACAAGUUCUCUUUUUUUCUCUCCACCCUUUUUUCUUCUGAAUUUUCUCUCUCUCGUUUUCUUAUUUCUCUCUCUUCACGUCUCUUUCUCCUCUCUCUUUUUUAUAUUUUACCAUUUCUCAUCCCAUUUUAUUUUCUGAAAAAUUUCUUUGUUCUUUUUUAUUUUCCCCCUUCAAUUUUUUUUUGGUUAAAUUAUUUUUUAUAUCAAUGUAGAUGGAAUAUAUAAUCAAAAAUUAAAUUUAUCAUCAAUGUAUGAAUUUAUUUAUUUUAAUUUAUUUGGUUAUAAUUUGAUAUAAUAUAUUCAUUAUGGUAAAAUUGAAUUAGAUUAAUUUGAACUUGACAUCAAAGUUAAAUCAUAUUGUACACCAUGUAAAUUAGUUUAAUGAUACUAAAAAGUUGGUAUAUAUAUGAUUAGAUUAUGGUGUUACGUAUUAUAGGGUUGUAACAUAUAACUAAAAUUAACUUUAUCAUCAAUUAUAAAUCAAUAUCUUUUAUAGUUCUAAUCCAACAUAUCACCAAAAAAUUAACCAUGCCAUACAUCAAAGUACAUACACUAUAACUUAUUUCAACUUUAAAUCAACAAAUCACCAUUAUUUUUUAACCAACAUAUCCACCAAUUAUUUUUAGUUGUUAUAGUUAUUAAAAUUUGAACUUGACACAAAGGUUACACCACAUUGUACACCAUGCAAAUUAGUUUGAUGAUACUAAAAAGUUGGUAUAUACUUGAAUAGAUUUUGGUGCUAUACAUUUUAGGGUUGGAACAUAUAACUAAAAUCAACCUUACCAUCAAUUAUAAAUCAAGUUUUUUUUAUUGUUCUAAAUUAACAUAUCACCAAAAAAAUUAGUCAUACCAUACAUCAAAGUAUAUACACUAUAACAUAUUGCAACUUUGAAUCAACAAACCACCAUUAUUUUUUAACCAACAAAUCCACCAAUUAUUUUCAGUUGUUAUAGUUAUUAAAAUUUGAACUUGACACAAAGUUACACCACAUUUUACACCAUGUAAAUUAGUUUGAUGAUACUAAAAAGUUGGUAUAUACUUGAUUAGAUUAUGGUGUUAUGCAUUUUAGGGUUGAAACAUAUAACUAAAAUCAACCUUACCAUAAAUUAUAAAUCAAUUCUUUUUUAUUGUUCUAAAUCAACAUAUCGCCAAAAAAUUAGCCACACCCUCCAUCAAAUUGAAAUCAACAAAGUACCAAUAUUUUAACUAUAUCAUCCAUUGAAAUAUAUACACUAAAACAUACCACAGUUAAAAAUCAAUAAAUCACCAAUUAUUGUACCAGAUCAUCUACCAAAGUAUAUUCCUUAAUACAUAUCACUAUUUAAAAUAACAUAUCAUCAAUAAUUGUAUCAAAUCGGUCACCAAAGUGUAUACACUAAAAUAUUCUUGUGUUUAAAAAUUAUUCCGAUAAUUUAUGGACCACAUGAUACAAAUCAUAUUCACUAUAAUAAUGCAGAUCUUUUUCAAAUAAACAAUUAUAAUUUUUGGUGUUGAAUAAACAACCGGGUUGUUGACAUCGGUAUUAGCCUUCAUCAAACAAGGACUCUUUCGGGGAGUAUUAUCAAAAGCAACUUUCGUACUCAUAAUCGAUUUAUUCAAGAAGCAUUUUUUUUUGUAUUGUAAGAGAUGAUUUUGAAAAGAAACACAAAGAGAUAUUUUCAAGAAGGAGAAACAAACCUUUUCUUGAAAAAGAUGAAAAAAAAAUGUGCAGCAAUGUGUUAAUACCAGGAAAAAAAAUAGUGCAUCAAUGGUAUUUCUUCGUGUAAGGUUAACAAGAGAGAGAAAUUGAGAUAUUUAUUAAAGGAACAUAUCCAAAAAUAAUUGUGAUUGAGAUUCUAAAAAUAAAAUAAAAGAUAAAAUAUGACUCCUCAAAAUUCAGUCCACUAACCAAUAAAAUAGGACACAAAUCGUGUAGAUAUUUAUAUUUUAUAAUAAAUUGUCAUAUUUGUAAUUAAAAUAUUAAUGUUGUACAUAUAAAGACUAAAAUAAUAUUAUGUAAAUUAAGGUCUUAAAUAGUAUAUUCUUGUAAUUUUUCCAUUUUUUAUCCUAGAGAUUUGCCAAAAGAUGCAACUGGCCCGUACACCUUUAAUAAGAUUCGGAUGUGUAACAACCUGGUUCCCGUCGUUAUAGAAAAGUCAACGGAAAAUUUUUUUGGACCGAAAAACUUUUUAGUAGUUACUUGAAAUUUUCCAACCUAGUCCAGAUUUGGACGAAAUCAGAGUCAGUAAGGUCUAGGGAAAUCUGGUAACAAAUGGGAGAUCUAAUUACGAAUUUGAUCACAUGAGUAGAUAGCUAAGACGUUAAGGAAACCGUACGACUUUACGAAAUUGAAUUCGGGCGAGUAGAACUCCCAAAACUGAUCUUAGCGUGAACAAAUAAUUUUUGAGUGUCAUGGGAUAAAUGUGUGUUGUAAAAUGGGGGUUCAGAACUCUUAAUUUAGCUCUCUGUCUCCGUGCAAGCCACCAAGGCGGGAUUAUUCCUGCCAAGGUGGGGCCGCUGUAGCGGGAUGAGGUUUGCUGUGACGGGACAAUCGCGACUUAAGUUGAAAAUAAACCCCAAAAAUGUCAUUAUUCUGCAAGUUUCGUCUUUGAGAGCUAAGGAACGACCCCAGGUGAUUUCUUGAAGGUUUUCCACCCCUUCUAUCACUAAAGGUACAAAUUUAACUCCCCUAAUCGUAUUUCGAUCCAUAGAACGUAGUUUCUUGGGUAAUUAUCGUUGGGGGAGGGUUUUGAUCUGAAGUUAAUGGUGGAAAAAGCCCUAAUUUGGUUAUAAUCCGGGUAAUUAGGCCUCGUUUAUUGAUCCUUGCGUUAAUUGUAUGUUUUUAUACCACGAACAAGCGGGAAGAAUCUGAAAAGGGAAGAUUCAAGUGCCUUAGAGGGAUUCAAGCUUGGCUUGAGGUAGAUGAUGGUUUUGAUUUCAUGUUGUGUGAUAUAUGUUUGUACUUGCUUCAUUAUAUUUCAUGUAUGUAUGCGAAUGUUGCAUUAUUGAUCACACUAAUCGUAAAUGAGUAUGAACGAAUAAUUAUAUGCCAUGAAUCACCUCUUAGUUGUAUGAUUGUGAGAAUGUACAUUUUGAUUGUGAUUGUGGUAUUUUGAAUGGAGCGGGUGUCACGUUUCGACACGCUAAUUGGGAUCGGAUGUUAAAAUAAUUAAUGAUAAUUAAUAAGGGCAUAUAAAUAGGAGAUUCAUAAAAAAGAGGAAUAUUUAUAUUCCUUGUUUAGCUCAAAGCAGUUAAAAUCGUUCAAACAACUUUCUUUUCUUUUGUUAAAAGGUUUCUCUCUCUUCUCAAUAUUUUCUCUGUUAAUUGUCACUCUCAUCUAAUUCAUAUUAGUUUUUAUUCAAUAAUCUUCAUUUUCUUGUAAUGGACGGCUUCUUAUUAAUAUUAAUAAAGCAUGGUGGUAGAUGAGUUUCUUCAGGUUAGUAUUCUUUGCGAUUUUUUAUUUGUAUUGGUAUACAAAUCAAACGAAAAAAAUUUAUAAUUUAUGAACAGUGAGAUUGGAAAAAAUAUUUAGAUUUUGUUUGUGUAUAAUACUUUUAAUUAUGAUGUUUUUGGUAUGAAUAUUCAUUUUUUGAAAUUACAUAAAAUUUGUUUGAAUAUAGAUUUUGAUUUAAACAUACAUUUUUUGUUUGUUUCUGGUUAAAAAAAUUAUAUAAAAUUUAUUUGAAUUUAGUAUACAGGUUAUACCAUGUUGGUAUGAUUUUGAAAUUAUAUUGAAAUGAAUUUCGUAUAUUAUUUAUCUUAUAAAUGACAAUUAAUAGUUAGAAGUGGUAUUAUUUUGGUAUUAUAGUGGCAUGAUUCUGCUGUGAAAAAGUGACGACUUAUGGCAUGAAAUAGGUAUAAUUUUGGCAUGAAAUAGGUAUGAAAAAUGUGCAGAAUAAUUAUAUGAAAUUUGUUUACUGAUUUCAGAUUUUUUGUUGUGUAUAAUAACUUUAAUUAUGACAUUUUUUGUUAAAUGUAUAAUGUUAUAUUUUGGUAUGAACAUUGAAUUUGUUCAUUAUUUGUCUGACCCAUUUUUACUUUUUGGUAUGUUUCUGGUUAAAAAAAAUAGAUAAUUUUUUUUUUUGAAAUAUGUAUACUACUAAUACCAGACAAGUAUGUCAAUCAAUAAUAUUUUUUGGUACCUAUUCUGAUUUGAUUGAAUUUGUUUUGGCAUUAUAUCGUAAUUGAUUUUGGGAAUAAUAAUGUAAUGAAUUUGGUAUACUGUUUAUUUAAGAAAUGACAAUUAAUAUUUAUAAGUUGGAAUUGUUUUAGUAUUGUAGUGGCAUGAUCCUGGUAUGAAUAAUUGAUGACUAUGACAUGAAAUAGGUAUGAAAUGUGUGAAUAAGAAUUGUAUGAAAUUUGUAUACUAAUAUAACAUAUGUACUUUUACUUUGGUAUUCUGUAAUAACAUAUGAAAUUGUUUACAAAUAACAUACGUAUUUUUACUUUUGUAUGCAUAAAAUGAUAUGAAAUUUGUAUACUGAAAUAACCUAUGUAUAGAAGUUAUUUGUACUUUUGUAUAAUGUAAUACUGACACAAUAAUUUAUGGUGGAACAGGAAAAUAUGCAAUUCAAAAAGUGUCGGAGAAUAAAUUAUUGUCGCCUGGUUCAAAAAGAACUGUAGGGAGAGCACAACUUGAACGCUGGAAAUGGUUUGCUGAUGUGAAAUUCAAGAGGUUAAGGUUAAGUGCAGUACAUGUCGUCGGCAGGGACACAAAAGGAAGACAUGUUCAAAUUUCCCUUCUGAAAAAAAACAUGAUUUAUUUUUAUUUUGAUUUGGUUGUUUUAUUGUGGCAAAGUCAUGUUUUGAUUUAUUUUGUCUUUUAAGUUAAUGAAUUAUAAUUCCAGAACAUUUAUUAUGUGUGGUAGUUAAUCAUUUGUGUAUUCAGUGUUUUUCACAUAUACUCAAAAACUAGGUAAUGCUGGUAUGCGAUUGAUAUCGACUGAAAAAAUUACGUCAAAUCUUAGUACGAAAUUGGUAUACAUUUGGUAUCCAACUGAUGUCCCAGUGGUAAAAUUGAAAAAGCAACAUGUAAUUGAUAUUUCAACUGAACUAGCCAUCUUAAAACUAGUUAAUGUUGUAUCCAAUUUGUAUAAAUUUGGUAUCAAAUUGAUAUCCCAUUGGAAAAUUGAAAAAUCAACAUGUAAUUGAAAUUUCAACCAAAUUAGACAAUUCAAACAAGUUAAUGUUGUAUUCAAUUGGUAUCCAUUUGGUAUCCAACAAAUAUCCCACUGAAAAAUGAAAAAUAAUAAUAAAUGUAACUGAUAUUUCAACCAAAUUAGACAACCUAAAAUAAUUUAACAUUAUAUCCAAUUGAUAUCCAAUUUAUAUACACUCAGUAUCCAACUUGAAAUUUUAGAACAAAGACAAAAAAAAUGUAUGAAAUUGGUAUAAAUCUGGGAAGAAUAAUUCUGACAAUGUAAAAUAAUGCAUUUUUACAUCCCUACUUUAUUUAGGGUGAAACAUCGCGGUGACUCAAAAACUAAUUAAUUAAUUCAAUUUUGAAAGAAUUUAAAGAAUAAACAAAUUUUGAAAGGAGUCGCCACCUAGUUUUAGGAAAACUAGAAAACCAAUUAAAUAAUCUACAAACCAUUAGAUUCUAGGAAAGGGGUUCAAGUUAUUCCGAAAGGAAGGUAUUAGGCAUCCUUCGAAAUCCACAAAUGUGGGUCCCGACUGAAUUCAUUUUUUUCCAAAUUGAGGAGGAGAUAAAACUAUAUACAAGUAAAACAAGCAUGCAAUAUACACAAGUAAUAAAGUAAACAAGUGAUAUGAGAAACAACCUAAUGUUUGCCGAUCGUUAACAGUAUACAUUAUAAUGAAUAUAGUUUUCGAAUUUUAUUCGAAUGGCUUCAAUGGGAAGCGACUCUGGGGUACCUGUAAAGACACUUAGUAAAAGUGUUAGUACUAAAUGAAUAUAAAUAUGAAUAAAUAACUCAAAUAAUAAUUUUAAAAUAAAAAUCUAACAUGGGAGGCCUUGGAAAUCGACGGUAAUUUCUUCAUCGGCCAAUUUUAUCAAACAAAGAAAUAUGAACUUAACUAAAUUUCCGUCUUUUAUAAUGUGGAGGACUCAAAAAUCGACGGAGAGAUAUUCUCAUUGACCAAUUGUAUAUACAACAUAACACAAUAAACAAUAAUAGCAACAAAAUUUUGUAAUACAGUAACUAAAUAUAAACCAACAAUAUAUGAACAGUAACAAAAUAUAAAAUAAUAUAAAAUUCAUUGGAAAAAAAUUUCCACCCCAAACCAUUAAACAAAGAAUAUGUAACAUUAUAAUGAAAAAAAAUAACGACAAAACAAGAGAUAACAUUCAACAAAUAAAUAAGAAAUAACUAAAAUCCAAAUCACUGCCUAGCUCAUUUGAUAAAUAAAAAAAAGCGUUAAUAAGAUAAUAAAUAAAAUUCAAGACUUGAGCAAAAGCAAAUAAAAGCAAACUAAAAAUCAAAAUCAACAAAUUACAAUGUAAAAGAAGAAAUAAAAUAAUGAGAUAUUUACAAUAACAAAAACAUAAAAAACAACAAUAAAGUAUCUAAACUAACAAAUUUUUUCUAUGGACCAAAUUAUAAGAUUAACGCACAACAGUAGCCGUAGCAACAUAAUUAAGGCAGAAUAUAAACGGAAAUAAAUAAAGCAACCAAAAUUGGCUAAAUAAAGAAAAGACACUCUGGAGAAGAUGAUGUUAGCAAGUGCAGUGAAGAACUAACAAGCUGUAUGGUUAUGUUAGGUAUAUCAUUUAAAAGUUAGUUACAAGUUGAUGAGGUGGCAGUAGUUAGUUACAAAGUUGUUAAGAGAUAUUUUGCACCCUUUCAUUGAUAAUGUAGUAUAAAAGGGCGUACAUGUACAUAUUCAUUGCAUCAAGACAUUAAUACAAUCUUCUCUUCUUUCUUCUUCCUUCAAAUGCUCUAUAAUUGCUUCUAGUUCUCAACCUCCAUUUAUGGAGUUAUCAUGGUAUCAGAUCCCUCGAUCGUGAAGGGGUAAACAACAAGUAGCUAAGCAAAAGGACCUCAGGUUCACCAUUGUUCAAAGGUGGAUUGAAAGGAAACAUCAAAAGUAAAGCUCAACAACAAUGGCGAAUGGAAGUGCAUCUGAGGAAACAAGCACUGGAAAUGGAACUUCAACUCAAGCUGUACUCCCAGUAAUUGAUCACAAUCAUCUGUUAUUUCUUUAACACACUGAUACUCCAGGUAGUUCUCUGAUCUCUUUUCAGUUAUCUGGUUCAGAAAACUAUGCUUUGUGGAGUAGGUCUUUUAGGAUUGGAUUGGUAGGGAAAAACAAGCUAGGCUUUGUAGAUGGACGAUUUCCUAAGUCCAUGUUUGAACCAAUUCUGUUUGAUUAGUGGGAAAAGUGCAAUGUUGUAGUAUUAAGCUGGAUUAUGAAUGUUGUAUGACUAGGACUUCUAAGCUCUGUAGUGUAUGCUUCAGAUGCACAAAAAGUGUGUCUAGAACUGAGAAAAGGUUUGAUACAGUAAAUGGAUCUAAGAUUUUUCAAUUGCAUAGAGAGAUUCACACACUGGUGCAAGGAACUAUGUCUGUUGCUGACUAUCAUUCUAGGCUAAGAGAUCUUUGGGAUGAAUAUGAUGCUCUUAUGCCUUGUCCUAGUUGUCCCUGUCCAGAGUCGAAGAAAUUUGGUGAACACUGUGACUAUCAAAGACUCUUACAGUUCCUUAUGGGACUAAAUGAGUCCUACUCAACUCCUAGAAGUCAGAUUCUCAUGAUGAGUCCAAUGCCAACACUUAACAAGGCUUAUGCUCUUAUUAUUGAUCAAGAGAGUAAGAGAAAUCUAUCUAGUUCUGCUUCUAAUAGGUCAGGGGUGAUAGAAGGAACAAUAAUGUAUACUCAUAGAAGCAACACCUACAGUGGUGGAGCAGGUACAUCUAAAAACUCUUUUCCAAGUGGAGCAAGUGGUUCAUAUUCAAGAGGAUCUGGUGAUGGAUAUAACAGUGGUGCCAGUACUUCUGGAGGAAGUUACAAAGCCAGGGUGUGUGUGAACACUGUGGGUGUAUAGGUCAUUCUAAGGGACAAUGCUUUAAAAUUGUUGGAUAUCCGUCAGAUUUCAAAUUUAAGAGGAAGUCAAAUAUGUAUGCUAAUCAAACUACUGCUUCAGAGGAGUGUGGACAUGGGGUCAGGGUUAACAACAAUUCACUCUUAAAUCAAUCAGAAGUUGGUGCAGGGUUAAUAAUGGCACACUCUUCACUUCAGAUCAAUAACAACAGAUACUACAACUCCUUACAAAAUCUGGAGGUGACAAGGUAGGAGAGUCAUCUGCAAACAUUGCCACUGUUGCAAAUGCAGGUAGCUCGCUUACAACUCUAUCUUGUAAUAGUGUUGUAGCAGUAAAUGGAUUAUUGAUACACGAGCCUUUCAUCAUAUUACAUCUAACAUGGAUAUUAUUGACAAAACUAAGAAAAUACCUCCCCAUACAGAAAAUAGGGUACAUCUACUAAAUGGAAAAAAAUGUGUCAGUAUCAUAUGUUGGCAAGUUUUAUGUGUUCACAGAUCAAUCCAUUUCUAAUAUUCUCUUUAUUCCCGAGUUCAAGUGCAACUUACUAUCAGUUUCAAAGCUCACCAAUGAGUUAUAGUGUAUGGUAGCAUUUUUUCCUGACUUCUGUGUUUUCCAGGACCUCUCUAUUGGUCAAGUGAAGGGGAUUGGUAAAGAAGAACAUGGACUCUACAUUCUUCAUGAAGAACCAAGCAACACUCCAAAGAAGUUACUCAAUACUACUAGUGCAGUACCUGUAUCUGCUAAGUCUUUUUCUAGUGAUGUUUGGCAUAAGAGGUUAGGACAUGCUCCAAUUGAUGUAAUAAAGAGACACGAGUCUCUCAGAUAUCUAAACCUCAUAGACAACUUUCAUUGCACUGUGUGCUCUGUAGCUAAACAAUCAAAACUUCCAUUUUCUUUAAGUGUUCAUAACACUACUGCUAUAUUUGAGUUGAUUCACUGUGAUUUGUGGGGACCUCAUAAAGUUCUUACUUAUAAUGGAAAGAGGUACUUUAUUACAAUUGUAGAUGAUUUUAACAGAUACACUUGGGUGUUUUUGAAUACUUCCAAAGCUUACUCAAUAGUUGGAAUCAAACAUUUCCUUACAAGAGUUCAGAAUUUAUUUUCCACAAGUGUUAAAACAUUUAGGUCUGACAGUGUCUGUGAGUUUCUAAUUCAGAAUCUAUUGAGUGAAAUGGGAAUUGUACAUCAGACUACUUGUGUCUAUACCCCACAACAAAAUGAGGUUGCUAAAAGAAAGCAUACAACCAUUCUUGAUAUGGCCAGAACUCUAAGGUUUCAAUCAUUUAUACCUUUGAGGUUCUGGGGAGAGUGUGUCCUUACAACUGUGUAUCUUUUAAACAAACUUCCUAUCAGGUUACUAGGCUACAAAUCCUCAUUUGAGAAACUGUAUAUGCAUCCUCCAAACUUAUCUCACCUCAGGGUAUUUGGCUGUUUGUGUUAUGCUUCUAGUCCUAAGAAACCUGAUAAGUUCUCUGCCAGGGCUGUUCCUGCAGUAUUUAUGAGAUACUCAUCCACACAAAAGGGCUAUAUUCUCUAUGAUCUUUAUGCCAAGAUGAUUUUUGUCAAUAGACAUUAUUGCGGUCUAAUCGCACACGCAAGUGCACGUGAUCGUACAAGUAAUAAAGUGACUCUUUUCGAGAGUCGGGUAUCGUACCCACAAGGACUCACACUUAGAAACUAUUAAUUUCUCUAGUUCUCAGUUAACCACAAAUGUAUUUCCAGAUUUAAAGAGUUGUUUAUUUCUAUUUCUAAAUUUUAAAACAAAAUGUAAAUACAAGAUUCAGUUUCACGGGUUUCAAACAAUGAUUUGGGAAAGAUCCAGGGCUGCAGCUUCUAUCAAGAUUCAUGCAAUCAAUAUCAUUUGUAUGGGUAGUUAUUAACUGUCGAAUCAAUGAAUCACAGGGUUAGAUGUAUGAUCAUGGUCUCCCGACCUCUAAUUGCCUACGAUAGAUAACACCUUAACUACAUCGUUGAGAGGGGAUAAACUGAUUACCUACCGAGCAUUAAGUUAUCUUCUUGUAUGGUGAUCCAAGCGAGGUCUCUAGGUAUAUCCCUAUCCUAGAAACGAAUCAACCCUAGCUAUAUAGAGUUCAACAAACUCCUUAUGCCCCAUGUUCUAUCCUCUUAUUCCUCUCCCGAGUUCAAUUUGGACUAUACAUUUAUUUCUAUGGUGAUCAAUUAUGAAAUAUGGAAAAUAAGAACACAAGAAAGAUUCAUGUGAUGGUCAAUAAUAAACCCAACAAAACUCAAUCAAUUGCAAUCAUCUUGUAGCCACAACCCUAGAACUAGGGUAUUUAGCUACUCAUAGUCCAACAUUUAAUCAUACAAUGGUUAUGAAUAAUCAAACGAUUGGAAGGAAAAAAGUUUAAGAAAUAACCCUAAAGCUGAAGAAAAACGUUCUUCCAAAUCGUCGUCCUUUAAAACCCAGAAAAAGCUCCUUAAUAAAAUAAAAUAAAACCCUGUUUAUACUAAAAGACAAAACGGCCAAAUCUGGUACUCAGGCAUGCGAUGCGCGAUGACUUCCAAAUUUCAAGUCCACAAUACUUUUGCCUUUUGCGCGACGCGCGAGCAUCACAAUGUGUUUUGCCUAGAAGUUGAUUUUUGUAACCCACAUUCUGCAUUCAACCGCGCGACGCAGAGAGAACUCGUAAAUGCCUUGGUGCAUUUUCCUUAGCUUCUUCCUUGUUCUCUUUUGACUCGAAUCUUCAGAUUUCUUACUUUAUCCCUUUUGGUGCUCGUUUCUCCCAUUAAGCAUUCCUACACAACUAAUCAUAUUGGUUAGCUCAUAAAUAAGCAAAUGACUCGAUAAGACUACAAAAAAAUACAUUUUGAAUUCAAACUAAGCGUAACUGCAAGCAUAAUUAGCAUUCUAGGCAUAUAAAUAUGCCUAAGAUCACUACCCCACACUUAAAGCUUUGUUCGUCCUCGAACAACUACUAACAACUCCUAGACCUAGACUCACUACCUUGGAUUGUGCAUCCACUACUAACUUCCAAGGUUCUGUUCACAAUUCACACUGCAUGUUUUCAUUUAUAAUACGCAUAACUCAUGUAGAUGACUGGACAACUUUUUGCAACCAACGCAUUCACAACAUAUGCACCAUUACCUAUCACAUAUCUUUCAUACAACAAGUGCCCUUCACUCCAAGGAAUAGUCCAUGCACUCGAGUUAGCCCAUUGAAUAUAAUUUAAGGACUUUGCAGACAAUAUACACUCUCACUCAGCAAACAAAAUCACACAUGUAUGCACUGAGAACCAUAAGCUUGCCCAUUAUGUACAUCUCUACUAAUAAAGUGUAAAAUGCUCAAAAUCAAACAUGACUUGGUUUCGUUGUGUUGCAGGCUUAAGGUGGGAGAGGAUUCAUUUAGAUGAGAUUAGUGACUCGUCCUCCCUAAUGCACUAUGUUCAGCUCUCUUCUUUCAUUCACAACUUUUUCUUUUCAUUAGCCCCUUCUUCUUCAUAAGAUUUAACUAGUGUUACUAACCUUGCCUUAUUGCUUACUUGCCCCUUUAUUUCCUCAAUUAUUUUUAUUUUUUUUAUUCAACACUAGCCACCCUUUACUCGGAGAUUUCUCUUGAGUUAAGGUGCACAUUGUCCUUUUUAGGACCAGGGCCAAUCUCAGAUUCACAAUCAUGGGGUAUCAGUUACCUUUCUUUCAUUCUUCCUAACAACUACGCAUUUCCACCCUAUCUACUCUUUCCGUUGUUUUUACCUUUCUUCCUAACAUAGUGCAUUAGGGGUUAGGAUCAAAACUACGGUAUCAAUAAAAAGGGAUUCGGUUUAUUAUGUGGGUUAGAACAAAAUCAAGGCUAAAAGGCUCAAUUGGGCUAGACUAAGGAUCUUCUUUCUGAACAAGCUCAAAUUUCAAACAAUUCAAACAAAGCCUGUUAUCACCUUUCAAACAUAAUACCACUUGUAUUUCGCUUCAAUAACAACCUGGGCAAGUUUUAGACUCAGAUGCAAUCAUGGAUAUCAUACAAAACUCACCGCUCAUGGCACAAGUUGUACUCAGAAUGGAUUAAUCACAACACAAUCAUUUCACGCAAAAGGUUCAAAUUAAGCUUAAGUUGCACAUUCAAAUCAUAUACAGGAAUUCACUGCAUUCAUACAUCAAUUUCAACCAUGUUUUUCAUACAUCAGAGAUUUUCAGCUUCAGCACAACCAAGCCUAAGACUCAAUGACGAAAUUGCCCUUAAGACGACCGUCAUCCAUCUAUCAUUGGUCAUCUUGACUCAAUCUAUGACUACUGAUUCAAUCCUAGAAACAAAAUCUUUUUGUAUUUUUGUACGGUUCAAAGGGACUAUCCUUGGCUAAAGAACCGAAAAUAACUACCAAGGAACCCAAAAUCAAACAAAACAGAAAACAAUGUUCAACCCAAUAUAUGUACUAAUCAGAUAUGUUUUCUACCUUCACCCCACAUUUAUACAAUUGCACUGUCCCCAGUGUAUGUCAAAAUCUCAAUAAAGUUCGAAAAGGUAAAGUGAAAAAGAAACUCCCUGAUCAGUCCUCCGUUAUAUCACCCCCAUUGGCCUCAGCCUCGGCCUGUAUGGGGUCUAUCUCCUCAUCCGAAUCAGAAUCCACAUCUGAGCCGGUACGCAAGUUCUCUUCAUCAGUCAGGAUAUCAUUCUCAGUCAGCUCCCGGAACUCAGGACUUAUGCCAAGUAAUGCUUUAGCUUGAUAAUUCAGAAGAUAACGCCUGUUGACCUCCUCUAUUUCCAGAUCAGUAGAUGGCCGGCCACCAGUUUUGUGUCAUAGCAUCUCCAGGCCAUACAUCCUAAACAUGAUUAAAUUAUCUCUCAUGUGGCGCUCUGCGGUGGUGAGUAUUGGGCCGAAGUUAGUGUCCGGCCCCUUUGUGCGAGUGAUGUCCACCGAUGCUGGAUAAAGUGGUGCCAUGUAAUCUAAAUUCUCUUCAGGGACACCUGCAACACGACACAUUUUGGUAAUCAGACUACAAAAUGCAUACCUAUGCUCUUUGUGAACCCGGGCUUUCCUCAUUGAAGAUUUUAUGAUGGCUCCGAUGUUCAGCUUCAUGCCAGUCAUCAAAGCAUAAACUAGGCACACCCGAUCACACGUGAUAUCAGUGUAAUGUAACCCCGGGAUCAGAUAGUUCAUCACCACCUUUAGCCAAACACGUGUCUCCCACAGCAUGCGGGCGUAGGGGAGAGAUUUAUGAUAUCUUUUCUCACUGUGCUUAGUCCAUUGUGCUAUGGACUGUGGCCCGCAUAGCAUAUGGCGGACGGCCUGGUAUGGAGGGUGUAUGUUCAGCCUUGUCAACACUACUAGGUCGGUGUCUUCCGGUGUACCCAAUAUAUCAUUAAUACAUGUGGGAGUGAUGGGCACAUUUUUACCAUGCACCGUCACAUAGUGGGAUUGCGCCUCGGGUGUCUAGUUGGCGUAAAACUUCCGGACCAUAUGCAAGUUACAUUCGUCUGGGUCAGCAAAGAUGAACUCCAUGCAGAGCUCUCUAAUUUGCCUCCGAAACUGGGGGAACUCAUGUGUCAGACUGUCCCCAUCAACACAGAUAUCAAAAAAAUAAUUGGCCUCGGUGUGCUUCUUAUACCAAGCCUUUCCUUCUUUGGUGACAUCCUUCACCCUUACUCACCUAGUUUGACCCCUUGGAAGUGCGGGUGCGGGUGGGACAUUCCCACUCCGAACACGUUUCCUAUUGCUUGAUGUGGCCACUUUCUUGCCAGGUCUGUGUGAGCUAGACAUGGUAACCAGUAAAAUAUACGAAAGUUCAGCCCCCAUGACUGCAAAACAAUGAUAAUAAUAUGGGUGGUGUGCGCACACCACCCCACACUUAGUUCAGUGUAGUCUCAUCUUAGGUACUCAGACUUCCCACAAUUUACCAGCAACAUACUCAAGUAAUUACCAAGCUCGUAAAAUUGGUGAGGCAUCGCAAUAUCAGAGACAAUCACAAAACAAUUGGAAAAUGUUACUGAAGACUUCACACAAGUAAUAUAGACCCCUGAGUACACACUACCACCCAACAAACAUUUCCUAGCAACAGUAAUCCUUCACUCUGUGUUUGCCAAAAUAGUAUCUACUCAAGAUACUAGACCUUCAAUAGUCGAGGUAGUCAAACCCCCAUACUACCUCUCAAUUCAAGCAAGCUAACUCAAUUCACUGCAAACACUACAUCAAUCAUUAACUAUUCAGACACAAUUGAUUACGAGCAAGCAUAACCCACAAAUCUUUACCUCAUGCAAGAUCAACAACAGUGAACAUUAAGUGAUUUUUACUCAAGAAGUAAAAAUCACCUAUAACCACAGUAUCGCCCAACGCAGAAACCUAUGAUUAACCAAGGCACAUUACACGUAGGGAAUUGAGUACACCUAAAAACAAUUUGUCAAACAUUCCCACAUACUAUACCCUAGUAGUUUAACCCAAGAAUCAGGCAACACUGUAUUUCUACUCAGACUUUGAAACACACAUAGCCCAACACGAAACACACGAUAAUGACAAAAUAAAACACCCUUCCCAACUCCCUGAAAAUCGACCAACCAACAACCCAUGGAAGACAUCUCAAACUGUCCCAGAAUUGCAACAACAAAAUAAGAGCACAUACCUAGCGACGCGGAGUUUCGAAAAAAUGAAGAAGAGCAAGAAGGGCAUAGUUGCGCGACACGGGACUCCUUGAAGAAAUUCGCAGAGGUAAAGGGAAGGGGUGAAAAUCGUGGUGAAUGUAGUGAAAAAGGGAAAAUAUGGGGAAUUUAGGGGGAGAAAUUGGGGUUUAAAAAGGCUUGGGGUCGGGUAAUGUCCAACGAAAUCGGGUAAAACCUGGUUAGUUAAUGAAAACGAAAUUUACUCACCUAGGGCACGACAAGCGGCUGGCAUGGAGUCCACUGAAAAUUUAAUUCCAGGCGAGGCCAAUAUUUGACCCUUGCUCCGCGUCGCGGGGAUAGCACGGUAAUGUCUUAUUUUUGACGUAAAAGUAACUUACCGUCGAACUUGAAAUUCUAGACCUCCUCCGCGACGUGCCACAUACAUGGAGUCCUCUGCCUCAAAUGGUAUCAGGCGAGGCAAAAUUAUUCCCCGCCUCCGUGACGCACUCCCUACACGGAGUUGCCUUGGGCAAAAUUUUCUCAUCCUGCAUAUUAUCAGUUCAACACCCAUUAAAAAUAACAUGAUGGGUUGCCUCCCAUCCAGCGCCUUAGUUUUGGUCGUGGCACGACGCAUAUUUUUGUAUUUUUCUUGAUAUAUCCUUUUUUUCUACUAAUUCCUUAGAACUGAAAUAACCAAAUAAGAACAAAUAAAUCCUAACUAUUACAAUGGUUCACAGGUUGCCUCCCGUGUAGCAUCUGAUUUAACGUCGCGGCACGACCCAUCUCAUGACUCAUUCGUCAUUCAAUAUGGGUGCUUCAAGCUCACGAUCUACAUCCUUACCAAAGUAGUGCUUGACCUGUUGACCAUUUACAAGUAACGUAGAGCUCUUGUCCUUGUUUCGUAGUUCUACAACACCAUGUUGAGUCAUCCUCACCACCUCAAACAGACCACUCCACUUAGACCGAAGCUUCCUUGGGAAAAACCUCAAUAUAGAAUUGAAAAGUAACACUAACUGACCAGGUUCAAAGGUGCGUGACACAAUAUGCUUGUCAUGCCACCUUUUGGUCUUCUCUUUAUACAGCUUUGCAUUUUCAUAGGUGUGAAGCCUAAACUCUUUUAGCUCGUGCAGCUGUGUGAUCCUCUUUCUGCCUGCUAACUCAGCAUCUGGAUUCAGUUUCUUAAUCUCCCAAUAUACCCUAUGCUCUAACUUAGCUGGUAAGUGACAAGCUUUCCCAAACACCAUUCAAUAAGGAGAAGUCCCUAUUGGUGUCUUGUAAGCAGUCCGAUAUGCCCAUAAGGCAUCAUCUAACUUGUUAGCCCAAUCUCUUCUUUGGGUAUUCACAGUCUUUUGGAGGAUCUAUUUGACGUCCCUGUUUGAUACCUCUACCUGUACGCUAGUUUGGGGAUGAUAUGUUGUAGCCACUUUGUGUUGCACCCCAUAUUUCGCUAACAGACUAUGAACUAAGUUAUUGAUAAAAUGCUUACCUCCAUCACUAAUUAUCGCCCUUGGCGUUCCAAACCUGGUGAAGAUGUGCUUUCGAAUGAACUUGACAACCACUUUGGCAUCAUUUGUUAGCAAUGCAACAACCUCCACCCACUUAGACACGUAGUGCACAACGACUAGAAUGUAUUAAUUACCCCGGGACUAUGGGAAUGGUCCUAUAAAGUCUAUUCCCCACACAUCAAAGAUCUCCACCUCUAGUAUGUUGUUCAAUGGCAUCUCAUGCCUUUUCAAAAUGGUGCCCAUCCUUUGACACUGAUCGUAACCUUUCACAAACAAAGCAACAUUUUUAAACAGAGUAGGGCAAAAGAAAUCAGAUUGCAAUACCUUAUGCGCAGUUCUUUCGCCUUCAUGAUGUCCACCAUAUGGCGACGCGUGGCAACUCUCCAACACUUGUGUCGCCUUUGCUCAACUAUACACCUUCUAAUCAUCUAAUUCGGACCCUGCUUGAACAAAUAGGGCUCAUCCCAUAUAUAAAAACGGGCAUCAUACUUUAACCUCUGCUUUUGAUAUGUUGAUGCCCAGGUGGAAAUAAACCACUCACCAGAAAAUUCACAAUAUCUGCAUACCAACGCACCUGAGCAAUGUCCAAAGCAAGCAACUGCUCAUCAGGAAACUCUUCACGAAUCUGCCUUUCAAUUUUCACAUGAGACGAAUCCUCUAGGCGGGACAGAUGAUCAGCUAUUUGGUUCUUAGUUCCCUUUCUAUCUCAUAUUUCUAGGUCAAACUCUUGCAGCGGCAGGAUCCACCUAAUCAACCUAGGUGUGGAAUCCUUCUUGUUGAACAAAUACCGAAUGGCCUCAUGAUCAGUGUAGACUAUCACUUUGGUUCCCACCAAGUAUGACCUGAACUUGUCGAAUGCAAACGCCAAUGCCAACAUCUCCUUCUCAGUAACUGUAUAAUUCGAUUGAGCUGCCUCAAGUAUUUUGCUCGCAUAGUAGAUGGAGUGAAACACCUUGUCUUUUCUCUGCCUAAGCACUGCCCUAACUGCUAUAUCACUAGCAUCACACAUCAGCUCGAAAGGAAGCUCCCAAUUUGGAGUAAUAAGAAUAUGAGCCUCAAUCAACUUCUUUUUCAACAUCUCAAAAGUCUGCAAACAUUUUUCAUCAAACACAAGUUUCAUCUCUUUCUCUAAUAAGUUGCACAUAGGUCUUGCAGUUUUAGAGAAGUCCUUGAUGAACCUCCUGUAAAAACCAGCAUGUCCAAGAAAGCUUCGCACUCCCUUCACUGAUAUUGGUGGUGGCAACUUCUCAAUCACUUCCACCUUCGCUUUGUCUACUUCUGGCCCACUCUUAGAGAUCUUGUGCCCCAACACAAUUCCUUCUUUGACCAGAAAGUGACACUUCUCCAAGUUCAGCACCAGAUUGGUCUCCACACAUCUAGCAAGAACUCUAUCAAGAUUAGAUAAACAAAGUUCAAACGACUCACCGAACAUCGAGAAAUCGUCCAUGAACACUUCAGCCAAAUCUUCCACCAUAUCAUGGAAGAUUGCCAUCAUACAUCUCUGAAAUAUGGCUGGGGAAUUGCACAAGCCAAAUGGCAUGCGUUUGAACGCAUACAUGCCAUAUGGGCAAGUGAAUGUCGUCUUCUUUUGAUCCGCAGGUGCAAUGACGAUCUGAUUAUACCCUGAAUAACCAUCAAGGAAACAGUAAUACUCUUGGCCAGCCAACCUGUCUAACAUUUGAUCAAUAAACGAUACCAAAUAGUGGUCCUUCUUGGUGGCUUCAUUGAGUUUUCUGUAGUCCAUGUAUAUCCUCCACCCAGUUACUGUUCUUAUGGGGAUCAACUCAUUUUUCUCAUUGGUUACAACUGUCAUUACUCCCUUCUUAGGCACACACUGCACUGGACUUAGCCAUUUACUGUCAGAUAUUGGGUACACAAUCCCCAUAUCCAUCCACUUGAUGACUUCUUUUCUGACAACAUCCUUCAUCAAUGGAUUUAGUCUCCGCUGAUGCUGUCACUUGCCUUGUACCCUUCUUCCAUAUAUAUUUUGUGCAUACACAGUGCAUGACUAAUACCAUGGAUAUUAGACUUUUGCCAUCCAGAGCUGCUUUUCUCUUCUUCAAAAUGAGUAGUGCGGCUUUCGCCUAUUCGUCAGAUAAAUCUGCAGACAAAAUAACCGGUAAAGUUUCAUCUUUACCCAAAAAUACAUACCUGAGGUGGGCUGGCAGUGUUUUUAACUCCAAUUUGGGUGCUUCUUCAAUGAAGGGUUUAGGUGGAAGACCCAACACCCUAUUCAGAGGCUCCCAGCUCUCUCCAGCAGUAACCAUAGGAGACACAUCAAGGAAUUGCACCAUUUCAUUUGCCUCAACAUCCACAUAUAUGUCAUCACCCACUAACACUCGCUCUAGAGGAUCCUUAGCUGCAAUAUAUUUAGCUUCUGCCUCAAGAUCUAUCACGGUUAUGGCAGACAACUCCUCAUACACAACAGGAAAUUUUAAGGCUUUGUAUACAUCAAACACCUCCACUUUAUCAUGAGCUCUCAUAGUAAGCUGCCCAACUGUUACAUCUAUCAUUGCUCUACCAGUCGCUAAGAAAGGUUGUCCUAAGAUGAAAGGGAUCUCAGGAUCAGACUCGAAAUUCAAUACUACAAAGUCUACUGGGAAAAUCAGAGAUACCACUUGUACUAACACAUCUUCCACAACACCCUCAUGUCUAGCUACAGAUCUAUCCGCCAACUGCAAAAUUAUGGUAGUUGGUUUAGGACUACCCAACCCCAAUUUUUUGUACAGAGAAGUUGGCAUCAAGUUUAUACUCGCUCUUAGAUCACACAAUCCUAGAGCAUGGAUGCUUUGCCCUAUAGUAAUCUGCACAGUAAAGCUACCCGGAUCUUUUAGUUUAAUGGGCAGCUUGUUCUGAAUUCUAGAGCUGCACUCUUCAGUAAGUGCCACACUCUCAUACUCUGUCAGCCUCCUUUUGUUUGCUAUGAUCUCUUUCACAUACUAAGCAUACCUGGGUAUACCCUACAAAACAUCCACCAAUGGCAAGUUAAUGUGAACUUGUCUUAGGAGAGAGAGAAACUUACCAAAACAUUCGUCCUCCUUUUGUUUCUUGAACUUCUGAGGAAAUGGAAGGGGUGGUCUCACUAUUGGUUGCACGCUUUCUUCCGGUGCAACUACUUCAUUCUCCUUAAGCUCACCCUCUUUGGGUUCACUCUUUGUGUUUAUAACUUCAGUGUUUCUUUCCUUAGGAGUUAACUCCUGCAAUUGCAAACCACUGCGUGUGCUUACUGCAUUCACCUGCUUAGGAUUUGGGUCAGUGUUUCCAGGCAAAUCUCUUUGCGGUCGUGAAUUUUGGGCACUAGCAAACUGCCCAAAUUGCUUCUCCAGAUUAUGUGUGGCUAACUGAUUAUUCCUCACAUCACUAGCUAACUAGGCUAGAUCAAACAUAAUCUUUUUCAGCAUCUCCUCCACACUCAUGUUUUUGAUUUGCUACUUGGGUUGCUCCCUUUGUGCCUGUGGUUGAUAACCAUUGGCAUUGCCUUGUGGUUUAUAAUGGUUUUGCCCUUUGCCCUGGUUCUGAUUUCCACCCCAAGAAAAGUUUGGGUGGUUACGCCAAUUUGGGUUAUAAGAAUUUUCAUAGUUUUGUUGGCCUCCUCCUCUCUAGGCAUUCCUUACAAAAUUAACAGAAUCUGGGUUUGCACCACAUACCUCUGCAUCGUGAUUGCUACCUCCGCAAAUCUUACACCAAGACGGUGGUUGUUGAAUUGCAUUUACCUGCGCAGGCUGUUGUCCCAAUGCCAUGUUGCUGAAAUGUGUACUCAUCAUAUUCUGCAUAGCAGAAAUCUGUGCAGUUAGAGCUAUUAUCACAUCUACUUCCAGCAUACCUGCAGUUUUCUGUACUAUAGGUUUUAUUCCCCUUUCGUUCCACUACGAAUUACCCUGAGAGAUCCGGUUCAACAAGGUGAAUAGUUCUGCAUAAGUCUUUUCUAAAGCUUGUCCACCUCAGCUAAAUCAAGUAAAAUCUUGGUGUUAGGCUCCAACCCUUCAAUGAAAGUAUUGACUAACACCUCAUUAGAUUGUUGAUGAUGAGGGUAGCUCAUCAACAUCGAUUUAAACCUGUCCCAAGCUUGGUACAAGUUUUCACCACCUUUCUGCCUAAAACUCAGAAUAUCACUCCUCAGCUUAGCUAUUUUUCCAAAUGGAAAGAAUCUGAUGAAGAAUUUCUGUGCCAAAUCGUCCUAGGUGGUAAUUGAAUUUGCAGGCUCUAAGUUCAACCAUUUUUUUGCUUCCCCAAGCAAAGAGAAAAGGAAUAAGCUGAGCCUCACGUAAUUUUUAUUCACCCCAGUUGGAGUGUAAGUAUCACUAAUCUCGAGGAAGUUCUGAAUGUGAACUGUGGGAUCCUCAUGUGAAAGACCAGUAAACUGCCCAUUCGUGUGCAAAAUUUGCACCAUACUCUACUUCAGCUGGCAUCUCCCACCAGAUUCACUUUCGUACUUUCAACUCAGCAGCCAUUGUCUGAAGUUCUUCCUCUUCUUUUUCUUCUAUUUUUGGUCCCGGAAAAUCUAGCUCACCUAUAACUAAGGGAAUCGGAUAUGCUCAUCGUCUCCGCCUUCUAUGCAAGUGUACGAAUCUUUCAAGUUCUGAGAGAGGCGAUAACAAUUCUUGAUCGUCGUCCAGUUUGGAGUUUCAAAACAACCUGCAACAAUGGAAUGCUAAGAUUAAGAUGUCAACACUUACGUUUCAACUUCAGAAAUAAGAAAAAUUCAAAUACUUUCUAAUUCUAAAGUCCCUGGUAGCAGCGCCAAAAACUUGUUGCGGUCUAUCGCACACGUAAGUUCAUGUGAUCGUACAAGUAAUAAAGUGGCUCUUUUCGAGAGUCGGGUAUCGUACCCACAUGGAGUCACGCUUAGAAACUAUCAAUUUCUCUAGUUCUCUAUUAACCACAAAUGUAUUUCCAGAUUUAAAGGGCUGUUUAUUUAUAUUUCUAAAUUUUAAAACAAAAUGUAAAUACAAGAUUUAGUUUCACGGGUUUCAAACAAUGAUUUGGGAAUGAUCCAGGGUUGCAGCUUCUAUCAGGAUUCAUGUAAUCAAUAUCAUUUAUAUGGGUAAUUAUUAACUGUCGAAUCAAUGAAUCACAGGGUUAGGAUGUAUGAUCAUGGUCUCCCGACCUCUAAUUGCCUACGAUAGAUAACACCCAUCGUUGGGCGGGGAUAGACUGAUUACCUAUUGAGCAUUAAGUUAUCUUCAUGUGUGGUGAUCCAAGCGAGGUCUCUAGGUUUAUCCUUAUCUUAGAGACGAAUCAACCCUAGCUAUUUAGAGUUCAACAAGCUCCUUAUGCCUCACGUUCUAUCCUCUUAUUCCUCUCCCGAGUUCAAUUUUGAUAAUAUAUUUAUUUCUAUGGUGAUCAAUCAUGAAAUACGGAAAAUAAAAACACAAGAAAGAUUCAUGUGAUGACCAAUAAUAAACCCAACAUAACUCAAUCAAUUGCAAUCAUUCUGUAGCCACAACCCUAGAACUAGGGUAUUUAGCAACUCAUAGUCCAACAUUCAAUCAUACAAGCUUAUGAAUCAUCAAACGAUUGAAAGGAAAAUAGUUUAAUAAAUAACCCUAAAAGUGAAGAGAAACGUUCUUUCAAAUCGUCAUCCUUUAAAACCCAGAAAAAGCUCCUUAAUAAAAUAAAAUAAAACCCUAUUUAUACUAAAAGUCGAAAUGGCCAAAUAUGGUACUCAGGCGCGCGACGCGCGAUGACUCUUAAAUUUUGAGUCUACGAUACUUUUGCCUUCUGCGUGACACACGAGCAGCAUGAGGUGUUCUUCCUAGAAGUUGAGUUUUGCAACCUCCGCGCGACCGAAGAGAACACGUAAAUGCCUUGGUGUAUUUUCCUCAGCUUCUUUCUUGUUCUCUUUUGACUAUAAUCUUCAAAUUUGUUCCUUUACCCCUUUUUGUGCUCGUUUCUCCCAUUAAGCAUACCUACACAACUAAUCAUGUUGGUUAGUUGAUAAAUAAGCAAAUGACUCGAUAAGACUACAAACAAAUACAUUUUGAAUUCAAACUAAGCGUAAAUGCAGGCAUAAUUAGCAUUCUAGGCAUAUAAAUAUGCGUAAGAUCAGACAUGUUGUGUUUCACAAAGGGUUAUUUCCCUACAAACAUCUCCAAGCCUCACCAAAUGUUAUGUUUCCAAUUAUGGACUAUGUUCCUAUUUCCCCAGAACCUGUUGCCUCACCUCUACCUGAUUCCAGUGAGGAUCCACAUGGGGUAGAUGACAAUGGUAGUCCUAUCCCACCUAGGCCUAUUGUUGAGAUACCUCCUGCUACUGAGGUACCUCCUAGAAGGUCAACUAGAUCCAGCAAACCUCUUCUAUGGUUGCAGGAUUUUGUUAUUAAGCCUAAGUCUUCUGCUUGUUCUUAUUCACUAGCAGAUCAUCUGUCCUACAAACAAUUAUCAUCCACAUAUAGAAAGGUUUUGAAUGCUUACUCAGCUGUCUCUGAACCUGGUUCUUUUAAUGAAGUUGCUACUGAUCCUAAGUGGAGACAGGCUAUGCAAUUAGAGAUUGAUGCCCUGGAGAUUAAUAAGGCUUGUAGGAUAGUUGAUCUACCAUAUGGAAAGAGACCUAUUGGAUAUAAAUGGAUAUAUAAGAUUAAGUUAUUAGCUUCAGGGGAGGUUGAAAGGUACAAAACCAGGCUUGUGGCUCGAGGUUUCAGUCAACAAGAGGGGAUUGAUUGUGGUGAGACUUUUAGUCCUGUAGCCAAAAUGGUGACUGUCAGAUCUGUGGUAGUUUUGGCUACAUCAAAAGGGUGGUAUAUAUAUCAGAUGGAUGUCCACAAUGCCUUCUUGAAUGGUGACUUGCAAGAGGAUGUCUACAUGGAGAUUCCCUGUGGUUUUGUCAGACAGGGGGAGAGUCACAAGGAAUGAGAACUCCACAAGUCAUAUAUGGCUUGAAACAAGCACUUAGACAGUGGAAUAUGUAGUUAACUGAGGCACCAGUCCAGAUGGGGUUCAAACAAAGCCACUAUGACUACUCUCUAUUUACACAACAAAUUGGGAGUGACAUUCUGGUGGUGCUGAUGCAUGUAGAUGAUCUUCUGAUCAUAUGAAGCAAUCACCAACUUCUAUGCAACACAAGACAGGAGAUGCAAAAGUAGUUUAAAAUGAAGGACCUAAGGGAACUAAAAUUCUUCUUAGGUAUUGAGUUUUCUAGAUCAAACAAGGGUAUAUUGAUGACACAGAGGAAAUAUGCCUUGGAGCUGAUUUCUGAGAUUGGCCUAGGAGGAGCAAAACCUGCUAAUACACCAUUGAAGUUGAACAAAAAAACACAUCAGUUCAAUAUGAUGAACAUGUGACUGGUUCAAAUCCUGAUCAUGAUAAGCCAUUUGUUAAUCCCACAAUGUAUCAAAAACUGGAAGGAAAGCUCCUUUAUCUAACCAUGACUAGGCCUGACCUUGCUUUUACUGCACAAGUUCUUAGCCAUUUCAUGCAUUGUCUUAAGGAAUAACAUAUGGAAGCAAUAUUAAGAGCAGUAAGGUAUAUCACAGAAGCACCUAGUCUAGGACUACUAAUGCCAGCAGAACAAACUACACAGCUAACAACUUAUUGUGACUCUGACUGGUGGGCAUAUCUUGAAACAAGAAAGUCAGUUACAGGGUAUCUGGUGGAGUUUAGAGGAGGAUUAAUAUCUUGGAAGUCUAAGAAGCAAUUAACUAUGUCAAGAAGCUCACCUGAGGCAGAAUUCAGGAGCAUGGCUACAUGUGCAGCUGAAAUAACUUGGUUAACAGGCUUAUACAAAGAGCUGGGAGUCAAUGUAACAUUACUAGUCAAAAUGGUAUGUGAUAGCAAGGCAUCCAUCCAAAUAGCUGCCAAUCCUAUCUUUCAUGAGCGUACAAUACACAUAGACAUAGACAGUCAUUUUGUGAGAGAAAGAAUCUGUUAAGGAGUACUGCAAAUAGAAUACAUUAACACCAAGCAUCAACUGGCUGAUCUACUUACAAAGAGUCUUGGACAAGGACAACAAAGUCAACUACUAAGCAAACUUGGAAUGAAGAAUGUAUUUCAACCAUAAGCUUGAGGGGGAGUGUUAGCAAGUGCAGUGAAGAAUUAACAAGCUGUAUGGUUAUGUUAGGAAUAAGAUUUAAAAGUUAGUUACAAGCUGAUGAGGUGGCAGUAGUUAGUUACAAAGUUGUUAAGAGAUAUUUUGCACCAUUUCAUUGAUAAUGUGGUAUAAAAGGGCGUACAUGUACAAUUUCAUUGCAUCAAGACAUUAAUACAAUCUUCUUUUCUUUCUUCUUCAUUCAAAUGCUCUGUAAUUGCUUAUAGUUCUCAACCUUCAUUCAUGGAGUUAUCAGAUGAGAUUAACAGAAAAAUAUUACUCAACACAAUAAGAAAAACUAGUCAACUCAACAAAUGCAUAACCAACAAACAAGUCAUCAAUGAUUAAGAAUAAAGAGCAAAACAAAUCCAAGUAUUAAUUAAUAUUUAGAACAAAAUCAGACUGAGAGGGAACCUGACUGGCGGAGUUCUCUUUGAGUCUCCGAAGUUUGCGUCGCGGAGGCGUGUGGUGCUCACCGGUGGUGUUUGUUUAUAGCUCCGAUGAAACUGAUUUGUCCCACCUUUGAUGGGCGCUAUGGAGUUAUUAUUGUUGGUGAUUGUUCGCCCGCCUGAAAUAGAGCUUAAAGCUCGAUACCGAGCGGUGAUGUUGCUCUUCGUCUGAAAAUGUGAGGAAUGGAGGCGGUUUUCUGAUUCUGAAGCUCGAUUUUGGGUUUGUUUGGCGAUCUUGUGGUUAUUGGGUGGCUGGCAGCUGGGUUUCGGAGUUGUUUCUGGUGACUUUGGGUGGUGGAAUAGUGGCGAGGUCUGGUGGUUUCGCUAAAGGAGAAACUAGGGGGUUUGGUGGUUUUGGGUUCAUUUCCAGUGACUAUUUCACCGGAAAAGGGAUGAAAAAUGAAGAGGGUUUUGGUCUGGUUGUUUGGUGGCUAUUGUUGGUUCACAAGCUCGCUGGUUUGGUUGUUUUUGUCGCCAUUACUGUGACGACGCAAUGGAAAGUAAAAGAAUGGUGAUUGGAGCUUGUAUUUUGUGGUAGUGGUGGCGUGGGUGGUGGAGUUCAAGGCUAAUGUGGUCAGCUUUGGGCGACUGAGAAAAAAUGAAAAUAGAAGGAAAAAGUGUUUUAGGGUUUCGACCAUUUAGAAAAAUUUGUAAGUAUUCACCAUCCCCUUUAUUUUUUGACUUAAUAAAUCUUAAAUAGGGAAUUGUUAUAAAAUGGGCUCAAGUCGUGGAUUCGAGAUUAUGAUCCAAAAUUGUUGAUUAAAUAAAUAUCUAUGUAUAUAAUUAUUAUCCUAAUUUAAUAGUAUUUCUAGACUGUGCUAAAAACGCCAAAAUUGAUAUUAAUAAAAGUAAUGAAUAAAAUGAAUAUUAAAAAAUGUAAUGAACGUAACCCAUGACGUGUUAAACAAUGCAAUUUAACAGAAGUAAUGAUUUAAUCAAAAUGAACAAAAUAUUUGAACGUAUUCAACAGCAUGUGACAAAAAAAAUGUAAUUAAAAUUAACUGAUAAAAAAAUCCUAAAUUUUGAUAAAUAAGGAUAGUUAUCGAUAAACUUAUUUAAAAUUAUAAAAAAUUUAUUUUGAACUAGUAAAUAAAUAAAACUUAAAAGUUACGAAUUUUGAAAAUGUUAUGCCAAAAUUAGGUGUCAACAAUCCAUAUUAUAUAUUGUUGUCAAAAACUGUAGCAAACGAAAUAUACAUCACCCAAAAAUCAAAACAUGUAAUUAAAUGUUCAAACUGCAAUAAUUAAUACAAGUUCUAUAUUUUCCUCUCUCUUCAAUUUAUAGUCCAUAUUUAAGUGUGACCUUCUUUUUAAACCAUAUUUAAGCUGAAAUUUAGGAACUCAUUAUUAAAGAUUUUAUGAUCUCAUAUAUAUACAUAUAUAUAUAACGAUCAUCUACUGCAACCACAGCUCGAGGAGCCAUGGUAGGUUGUUAGUCACGCUAUGGUCACAUGGCCAUACUUCAUUGGUUUCCUGUCUCCUUAGAAAUCAAGGAUUUUGUUGUAUGACCUUACUUGAACAGGAUAUGUUUUAUAGGCUCGUACCACUGAAUCCUUGAUUUCUAAGGAGACAGGAAACCAAUGAAGUAUGGCCAUGUGACCAGAGCGUGACUAACAGCCUACUAUGGCUCCUCGAGCUAUGGUUGCAGUAGAUGAUCGUAUAUAUAUAACAAUAAAUUUCAGAAUUAAAUAUACUUAUUUCACCCAAAAAAGUAUUUUAGAUAUAAAAAAACACACCAAAAACGAGUUCAAAAUUUCAGUAAAACAAUUUUUUUCUCAAAAAAUUGAGUUCCAAAUUAAAUAAAAUAAAAAACGAAAUCAAAAUUUCAAAAUGUAGAAUUAUUAUUUCUAAAAAAGUCAAAUUAAAAAAAUAAAAAACAACAUCAAAAUUUAAAAUAAAAAAAAAUCGAGAAAAGCAAAAAAAAAAAGAAGAUAGAUUAAAGUGAGAGAAAAUUACAUGUUAAAACCUUUAGUGAUAAAUUUAAAAUAUUUGGUUAGUAAUCAAUAUUUAUCUUAGAAAUAAUAAAAUAAUCAAAAUAAGAAUCAACUAAUUAGGAGAAAAUCAAGGGAAAUAUUUAUCUCGUAAAUUAUAAAUUAGUAUAUUUAUGGAAAGGAUAUUUAGUUAAUUAGAAUGGGGAAAAAGAACAAAGAAAACGGGGUGAAAGAGAAACUAAAGAUGGAAAGAGUAAUGUGAGGGUGGGGAUGUGGAUUGGCAUGUGAUAAGUUAAAAAAUUCCUUAAAAUGUGUAAAAGAUAAUUACAAUUUGAUUUUCUCUCACCUAUUAAUUAUAUAAUAUAUAUUAGUUAAUAAUAUAUAAUUAAUUAAUAAAAUAUAAUUAAUUAAUUUGUAAAUUAAAACUAACCUGUUAAUACUUGUAAUUAAAAUGUUAUAAGUAGUAAUACUAAAAAAGUAGAUCUAAAUGUUGUAAUAUUAACCCAGAUGUGUGAGGUGAUUUUUUCUUUUUACAAUUAUAUCCUUCCUUCUUGAACUUUUUAUUUUUCCUUCUUUAACUUUGUAUUUAAAUUAAAACAUUUCUUUAAUUAUGUAGAAGCAAAAAGUAGUCAUAUAGGAGUGAUACGGGUAAUAUUGUCAUUUUAACUUUUUAAAUAGUAUUAAUUAUUUCACCUUCUACUCCGCAUAUAUAAUACAUAAAUUUCCUCAUAACUUAUACAUGUAUUAGUUAUGCGGAUUUCAAAAUUGUCAACCAAACGUCGUAUUAAUUUUAUAUAUGAAUAACUCUCUUUUUAUCCACCUACCAAAUGUUGUGUUCUAUAUAUAUAUAUAUAUAUCACUUUUUUCUUAUCCAUCUACGAAAUAUUGUAUUAAUUAUAUAGAUGAAUAACUUUUUCUUAUCCACUAACCAAACAUCGUAUAAGUUAUACAAAUUCUAAUACAUGAAUAAAAUUUAUUUUAUUCGGCUACCAAACGAUCUCUGGGCAGCCAAAUUUUCCAAUCUUUAUCAACUUUGCAUAUCAAUAAUGCGCCGAUGGGACCAUUAGAGAUUAUCCACAACUAAAACGUGUCAAUAAAGUACGACGGUUGGUUGAGCAUAUAAUAUACGGUAGUAGGCUUAUUAAUAUUUGGAGUAAAUUUCAUUUAGACAUUCAUAUUAUGACUUGGUUCAAUUGAGCAUCUGAACAUAUGAUCAAAUAUUUCUAUUAGAUACUUCCAAUCCAAGUUUGGAGAAACUCUAAUUUUGAGUGUCUUUUCAAUUAGUGGCUAUUACGUAGGUAAGUUAACUAAGUAAAAUAUUUUAUACCCUUAAUUACACGAAUUAACCUCAAUAAGCUAUAAUACCUCAUAUUUGUUCCAAUUAACUUAAAAUACGCCGAUGGAAAGUGAUGGGUGGAAAUUAGUGGAAAGGAAAUAUGAAAUCAAGAACUCUAAUAAAAUUCGAACAUAGAAUAAGCUUGUUUUAUUCAUAACUGUUACAUGGAGCGUGGAUAGAACGAUCCACUUUAUUCCUUAACGAAGAAAAUAGCAAGAGGGUUUUGACCGGAAGCAACGAGAGGAUAUAUAUAAUCCGUAAUCAAUAGUGAAGCUCACAUCAUUACACAUAAUUAAUACAUUAACUUGUAUGCAUUUUCCAAUUCUUGUUCCUCCGUCGUCUCAUAUUUCAUAAUCUUGAACAAGUUGCUUUCAUUUCCACCAGUGAUUCACCAACAACUUUCCAAACAGUUUCGUUCAAACACGCGCGCCGGAGUAGAUAUAUCAAAAUCUGAGAACAUGCAUCCUUUAAUUUUCACGCUCCACAUUAUCAACCUUAAGAACAAAUUUCACGGAAUUCGGUAAAAAAGUUGAGAAAUAAGCUUUGUUAUUUUUAAUUUUUGUAGCUAAGAUAUUUUAUGAAUUUGGACCACAUAUUAAAUAUGAGUUUAAUUUUGGUAGCUAAGAAAAAUUCAUAUAUACACCCUAAUUUGGACACAAUUAUUCACAGUAGCUCGUACAAAAACAUUGGAAUGUCUCUUUCGGAAUAUUGUAUUUAUAGCUCUUAAUAUCACAUAAAAUACAUCAAUUGAAAUAGAUUCUAAUUUAUAAUUUUUUCUUAUACGUGAUAAGCCAAAAAUUAAGCAAAACACACCCUUUGUCUCUUUUUUUUUUUUUUUUUAAUUUGUCUAAAAUAUUAUUUUAUAUUUAAAUAUAAUUUAACUUUAAAAUUCACAUAAAUAUUUAAUGAGAUAAUUUAUAAUGACAUAAAUAUUUAACCGAAUCAAUUUGGACCAAAUAUUCCCUGAAUACCUAAACACACCUACCGGAACUAGGACAUCCACGCACAUAAAUAUAUAAAACUGUGUACCCACACACGUACAAUUCAAUCAAUCCACGUACAAAAAAGAUCAAAGUCAUUCUUUUUAAGUUUUAACCAGGGAGAUGUUUGGAUACUGUAGUGGAACAUCAAAAUACAAUGCAAAUUAUUUUGUGGAUAUAUGAACUAAAACUAUGAUACAGAUCAUUCUUUGAAAUUUGAUCAUAAUUUAAUUUCGAUAAUUUGUCAGAAUUGGUUAUAAAAUUUUGAUAGAUUGUUAUAAUUUUGUAGACAUUGAAAUUUUGCGUACUCUACAAGGCGUGUUCAAUUCAAAUUGGGACUCUAGAAGGUGUGUUCAGUUUCAAUUAGAAUUCUUGGAGGCUACUCAACCCUAAACCCUAGUUUAUUCCUAUAUAAAGGGUACUAAAUUCCCUUAAAAGGCAUCUCAAAAUAUCCCAUAAACUCUUGGGUAUUUUUAAAGAUCAAGAUCUCGAAUAUUCCACAAAAGACAUGGAAUAUUCAUAUAGAGGUCAAAUCUAAAUCAUCCUAGUUCGAGAAAUACGCCACUAACGGCUCUCGAAUCAUGGAUAAAUCUUAGGAGAGGAGAAUCAAGGGAUCAACAGAAUUGUACCCGCAAUCUUAAUGAAUAAAAUUAUGUUUCUUCAUGUUUUUUUGUGAUUGUAUUUUAUUUUCUGUCACUUUAAAAUUUGUUGCAAACAAAUUGGCACGCCCAGUGGGACAAUCUCUACCUCUCAUCCCAACUUUUCAAGCAUCAAAUAACAUCGAGAUGACUUCCAUGAAGAACAACUCUCGAUCAAACUGCCUCUAAAGGCCACUAGCUCCAAGUUCUCUACUGAAGUUGAAGGCAUUCUUGAUGUUACUUUUGAAAGUUUCGGAGCUGUUACGAGAGACAAAGCUGCUAUGCUAAGACAACAAACACUGCAAGUGUCGUCCGCAUCAACUCCUGUUUUUGGGUCUUCAACUCCAAAAAGAGCAAGUUCCUCCACAAAUGCUUUGGAAGGAGGAAGCAGGUAUUGCUGAAAAGAUCAAGGAGACAUUGGCUCUACUUGAGCAAUCUGGUUCCAAGAAUUACUACCACAAGGGAGAACUAUGAUUCAACUAAUGAAUCAUCUCCAUAUGCAUCGCGUAACGUGAGUCCAUUGAAGAUUAACUUACGCGACAAUCCAUGCUACUCUCCUACAUCUCCCAUGUUCAUGCAAACGAUGGUAACUGUUGCUUCCUCUCCUGAGGAACAACUCGCAAAUCUGACAAAGUUGGUUGAAGGAUUGACAAAGCAUGUACAACAUCAAGAGUCUCGAAUUGAUAAGUUGAUGGAUAGGAUGUGUUGUGUCGUAAUUUGACUAUUUCUAGAAAAAUCACUUUUUGAAAUGUUCUAAGUAUAAAACACUAAAAGAAAAUACUUAGAAAGAGUCGCCACUUAAUUUUUAAAGAAUUAAAAACUUAUAAUUUUCAAAGAUUUAAACAGAAAAAAAUCGUUUGAAAAUACCAAAGAGGGUUCGGGGUUCAAUUUACACUUCAAGAAGGGUUUAAGCAUUCGAAGUGUCCGCUAACAUGCGGUUGACCUGCAACUUGACUAAAAUAUAUUUGACUAUUUAAAAAAAAAAAUGUUUCAAGGUUGCACACUUUGUGGAGACAUGUAAUAAUGUUGGAACUGNNNNNNNNNNNNNNNNNNNNNNNNNNAGAAGAAUACUUUAACUUAAAACCACUUUAAAAUAAAAUGUGAUCAAGUGAAGAGGCCUUAAAACAUAUCUUUUUAAGAACAAAGAUUUAACUUAAUUAAAAUACAAAAUUCGACCAAUUAUUUGAAAUUUAAAAUAAGUGAACACAACAAGUGAAAUGUAUUAAAAAUAAACCAACACAAAGAAAAUGACUCGUCUUUUGGGAAUCUAAUUAAGUUAUUAAUAAAUUAAGGUUAGAGAUAAAUGAAGUUAGUCAUACGUAAUCAAAAUAAUUAGGAGAGUAAAAGAGAAUAAAAUUGGGCCCCUUUUUGGGCCAAUUUUGCUACAAGUUUUUGGGUUUUAACCCAAUCCUCUUUUUGUAUACACUGACUGUAUAUCAGUGUAUAUCGGCGUGUGUAUAGGUGUUUUUCGUGUAUAUCUUGCUUCCGAACACCUAGAUUUUGCCUUAGCCCUGUAUUCCUGCGUUUUAGACCUGUAUCUCACUGUUUUUGUCGUGUAUAUUGACGUAUACCACUGUAUACAAGCUGUAUUUCAGCUUAUUCUCAAGUUUCCGAAAUAUGAAAACUUAAUUUCCAGCCCGUAUCUUGCUGCUUUCAACCUGUACACCAGCUUGGCAGAUCCGGUAAGGGCCAACUCGAGCAAAAAGAGCAAGUUUGGGCCUUUACGGCCCAAAUCGAAAUGCAAAGGGGAGUAGAGAAGUCCAUGAGGACCCAAGGCGGAUUCAAACAUAGAAAAAACCACGGAAAAAGAAACAAGAUAGGAAUUAGUCAUGGAGGACACUUUAAAUUUAUGCAAUACAACCAAGAUACAUGAAAAAAGAAAUAAGACAAAAUAGGCAUGUGAUUAGUUCACUGCCAAUGUUACGCGAAUAUGACAAAGGAAUGCAUACAAUACUUAAUGAACUUUCAUUUAAAUUAAACUAACUUCACAUAACAAGAUGAAACACCAAAAGGUAGUGAUAACUAAACAAUAAAACUAAUAGUGAUUAAAUGAAGUAGAUUUAGACAUGAUUACUUAGACAUAAAUAAUGAUAAGGAAGCAAUUAUUAGUAAAAAAUGGAGCGGACUAUUGAGGCUAAUGUGAUUAAGUUUUUUUAAAAAAAUGCUAUAUGAAACUAUACAAAGGCAAUAAUGCACUCAUGUGUUAAUGGACUAAACUUGAGCAUUUUUUGCACAUAAGCAAAGUAGUAGACCCAAUUCACAGAAUAAUGCUACUGCUUUGCACCAAUUUUAGACGUGACUAAGUGAUGGAUUCUUAGCAAUUUUCACAACUUAAAAUAAAGAAAUAGGAAAAAGCAUAGGCGGCAAAACAUACAAAUAACUUAAGCACAAUUUUUCACGUACUAAGGCAUGUAUUUAAAGCUAAACAAAAAGGGAUUAAAAUUUAAACCUUAAGACUAUAAUCUUUCUAAAAUGAGAUUCAAUCAAAAGAAACCAUCAAAAGAGAAGAAAAUAAACAGCUCAUGCGCUCAAUAAGCACAUACAAGAAUAGGACGCCACUGCAUUUUGGAAAGAUUUUUUAACUCAAACCAAAUAUGAAACUCGACUAAUUUGUCACGUGCAAGCUAUAUUCACCGAACCUUUACAUAAUAGAAAAUAAUAUUCUAGAUCAGAUUCAAAAGAGGUAUGGGGAGAAUGCAAGUUUCAAGACCCUCAAAGGGGGUAUGGAUGCGAGUGAACAUGAUCGAAAUAAACAACUAGAGAUUCAAGACAAACAACAAUAUGGAUAGUAAGUGAACUCAAAAUCUUGACGUCUUGAUUCAUUCAUCAAAUUUGAGAUGGAAGAAAAAAACAAAGACUGACGUCGAAAACCAAACAUUAUCCCAGAUUCAUACUAAACAAGAGCAAACUAAGACUAAUACAGUCAUUUCAAAAAAUUGAUCACAACUAUAUUAUAAAAGCUAAGACAGCAAGAGUAGUAAUAACAAUUAGAAAAUAACCCUCCAACAUCUACAUACAUAUUCAAGUCACAAUCAACACUAAAGGUGAAAUAGUAGACAAAAAGAAACCUCAACUCUUAUCAAUAUCCGAAAGCGAACAAACCAUUAUCGAAGAAGGAAACCGAAUUCACACGGGAAAGGAGUGAAAAAAAAAAUGAUUGACUAAACAGAAAAAGCUAUGCUGAUGACUUGAGACCAAACAAAAUCGAAACAACCCAAAUUUCUGUCAUUUCAAAUAACUCAACAGUUAACAUACCAGCAUAUUGAAUAUAACCAAAAUAUGAACUAAAAAAAACAGGGGUUACCUUUUAAGGUGCAGCAAACUGGACAGGAAACGAGCAGAACGACACCUUCACAACGUUAGGAAUCGAACACAAACAACAAGCAAGAUGCUUGAGCGGAAAUAUCAACCCAAACACUAAAGAAAAAUAAGUGUCUCCUCUGGUUUUCUUUGAAAUGUAUUUCUAUAUAUAUAUGUUGCAGCUAAUUGCUUUACAAUACCUUUUGCUCUAAAAGUUUUCAACCAAAAAAAAACCCCCCUAAAAAUGACAAGAAAAGAUGUAUUUAUAGGGGAAAAUUCGGGUUCCUUUUGAGGGGGAAAAUGGAAGGGGCUUUGAAUAAGAACAAGGGUAAAAUCGAGAUUCCCCACAAAUUCUCAAAAUUCAAAACUUCCCAAGGACCAAGAAAAGGCUGGUUUGUGCGAUAUUUCAACCAAAUCCCACAAAAUCUGGACGGAGGGAUUGGGCGGCUGUUGCAGAGAAAGGUUGUUCGAACUGCUCUGGCAGAGGAAGAAGACACAGAAAGCUACCGGUUCCGUGAACUCGCUGUUCUUCGCGUUUGGUCCAGUCGCGUUGCUGGACUGUUCUGGGUUUCAUCGUGAUGUGAAGAAGAAGAGCACGUGGGUGGGGUUGGUUGUAUGUGUAUGUAUUGUUUUUGGUUAAUUGGGAAUUGUUGUAUGUUAUGCCUUCUGAUGGGUUACUUUGAUAUUGUGAUUUGGGCUGCUGGUUGGAAAAAUUGGCUGAAAGAUUGAAUUGGAGGAGGAAGUAAUGGGCUGCUUGAUACCAACAGGCCCCAAAACUUGGUCUUAAAGAAGUGGGUAAAUUCAAUUCCAACCAAUUUAGUUAAGGUUUAACCAUAUGAAUCUAAAUUAUAGCCAAUUGGAUUAAAUAAGUUAGCCAAAUUGAGUUGGUUUAGCGAAUUCGGCUAGAAUUAAAAUAGGAUCAACCAAUAUAAUUAAUUCGGCCAAAAUUUAAAUAAGACGAGCUUAUAUAAAUUAUUUAAGGAGCUUCUUAAUCUUAACGAAAAUGAAAAAAAUUAAAUCGAUUAUAAAAUAAUUAAUUUUAUUGCAAACUAAUUAAUUCAAAACAUUUCUAUUAUAAAAUAACUAGUUUAAUUAAAAACUAAUUAACUCGAAACUAUAAUUUAAAGUCAUAAAAUAUUUAACUAAAAUGUAGAAUCUUUUGUGAUGAUUUUCAAAUAUUUAUAAAAUAACGUGAUUGUAAAAAAUAUACAUAUUUAUUAUUUAAAGUUAUUAAAAUUAUUAAAAUGAUAAUAUCACUCUAAAAAUAACUUGAAAGUAUUUUGAAUUUCAUAAAAUUUAUUAAUUCAAAGUUAUGACCCUUGCUAAUAAAGUAGUUAAAAAAAAAAAAAAAACUUUUCGAGAUGAUUUUUGAAUACUCAUAAAAUGCAUUAAUUAUAUACAUAACUAUAUAAAAUAUAUAUAUAUAUAUAUAUAUUAAUUAAAGAAGUGACAAAACUAUUUAAAAUAACUUGCAAACUAUGUUUAUUUUAUUUUAUUUCUGAAAUUUUUAUAAAACUAAUUAUUUUAAAUCGUUAGAAAUUGAAGAAGCGCAAUGAUUAAUUUAUAUUGUGGAGGUCCAAAAUUGGGUGUCAACAGGAUGGAAGGACUUUUAGAUGGAGAAGCGAGUCAUGCGCUAGAAAGGUGUUGAAAGUUCAAGAGAUCGGAGAUCCUGCGAAGAAAGCACCGCUUGUUAAUGAGAUGUUAGUUUCUUCUGAAGGAAUGAUCCCACUUGAUCGCUUGUCAGAGUUUAUUGAAGGCACUAUCAAAGAUAAGUAUGAAGUCUCCACCAAGUCUUCUCACAUGUAUGCCAUGCCAUACACUGCGAGAAUUGAUAACUUCAAAUUGCAUACUGGUUAUCAACCUCCCAAAUUUCAACAACUUGAAGGUAAAGGAAAUCCAAAACAACAUGUUGCACACUUCGUGGAGACAUGUAAUAAUGCUGGAACUAAUGGAGACCAUCUCGUCAAACAGUUUGUCCGCUCCCUAAAAGGAAAUGUCUUUGAUUGGUACACAGAUCUCGAACCUAAUUCUAUUGAUAGUUGGGAGCAACUAGAGCACAAAUUUCUCAAUCGCUUCUAUAGCACAAGGCGUACGGUGAGCAUGGUAGAACUCACAAAUACUCGCCAAAGGAAGGAUCAACUGGUUAUAGAUUUCAUAAAUCGAUGGAGGAACGCUAGCCUAAAUUGCAAGGAUAGGCUUAAUGAAACUUCUGCAAUCGAAAUGUGUAUUCAAGGAAUGCACUGGGAACUUCUUUACAUUUUACAAGGAAUAAAACCAAAAUCCUUCGAAGAUCUAGUUACUCGUGCUCAUGAUAUGGAGUUAAUCAUGUCUUCUGCUGGAAAAGAUAUGACGUAUGCCCGAGACCCUCGCAAAGGAAGCGAUAAGGAGGAACCCAAGAGAUGGAGCAAAUUUGUGCCUAGAAAUGACAUAAAUAAUCCAUGAAUGUUAAUGUGUCACCUGCGAAGAUCACUACGAAUGAGGGCAUGAAGCAAAAUGUGAGAACGACUUUCCAAGCAAGUUCAAAUCAAAAGUCGACACUAAGGGAGAUGCAAGGAAAAAAUUAUCCCUUGUUGGAUUCUGACGUUUCUGAGAUUUUUGAUGAGUUGCUCGUGUUAAAGCUCACUGACUUGCCAGAGAUGAAGCGACCCAAUGAAGCUGGAAAAGCUGAUGACCCAAAUUAUUGCAAGUAUCAUAGACUUGUGAGUCAUCCUCUCGAAAAAUGUUUUGUCUUCAAGGAUAGAGUGAUGUGAUUGGUUAACGAAAAGAAAAUUGUCCUUGAUGAUGAGAAGGCUAGUUCUAACCAGAUCUCUAUCACGUUUGGCUCACUCGAUCCGGUCCAAAUAUAUAUCUCUGAAAAGCAUGAAGAAGAGUCAUUGGAGCAGGAAGUUGAUAUAGAUGGUGAUGAAGGCUAGAUUCUUGUAACUAGGCGAGGACGCAAUAAGUCACGUUUACGAAAAUAAUCAUCCGAGCAACCGAUUAGAGGGAAAAUGGUGAAGAAAUUGGAGAAGCAGAAAUCAACCAAGCGCCCAAAGAGGGCAAAGGUAGAAGUGCAUCACUACCAAAAACCCCAGCGUCCUGUGACUCUAGAGGAAUUCUUACCAAGUUCGUUUGACAUAAAGUCUAUGCAAGACAAUGUCGAGGCAUCAUGUUUCAAUGCUGAUAAAGCAGAAACAAUGAAGGUGCCUCCUGCUGACAAAGAAGGAACAACGAGUGAAUCCUCCCCAAAAGUGUCUCCUAAUGACGAUGAAAAGACAACAAGGGAAAUAUCGUCAAUGAUGUCUCAUUCACUUUCUGAAACACCUAUUGAACCUUCUUCCCAAGAAGCACAUGCAUGUGAUACAAAAAUCACAUUUACAGAUAAUGAUCUUCUAUUUGGUGAAACACUACACAAUCGUCCUUUGUAUAUGGUGGGUCACGUGCUAGAGAAGAAGAUAAAUAGAAUCUUAAUAGAUGAAGGAUCUAGAGUCAACAUUCUGCCUAUCCAUACAUUAAAGGAACUCGGCAUCACGACUGGAGAACUUAGUGAAAGUCGUCUAUUGAUACAAGGAUUUAAUCAAGGGGGGCAGAGGUCCAUAGGCUCUAUUAAAUUAGAGAUCCACAUGGAAGAUUUGCGAUCAAGCGCAUGGAUGCAUGUGAUCGACACAAAGACGUCAUACAAUAUAUUACUUGGCAGACCUUGGGUACAUGAGAAUAAAAUAGUUGCAGAUGCUUGAAGUAUCUUGAAGCGGGAUUGAAUGGAAGAUAGUUGCAGAUGAUAAUCCUUUCACCGAAGUUGAGACACACUUUGCCGAUGCGAAAUUCUAUUUGAAAAGUUAUGUUGUUAAAGGGACCAAAUCUAAUGAUGUAAAACCAAUCAUGUCCGAUAAGGUCAUAAGCAAAAGAAUUGAUGCGGCAGUCGAAAAGGUAAACGUUGACACUAAAGAACUUUGUCCCAUUUUUAAUGAAGGGAAGAUCAUGUCUUCGAAGAAGAAGCUGACUUCUAGACUUUGCUAUGUUCCAACAGUGAAGAAAGAAGAAGGUCAAUCAUCUAACCUUCAAGAAAAUUUAUUGAGAGGGCUAACUCUUCCUAUCAGACGGAUUGAUGCAAUAAACUUGUCUUCAAAGCUACCAGAAAAGUCUUAUCUCUCAAAAUUAAGUGCGAGAUGUGGCGCUCCCUACAAAAUGCACAAGAGAAGGUUUUGAUCCCAAUGCUUACAAGUUAUUUGUGAAGGCUAGAUACAACCCUAAUGAGCCAUCAAUGUUAGGGAAACUUAUAUCAGAAGAUACAACUAGGCAAGCACAUAAAGGCCUAGGCUAUAGCCAACCGUCGCCAAUUCGCAUUUCCAUAAGAAGGGCAAGCAACAACCAUAUAACUUUUGAAGAUGAUGUCGCUACUCCCAACAAAAAGCCUUCCGUCUUUGAUCAACUUAGAGAAUCGACUGCAAGAACUUCUGUGUUUGAGAAGUGAGGUCCAUUGAAGAAAAACAAGAAUCUCAGAAUUUAUUUAAAAGUUACAACGCCUGCUUCACAUUUGGUUCGAAAGGAUUUCAAAAGUUCGAUUCCUUCUAGAAUGAGGCGACGAGUGGAACUUGUAGUUUCAUGUAAAGAGGAACUCAAGGCAAAGGUUCACACUGUGGCUUACACCAAGGAGCGCGAGGAAAAUUCUAAACAAGAAGCUAGAGAAAAUCCGUGGUACAAACGCCAUAAAAUUCUCUAUAAAGCUACAAGUUUAAGAAUUCAAGUAUUCAAGUUCAAGAACGAUCAAGAUCAAGACCAUCGGAUUCAAGAACAAGCUUGAAGUCCUUGAAUUCAAGCAAAAGUCAAGAUCAAGAUAAAGUUCAAAGUUCAAAUUCAUCGAAGAUUCAAGAUCAAGCUAUAAAGCCCUUGAAUUUAUAUUUGAAAAGGCGAAUUCAGAGGAAUCAUAGAGAUUGUAACACUCGCACUUUGAAAUAAUAAAUACGGUUCGUUGUUGCUAUAAUUUUGCGUUCUUGAUUAUUGUUUUCUCAACGCGAAUUUUAUUGUCUACAAAAUUAUUGUGUGAAAAUUUCACCAAUAUGAUCAUGCUUCAAAAUUGAUCCAUUUAUUAGAUCCAACGUAAAUCUUCAAAAAUAAAUAGUUUUACUUUUUAACUUCAAAAUCCUCAACAUUUCAAGCUCAAUAAAAUCAAACAAUGCUGCUCUUCAAUUUCUUCAACCAAUUGAAACCGAAUAACGAAAGAUAACUAUAGAAGUUCAUAUGGAACAUUACAAAUAUAAUUCCAAUCACAAAUUAAUUAACAACUCUACUUGAGGUAGCAGACCAAUAAUGUACCGAUGGGACCAUUAUAGAUUAUCCAUUACUAAAACGUGUCAAUGAUGUACGACGGUUGGUUGAGCAUAUACUAUUAGGAUUGAAGGUGUCCAAUAUUGGCUAAGUAUAUAUACGGAUCCGCCUCCAAUGAGAGGAUUAUGAAUAAUGUAUUUUUCACCAAUGUAGCUAGAGUGGUAGGCCGUCCAUGUCCAACACUUGAGGGGCCGGCUACAUCAUCAUCAUCAUUAUUAUUAUGAUGAGUAGUUGUGGGGAGGAUUUUGGGAAGUGAAAGAUCCACAAAAGGCAACAAAGGGAAACAAAGAGAGCAACAGGAAACUCAAAAUAUUAAUCGACUUCAUCUUUAAUUUGAGUGUAUUUUGCUUACUCUAUCUCCAAUUUAUAGACCACCACAUGUAUGUAACAACAUUUUUGAGAAACAAAAAUGCCUACCUUUUAGGUUAGUGCCAUGAUUUAUCAAGUCUAUUUAUUUUAGUUUGUUUAAUUGAUUAAGUAAUUAGUUUAUUGCUAUAAAAAACAAUUACAACUUGAAGCAAAAAUAUUUACAUUACACACACACACACAUAUAUAUAUAUAUAGCUACAAGAUUUUGUUUCCAAAUAGUUUAUUAUGAUUAAAAAUUAAUUACUACUGUUAUACUAACCUUUAUUGCGUGACUAAAAUUUAAAUUUAAUUAGUCAAUUUCCAAUAGGUCAUAGACUCAUAGACCAUAGUUGUGUGAAAGUCGCGACAGACAACUGUAUAUUUAGUUUUUAUUCUUUUCCUUUUUUUCUUGUAAAUUCUUAACUAAAAAAUAAAUAGAUUCCUUUAAAAAUAAAUAGACACCUUCGGUCUUCAACAAUUUUUCUUAAGCUCAAUAAGAUCCAACAAUUCUUUCAACCAAAUGAAACCAAAUCAUUAAGGAUAACAAUAUAAAUUCAAUGGAACAUUACAUAUAUAAUUUCAAUCACAAAUUAAUAAGCAACGGGAAGGAGAAGAAGAAAAAGAGGAGUUUUCUUGCCUUUCAUAAAGUUUGGAUAGUUAUUUUAAUUUAAUUAAUUUAGUUUAUCUAAAAGUUGGAAUUAUUCGAGUUAAAUAUAUAAUCUAGAUUGACUUACCAUUUUUCCCGUACCGAACACACCUUUUGUCCCUUAUUUUUCUUUUAAUUUGUCUAUAAACUUAUAGUUUACAUUUAAACAUAAUUAAAUUUUAAAAUUCUCAUAUAUCUAUAUAAUCUAGAUUGACUUACCAUUUUUCCCGUACCGAACACACCUUUUGUCUCUUAUUUUUCUUUUAAUUUUCUAUGGAGCGCAAUUAUGCAAACUAUAGUCAUAACAUACAAAUAUGAUUUUUAUGUUUGCUAUAUGUGAAAGUUGCUCUAAUUUAUAAUCAUAUAAAGAUCUAAAUUUAUUAUUUCUGCACCAUAAAUUUAAAAAAUACUACUUAUUAUUUUAUUUUUUUUUAUGUGUAAUCAACCACGAUAUAAAUUAUGACGAAAGGGGUAGCUUUUUAAACUCAAUCAUUUAUGGACCACAAUAUGCAAUGGUCACCUAACAACACCACUUAUCUGAAUUAAGAGGUCUACAUAUUUAUUUAUUUGUACUGUUAAGCAAUGACUCUUAGUUUUGAUGUUUUAGAUAGAAAUAUUGAAAAUAUUUUUGAAUUUGGUGUGAAUUAUUAAUUUCGUAUUCAAACUAUUGAUAGCCUUAAAAGCAUUCAUUUACUUAACUAACUGAACUUAAAUACACCAUUUUCAUCCUAUAAACAUACAUGUACACCUCCUACUUGACUAACUGAACCCUUUUAAAAAAGUAGCGAGAACGUGAAAUAAUUUCGAAUUAUUGCAUUCUGGAUAUGUGGAUGCAAGCCUAGCUAUGUACUGGUGUUGGGGACGUAGUGAUUCUUUAUAUCCACACGUGAAACAAGUGUUUUAAUUAGGGUUCAUAAAAUCAGCAGGUAGGUUGGGUGGGUUUUUUUUUUUUUGGUUUAUCAUCCGAUGAUGGGAUUUAAAUUGGAGCCUAGAUUAAAUUUGGAUCGGGCACUAUAGGGUCCAUUUGGAGGUGGCGCUCCCAACAAAAUUUUCUCCAUACCCAGAGCUCGAAUCUAAGAUCUCUGAUUAAGAGUGAAACAGUCUCACCACUGCACCACAAGUCCACAACCCAUGCUGGUGGUAGGUUGGUGAAUUAAUGAGCCCUUGUCUUAAUUUAGUUUUUUUUGAUCUAUUUUAUUUAAAAUUUAGCAAGGAUCGAACGAAUUACCUUUCUAAAUUAUGCAAAAAUUAAUACAAAAAACCAAACACUAUGUUUCUAUUUUUUAAAAUAAAAUAAAAUUAUACCACUAGACAAAGUAUCUACCAAUUUUUUAUUAAAAUAAAAAACUUCAAUAGACAAGUAUUGCCUUUGCCCUUAAUUUGCUAUUAUAGUAUUGUUACCGGAGAAGAUGCAGAUAAGAAAAUUUAUUCGGGCGACCUUAGAGCCCUUACAAAAAGGUAGCCAUUGUUUUUAUGGAUAAAUCUAUCUCGAUUUUGCUUGCUAUUAAUGAUUAAUCUAUCUCCAAUUUAUACAGCUGCUAAGGGCAUUUUUGGCUUAAUUAAUUCUCUUAUAAUUAUCCCCUUAAUUCAUUUAGACAUUUAAAUCCAGACUUGUACCUAUUGAACACUUCUAUUUUUUUGAAUUUGAGCCAUUCUAAGAUUUUUUUAAAAAUCAGCUAAAAAUAUAAGAAUGAAUAAAAUGUACUAGCGAUGACAUGACAAUUUGACAAAUUAAUUAAGUAAAAUUUACAUAAAUCUCAUAGUGUUUAAGAACUAAUUACAUCAUAUCUCUACUUUUUUCCAAAUUACAAAAAUCAUUUAAAUUUAUAGGAACUCGGAUAUAUCAGAAAAUCUGUGGAUACAUAGCUCACAGAUUGCUAAUGUUACAUUACUUAAUAGAAGUGAUGUAUUCGAAAGGGAAGGGAUGUAUCCGAGAGAGGGAAUAGGAUGUACAUGAGAGGGGAUUAAUAUUAGCAAAAAAAAUUGAAAAAUUAACAUUGUCAAUUUAAUUUUUGUAGUUAAGAAAUUUUAUGAAUUUGUGGAUAGUCGUAAGUUUGAACUUUUAUAGCUAUUACUAGAUAUUAGCCAUGACUAGCUUUUAAAUUAAUAGCUAAAAUUUCGUAAUUAUUUUUUUUAAUUUAAAAGUAAGAACUUAAAAUAAGUCAAAUCAAAUAUUUUUAUGACUUUUGAUUCAUAAUAUAUAUAUAUAUAUAUAUAUAUAGUAAUAAAGUUGAGAAAUAACUUUGUAACAUUAAUUUUUAUAGCUAAGAAAGUUAAUGAAUUUGUAAAUAGUCAUGAAACUCGAAAUUUUGUAACUUUUACAAGAUACCAUCCUGAAAAGUUUUUCUUUAAUUUUUUUUUAAAGAACUUAAAAUAAGUUAUUCAAACAUAUUCUUACUUAUAAAUAAACUCUAAUUAUGAAUUUUAAUUUAUAAGUUAUUCAAACAUAUUCUAACUUAUACAUUUUUAUUUAAAAAGAUUUUUUUAUCACCCAACUCCCANNNNNNNNNNNNNNNNNNNNNNNNNNNNNNNNNNNNNNNNNNNNNNNNNNNNNNNNNNNNNNNNNNNNNNNNNNNNNNNNNNNNNNNNNNNNNNNNNNNNNNNNNAACCAAUCCCAAAAAAUUGAGGGCGUGACGCACAUGCUUUGUUUAUCUAUUUCAUAUAAAUGUAAAUUUACGUAGAUAUAGUGUAUUUAGAAAAUUAUACAUAGUUUUGAUUUUAUGUAUCUCGAGAUAAAUGUAACUGGAUGCAUCAAAAUCUUGUAAGAUCCGUAAUAUAGCAAAUUAAAGAAUAUCUAAAUAAUUAGCUCUUAAACUAGUGAGGUUUCUUUAAAUUUCUCAUUAUUUUAUGAAAUAAGUGACAAAAACACACCUUAACUAUCAUUUUUUUAGUUUCAUACCUAAACUAUCGAGAGUGUGAGUUUUAUACCUAAACUAUCACUUAUUAAUUUGAGAAAUAAUAAAAUUACUCAAUUCGUAUAUUUAAAAUGAACAAAAUCAACUGAAAGUUUAUAUGUGUGCGUGGAUUAUAUAGAUUACCCAAUAUGUUUAUUCGCAUCCCAAAUUGGACCACCAAUAUAAAAAUAAUAUCACUUUCAUACAUUGAUUAUUGUAUUUAUCGCUCCAUGUAUUGUUGGGCCAAAUAAUACUAAUGUAAUUGUCCAUAACUAAAACAUGCCAAUGAAGUAGGAUUUGAAAAAAAAAAAAAAACGUAGUUGUCAUGCAAAAGCAAAUCAAUUUGCUACGUACCCUUUUAUUAUUUUUUUGAGCGAUCAAGAAUGCAAGGCCAGAUUUGAGAAUUUCAACAAAAUAUUGAUAAAAUAAUAAAUCCUCAGGGAUAUUGGAAAAUUGUUAUACAAAUAAAUUUCUACAACAGCUAUAAACAAAAUAUUUCUACAAUAACAAUAGUAGAAAAUUCUUGAGGUUUACUGGGCAUGACUAAUCAAAAUUAAUUAAUAUGCAAUUGAUUAAAGGGAAAAUUGUAUGAAAUAACAAAUCGUCUUAUACACUUAUAAUUAUACAAAUACAGAUCUCAUUAUACAAAUUACAAUGUAUAAAUGAAUUUAUACAAAACUGAACAAUUUUUAUAAAAUUGAAUGUAUCUAGCGAAUUAUAUAAAUCAAAAGCUCCAUAGCAAACAUAAAAUUUGCUAUGGAGCGCAAUUAUGCAAACUUUAGGUAUAACAUACAAAUAUGAUUUUUAUGUUUGUUAUAUGUGAAAGUUGCUCUUGAUUAAACAUAAAAGGAUCUUAUCCAUGAUAUUCACAUCACGUAAUCAAUAACAAUGCAUAUUACAACUUGAACUUAAUUGUUACUCCGAUGUAGACUCCAAACAUCAACUCUAAUAUUAACAGAUGAAUAAUGAAUACUAAUGUCCUGACAGUACCGCAUGGGAUUAUAUAUCCAUAAGUAAUACGUAACACUUAUUAAUUACUAAAACUUAUUUGAAUCAGAUUUGAUUGUUGAAUCAAUUGUUUGGAAUCAGAAAUUCAUAAAUAAAGAACCUAGCCUUUUUAUUCAUAAGCAUUAAUAUUACAUAGAGUGGAUCAUAGAAGCAUGAUUCACAUUAUUUUAGAAAGCGAUGGAGCUAGGUUAUACUAAUAAGCAUAGUAAGGCCAUAGUUUAGUUUGGCUACAAAAGGCGUGCUUCUGAUCACACACAUUUCGUAAUAGAUAUAUAAUUAACUAUGCAUCAAUAUUGUUGUUUACUUUGGUGAAGCCAAAUGGAUAAGGCUUGUUAUUGGUUAAAAUGUAUGAAGUUCUGCGUUAAUUUAAGUCCACAACUUUAUUAAGAAAAUGUCUGAAGUUGGCCUUGAUAAACCAUCUCAAACAUCAGAUAAAAAUAUUUAAUGUUUGACCUUUGUAAAGCCACACUUCAGAUAAAAAUAUCUGAAAUCAAAUAUAAAAUUUAAAUUUCACUUGUAUACGUUUGAAAUUCAUCUCAAAAUAGGUAAGUUUGCAAACACAAUGAAAAAGCGGACAUAAAUUUAACGAAGACAUAAUAACAGACCCAUAUUUACAAAACGUAGCACGGGAUUUUCAUUUAGGGCCUGUUUGAAAGGACACCCUGGUAAUUGGAUUUGGUGUAAUUGGUGUAAUUACAUUGUCUUGUCCUGUUUGGAAGGACAGGUAAUUACUUGGUCAGCAGGUAAUUGGUGUAAUUGGCAGGGGUAAUUACACUCUACAAUUCACAGACAGAGACUGUGAAUUGCUGGUAAUUACAUGGUGUAAUUACCACCUGAUUACUUUUUAAUUUUUUUUUUAUUUCUAUUUUAAUUUUUUUUUACUUCUAUUAUUUUAAGUUCUUUUUUUAACUUUAUUAUUCUAAAAAAUUGUAAAAGUUUAUUUUUUAUUUUAUAUUAUUAUAUUUCAUUUUCUUCUUAUUCUCAACCUUACUUUACGUGAUUCUAUGUAAUUUUUUUGUAUUAUCUAUUUCUUUAUGCCAUGCUUAUUUUCUCAUUAGCAUAAUUUUAUUAUAUUCUAAUUUUUAAAUUAAAAUAGAAUUUAUUGUUAAGUAAGUUAUAGACUUAUGCUUUCUUUAUUAAGAAAAACUAAAACUAAAUCAUAUUUAUUGCUAUGUUGAAAUUUGUUAUAAGAGUAUUAUGUUAAAAUUUUUGUUUUGAAUUUAUAACUUAUGUUAUAUUUUCAGUUUCAUUUGUUUUAGUAAUAUUGAAUCUACAUUGCAUGUCAUUUUUUAAUUAGAGUUGAUAAAUUAUAUUUUUUUCAAACAUUUAAUAAUUUAUGACAUUUUAUUUAUAUAUUAUUCUUUUUAUCAAACAUGCAUUUCACGAUGUUCGUAGAAACUUCAUACUUUUAGUUGUUACGAUCAAUUCAAUUGAAAUAUAUUAAUUUGAAAAAAUAUAAAUCAAUUAUUUUUUCAUAAUAUUAGUUACAGAAAAUAUGUUUAUUAAUUAAUAUAUUUUCAAAAAAGAAUAUAUAUCUUAAAUAUUUAAUUUAAUGUCAUUUAUAAAGUUUCUUAUUUGUCUAGUAUAAAUUUUAAAUAAUUAAUUUUUAUUUUAAAAAUUUAUUAUAAUUUUAUGAUUGCAAUUGUGCAUCCAAACAGAACAUGUGUAAUUACGCUGUGGCAUCCAAACAGGACAUGUGUAAUUACACUACACUGUGACAACCAAACAGGUCAGUGUAAUUACUAGGCUGGUAAUUACUACCCUAGUAAUUACACCAAUUCCAAUUACCAGGUGGCUUUCCAAACAGACCCAUAGCGGGAGUGUCUUUUGUUUUUUUUCUUUUUCAAAACGCGUAUGAAAUUUUUACUCAGAAGCGUAAAAUUUUGCUCAAAAUUUUAUGUAAGGUUCAUGCUGAUUUUUGAAAAUUCAAUAUAAUUACAAUAAUAUUUUGUAUAACUUUCAUACAAGAUUUAUAUAAAUUUAAUACAGUACUACAAAAACUUGCAAACUUUAAAAUACAAUAUUUACACACUUCAUCAUAUAAUUAUAAUACAUUUUCAUACAUUUUUCGAACUUGGGUCUCGAGUUCCUUUGUGUUUAUUUGUUUAUGAUUAGGAGGCGGCUAUUGGUAUACUAUAGGUUGAGAUAAUUAUUUUUAUAAUAUGAUCAACUAAUAUUGAAUGAAUGACCAACAUGAAUUGUGAUGCAGUGCUGAGACUGGUUCACCAUUAAUUAGAGAUCUCGAGUUUAAGUCCUAGAUAUGAAGAAAGUCUUGUUGGAAGUGCUAUCACCAAUAAAUUUUACAGUGCGCGGUCCAGAUUUAGUCCCAAAUUUUCCAUUCUUAUCGUCAACUCUAGUUGCAGUUGCACUGUUGCAGGCCAAUAAUGGAUAUAUUUUAAUGUGCUCACGGGACCAUUAGAGACUAGCCAAAACUAAAACGUGUUAAUGUACGACAUCUCCUAAAAUUUGGAGUAAAUUUAAUUUAGACUUGUUAAAAUUGAACAUAUAUAUGAAUAAAUGAUGAAGUGUUAAAUCCUAUGAUAUACUUUCAAUCUAAAUUUAAAGAAAUUUAUGCAUAUUUUCAAUUAGUGUUUUUUUACGUAGAUAAGUUUUUAAUAUGCCUCAAUAAAAUCUCAAAUAUGUUCAAUUUGUUCCACUAGAGACUCAUGAAUAUAGCUAAAAGGAGGUGAUAUAUUUUAUGCUAUUAAUUUAAAAUACGACGAUGGAAAAUGUUAUAAUAAUCUGGCCUGAAACUAGGACUGAGCGUUCGAUCGGUUUGGUUUUUCAAUUUUUUGUUUGGUGAGAAUGUUAAGCGAAACCGAACUAAAAUAAAUUCGAUUCAGUUCGAUUUUCAUAAUUUCAAUUCAAUUUAUUUUGAUUCAAUUUCCACUUGAAUAUAAUCAUAUUGGACCCUUUUCUAAUCAUCAUUCAUCAGUAAAGCUUAGGGAUAUCCCGCCAGCCAUGAUACAUAUGAGCCUCAUUAGAAAUAACAAUGUGUUUAGCUAAUGCAUCUGCAACUUGAUUAGCUUCUCUAUGACAAUGAUUUACUUCAUAAUUCAUCUUAGCAACACUUGUAAGAUGUGUUCCACAACACCUUUGAUCUUCAAGUUGGAGGCGUGUCCAUUCCUUACCGUAUCAACCACCAUUUUUUAGUCUAAUUCAAGAUAGCAAUCGUGAAAUCCUUAUUGUGGAUGAUGAUAUCUAAAUACAGAUGCUCUUAAUUACAUCAAGCACGUUACCAUAAAAUAAACAAAAAACAAGAGUCGCCACUUAAUCUGUUAAAUUUAUAAAGAUUUAACAGAUUAAAUCUUUAUAAAUUUAGAGAAAAUGAGUAAGAGGUUCCCAUUUACGCUUCUAGAAGGUUUUUAAAGCAUUUGAAGUGCCCACUAACACGCGAUUAUCCUACGACUUGACAAAUUAUUUGACUUUUAACCAACUUUGAAAAAUUAAUAAAGUAAACAAAAAUCCUUUUUACAAUACCACUUAAAAAGGAAAUGAACUUAAAAUGACUUCUUCUUUUCUUUUUUUAAAGAAAAUAAUUUCCAUCGACAAACAAUUAAGUAAAUACCUCAAUUAACAUAAAGAUAGAUGACCUUUUGGCUACCUUGGAAAAUGUUUAAAGAAGAUAAGAUAUUUAAGAACGUUUGAGAAUAAAUUAACAUAAACACUUGAGAUGAUAUUGGAAAGAAAGUAAAAUUUGUCAAAUGAAUAUAAGCGCUAAAUAAAAUCAUUCAAGUUUUAUAAAUGAUCAUAAACAAAGUGGUUCCUCUUCUAAGGGAUUUAAUUAAGUUAACCAAAGUUAGAAUCAAUUUAAAACAAACAAAGAUACAUGGCAAAAUUAAAUUAGAGGAGAAAGGAGCUAUUGGGCCUUUUCCAAAUUUCAUUUCUCAGGCCCAAAUCCAGUUACUGUUCGCCUGGACCAGAAUUUGGCCCAAGUUGCUGCUGCAAUUUUGGGCUUUUCGCCCAUUUUCAUUCCUGUAUCACAGUGUAUACAGUAGUGUAUCACAUUCCAUUUUUUCUGCUUUGCAAGACCUGUUUCAGCUUCCAAUUUACCGCAAAGAUGAGGAUGACUCGAAAGACUCAAAGAUAUGCGAGGGUGGAGUCCGAAUAGACUCGAGUUGAUGUCAUCUUUUUUGGGGCAGGAACUGGAAGUGAAGCUUUUACACCACUAUGAGCUUAACUCGAACAAUAAGAGAAUCGAUACAAAAAAAAAAUUAGCUCUCGAUUUUUCAUCCUUUCGAUCACAAAAAAUAUAAACUUCUGUUUUUAGAAUGUAAAAAUCUCUUGCUUUCCCCUCUCAACUCUUAAGACUUUCUUACUAUUUCACGCACUUUUUCUAACUCCCUUUUUUUUUCACCCCAAACACGAAAGAAGAUGGAGGUUUAUAUAGAGGGAAUUUGGGUUAGAAUUAGGGGGGUAAUCCGUUGGAAAAUUUGAAAAUUUUCAAAAUCCUUUAAGAGGACAAAUUGUAGGUGAGAAUAGGUAUAGAGUGACCUUUUCUGAUUGAUUUGAAGAGAUGGAGACAUAUUGGAGACCAUUAAUGGCGGAAUCCAUCGAACAAAACUUGAACCCCAUGAUUUUUUCGAGUUUCUCUUUCUUUUCCAAGGCCAACAGUGGAGAGGUGACUUGGUGCGUCUCUGACAUCAUCGAAAAAGGGGAAAGGGACGUUGGGGCGAGGAGAUGGCCGCUUAUCCACCGGCUUUUGUGCCAAAUCCGGCGGAUUUUAGAGUGAGCGAGGUGAGGUCGGAUGUACGGUAUUGUACACUGAUUGUUGUUGGAUGCGACUUCUCGCUGGGAAGAAGACACUAUGCGGGUCGGGUCGCCAAAAGUGUGGGCUGGGAUUUUGGUAUGGCUGCUGAAGGUUUUGAGACAAGUUGGGCUCAAAGUUGGUCUCCAAAUGGGUUUAAAGUGAGGUAGAAAAGAGAUUAGAUUGGAAAUUGAGAAUUUGACCCAAUUGAUUGCAAUUAUAGCCAAUUGAACUUAAGAAUAUAACUAAAUUGAGCUAUGAAGUUUGUUGCCCUUUUGAUUCCAGACUCAAGUUUUUUCCACCUUUGGUCCAAAUCAACUUCGAAUUGCUCCAAAUUUGAUAUGCAACCUUCUCAUAUAAAUCACGACAACUCUUCAAUUAUUAGAUUCAAUCUAAAUCUUCAAAAAUACAUAAAUGUCUUCAAUAUUCAACAAAAAAAUUGUUAGAGUUAUCUUAUCAAUAUUAUAACAUUAUUUAGUAUCUAAACUCCUAGCUCGUCUCAUCCCAAGAUUACUUUGGGCAGAUCAUUUUCCUACUCAUCAUCUAAACUCCUAGGUUUUUUUCCCUUAUAUAUAUGAUGAUGCGAUCUCCUUUUGUAUUACUAUUAAUUGUGCAACAAGUAACGAUAUCUAGACCUGAUUAACAACAAAUACAAAAGUAACCCUAACUUAAAAAGAAACCACAAACUAAAGAAAUUUAUGUAUUUUUGAAUGAAGAAGGUAAGGUAAGGUAAUAGGAUAAUUGCUAGCUUGUUUAUUUAUUGAUAAGCAUACAUUAAAUUACAUGGAGCGAUAGAAGGAUAUAUCGACUUUAUUUAAAAAAGCUGCAAGCUAGCCAGCUAAUUAGCAUUCUACGCCUUGAUGAACACAAAUGGAAUAAAGUCCUUAUCGUCAUCGACAGUCACCAGACGAGGAUAUCCAUUUUUAAAGUUGCUGCCGAUAUUUUUGCACUGAAGAUGAGAGGGACAAUGCAGUAACUUGUAUACAUUUUUCAUACCUCGUAUCACCAAGUCAGUUUUCUUGAUCUUGAAGAUGUCGUUUUCAUUUCCUACGUUACCACCAGUUACCACCAACUGUUCAUCAUUAACUUUCCAAACAGUUUCGUCAACACACAACUUUGUUGUUUUAACAAAGAACUUGAUAUAAACAGCAGUCAUUAGACGCACCACAUCACCAUCAUCCGACUCCGACUUACGAACGAACAUGACGGGCGUGCCUUUUCCCAAAAAUUGGGGAAUCGACAUGUGCUGUAACACGGCGUUUGGGCAUUGAAGGUUUCCAAUAUUGUUCAAGUAUACGGCUCCGGCCCCGAGGAGAGGAUUCUUAAUAAUGUACCUCUCACCAAUCCUCAGCGGAUUGCCAUCUUGGUCAUAAACUUCAGGGAGUACAAGAUUAUCAUGACAAGUUGUGGGGAGGACAAUUGGAUUCUCAGAAGUGAAAGAUCGAGCAAAGGCAACCAAAGAGAGGGUACUUGAAAGCAAAAGGAAACUCAAAAUAUUAAUCGACUUCAUCUUUCUUUGUGUGUUUUGCUUGCUAUGAGUUUAUGUCCAAUUUAUAGAGCUGCUAAGGGCAUUUUUGGCAAACAAAAAAUAAUACCUACUACCGCCUUAGACACCUCAAAUAAGUUUUAUUCAUUUUAAAUACCUAAUAUCAAGCUUCAAUAUUAAGUCACUCUUUACACUUUUUUUUUUUUUUUUAACGAUCAACAAAAAUAUAUACAUAAUAUGUGUUACACUGAAUAACAUGCAGGUAAAGUAUCAAAUUCGGGUAAGGAAUUCUAUUGACCGAGGGAAAGGUAUUAGGCAUCCCUCGAGUUCCGUGGUUCUAGCACGGUCGCUUUUAUUGACUUAUACUUGACUUUUAUUAUUAUUAUUAUUAUUAUUAUUAUUAUUAUUAUUAUUAUUAUUAUUAUUAUUAUUAUUAUUAUUAUUAUUAUUAUUAUUAUUAUUAUUAUUAUUAUUAUUAUUAUUAUUAUUAUUAUUAUUAUUAUUAUUAUUAUUAUUAUUAUUGUUUGGAUAAAUUGUGUUUUAGGCCAUGGUUUACUUAUAUUUUUUAUUGUGCAUUUUUAUUUGGUCUCGACCUAUAUACGUAACCGCAUUCUUGAUCUUGGCGUUUAGAGACAUAACUGUCUUCUUUGCAUCGCACCUAAUGAUUGUCUAUAUGUCUUACUUUGAAUUAAUAAAAGUUAUCUAUAUUUUUUACCAAGGUGUGUCACCGCAUUCCUUGAGUUUCUUUUACAGCCUCAAAAAGAUGUGUAACCACAUUCUUAAUUGAAACAAAUAUUUUUAACAGUCCUAAAAUUCAUAUAGUCAUUAAAAAAUUAAUAUUUUGUCCCUUAUAAAUAAAACCAAAUAAAAUAAAAUAAAUCUAAAUGUUGAGAAUAGAAUAUAUAAUUCUGACAUCAUUUCUAUAUCCUUUUAUUUUAUGCUAUUAAUAAUAAUUUCUUUAAAUUUUUUAUCCUAACUAUAUCUACUUUAUCAUUAUUAUCUAAAUCAAGACAAGAACAAUGUCAUGAUCCGUUCAUUUUUAAGAGGUCACAACUAGCGAAUAGAAAUAAAUAAAAUAAAAAGUAAUCAUUGUUAAAGCUACCUUCAUUCAUUAAACAGAAAUAUAAUAGCUAACAAAUUGUUCAUUUCAAUCAAAUUACGAAUAAAUUAAAAAAAAUAGGAAAACAUGUCAUAAAACUACAUCAAAUUCCAUAAAUAGAUUAAAGAAAUAAGGAGAAGUUGAAUACCGCAAAAUCUUGACCGAACCUUGAUUAGAACACCCACAAAUUUUUGUAGGUAGUUUGUGAUGGUAUAUAUGUUGUGUUUAAAUAAAAAUAGUAAUGAAAAGGGAAGAAAAGAUGUGAAUGUGUUGGUAAAUUUUUUAUGAUCACCCCCUUUGGUGUGCAGCGUGUGCGUGUGCGUGUGUGUUGUGUAUUUUGUUUUUGUAGUCUUUUUCUUCUUUUCGUUUUUCUGUACGUUUUUUGGUAUGUAGGAAAGAUUGUGUAGUGUCUGUAUAGGUAUGUGUGGGUAUUGUAGUAUGUAUAUAGGUGUAAGGGAGGGGCCGUACGUGUGUGGAGAGGGAAAAUGGUGGGGUGGUGAGUGUAGUGGGGUGUAGUAUAGGGAUAGUGGGGUUGUGGUGGGUAGGGGUGUUCAUGGUUUGGUUUGGGUCGGUUAUUGGUCAAAACCAAAAUCAAACCAACUUAAUCGGUUUUAAAAUUAUCAAAACCAAACCAAACCAAAUAUAAUAUACAUUUAUCGGUUUGGUUGUUUUCGGUUUUGGUUUGGUUUGGUUCGGUUAUUCGGUUAUUAACCAUACAUAAAAAUAAAAUAAACAAUUCAUUCAAAACAUGAAAAAAGUGACAACAAUCCAUUCAAACAAAAAAAUAGUUAGAAUGACUGGCAUUACAGAACUUUCGAUUAUAGAAUUUACUGAAUAAAACUUCAAAAUUCACUAUUUUGGCAUUGAAGGAAGAGACAUGACAUUUUUAGUCCCACAAAGAAUGUUCAUAGACACUCAUAUAUAUGAAACCAAUAAGAACCAAACCAAAACCCAAAUUAAAUCGGUUCAUUUAAUCGGUUUGGUUUGAUUUUUUCGAUUUGGAUCGGUUUUUAUCCAAACCAUGAACACCCCUAGUGGUGGGUAUUGUGCAGGUUACUUAGAUUAUUAUUUUUUAUUUUUUAAAAGAAAGGAAUAAUAAUUAACUAUAUAUAUAAAUAAUAUAUUAUAAUAAAAUAUCAAUUAAUUAUUUUAAAUUAAUAUAAAUCUAAAAAAAAGUCAAAUAGCUAGUAAAAAAAUAUAAUUAAAAAAUACUAGCUUAUUUAUAAAAACUUAAUUUUAAAAUAAUAUAUAUUUUUUGUAAUCUUUCAUUUAUUUUUUAAAAAUUGAAAAUAAAACCUACCUUAAAGUGUGACUCUAUUUUUUUGUAGUUUUCAAAUCUUUUAAAAUAAACUUAAUAAAAUAAGGUAAAAUUCAAAAUAUUUAAUUUAGAUUUUUAUAAAAUAUUUGAGCUCUAAAAAUGGUGUUAAACUUAAGUUCAGUCAAAAAUUACGUGUCUAUAACUAUUUUAACAAAUAAUUAAAGGGAAAUUUAGCAAUCUAGUCAACAUACCUAACAUAAUUAGUCAAAAUGACUACAGUUUAAAAUAUUUAUUUGAAGGUUUGACCAAAAUAAUAUAAAUAUAAAACAAAUGAACAAAAGUAAUACAUAUUCUUAAAAAGUAACCAAAAUAGUAUAAACUCUACCAUGAGUAACGUUUUAUCUAUUAUUUUAUUCAUAAAAAUUAACGGAUAGAAAACAGAGAAACCAACUACCAUUAACAUAAAUCGUUACUGUUGAUAACGUAAUUUGGGAAACUACAUUUUUGAAAAAGAGAUUGCAGUUGUACUUGUAAUAUUUAAUUCACAAUAUGUUUUAAAUAGUAUUAAUUGAAUAUUUUAAAUUUUUUAUUUAAAAUUAUUUAUAUAUAUAUUUGUGUGGUAAUAAAUCAUUUGAAUAAUUGUAAAAAUGAAUAUUUGAUAAAUGUUUUAUCAAUAUUGAUAAAUUUUAAGUGGUGUUGAUUAAAUAAUUUAUUUAUUUAUUAUCCAAAAUAUCUCUAUAUUUAUGAAUUAAGAUAAAGGUGAAAACAAACAACUAACUAUACCUUGAUUUUUUUUUUUUAAAUGACAACUAUUUUGAACCAAUUAUUUUUCACAAAGACAACAAGUAAAGUGAAUGGAAUAAAAUACAGUGUAAUUUUUAUUAUUUUAAACAAGCAAGUCAGUGUAAUCAAAAUCUUGGUAAUUAGGUCAAAUCUAAAACUACAAAAUUUACCUUGAAUUAAUUUUUUAUUUACACCAUUUUAAACAUAGAGAAACUGAUAAUAUUUUCACAAUUCUAACAUAUGCCAACAAGCAUAAACAUCGAAGAAAUGACAUUAUUCAUAUCCAUGCUAAAAGUAAACGAAUAAAGAAAAAGGAUAAAUUUAAUUAAAAGAAAAAUUAGAAUGCAAGCAACUGACAUAAGUUGAAAGCAAAUUCGCUACUGCUACUAAUGUUUUAUGUUAACGUCCGUUCUUUUUUCACUUUCUGUUCAUCAAUUUUUUAUGAAUAAAAUAAUAGGUAAAACGUUAUUGGUGAUAGCGUUUAUACUAUUUUGGUUAUUUUUUUUAAAUGUGUAUUACUUUUGUUCAUUUAUUUUAUAUUUGUAUUACUUUGAUCAAAACUUCUAUUUAUUUAAAAUGUCAAAAUGUCAAUACUUUACAAAAUAAUUGUAUUCAAAUAUUAGUAUUUAUUUUACCCUUUUUCCCCAAAACAGUCCAUCAUUGGACAAAUUCUAAACCAAUAACAGAUAAAAAAGGGAAAAAAAAAACUACCGAUUAAUCUUUUUCCCAUCAUUCACGUUUCUUUUCCCCCAUCAUUCAAGUUUUAUAUUUUCUCUUUCUUCAAAUUUCUUUGCAGGUCAAGAAAUACAAAUUAUGAAUGGUUCUUCUAAUUAAUAUCUCAAUUGUUAGAGGUAAUUUUGAUUAUUUAGUGAUAUUUAUGUUGAUUUUGUUUUUAAAAUUACCGAUUAUCUUGUAUUUCGGAUUUUAUAUAUUACGGAUUUUUUGUCAAUUUUUUUGAUUUUUAUGUGAGUUUGGUUAGAUAAGCAGGGCCCAUUCGGGGGUGGCGCUCCCAACGGGAUUUUCUCCAUAUCCAGGGCUCGAACCCGAGACCUCUAGUUAAGGGUGAAUCACUCCCACCAAUGCACCACAACUCAUGUUGGUCCUAAAGUUAUUAUUAUUAAGUAGGUAUGUACGUUCAAAAUAAUUCUUUAAAAAGUGAUCAUAUCCGAUCUUAAUCAAAUACAACUCUAACUCCAACUUAAAAUUUUAAAAUAAUACUCCCUCCUUGCCCUUUUAGUUGUUAUGCUGCACUUUUCAAAAAUUAUUUUGAAUUAUUUUCCAAUUUAAAUUAGAUUACAUUAAAGAUAUUUUAAAUUAAAAAGUUAGAUAUAUAUUUGAAAGGUAUACAUAAAGUACUAUAAAUUGCAAUUUUUGAAUAUCAGUAUGAUGAAAAAAUAUAUCGUAAAAUGUUACUCAAAGUUCUUAUUAUUUAAUUCUAAAAAAAGAAUCAUACAACUAAAAAAGGAUGAAGUGAAUAUAAAUAUAUUUAAUUUUCAUGAUCAAAUGCAUACUAAAAUAUAGUAUUAGUCAAGUUGCCAAUCGCCAUAAUGAUGAAAAGGAAACAGGUGAAUGCAGCUCAUAUCACUGAAAAUAUAGCGCUUUAUACUUCAUCUUUUCAGCACUACCAGCGUAUAAAAAAAUGAAAAUGUGUAAUUUUCAAGUUUAAUACUAAGAGCCGUAGAGAGUUUGUUUUCGAUAAACUUGAGGGAGGAAAGCAAAACUAAGGCAUUUACAAAUGAAUAAAGAUGAACUUAUAUGCUUUGGUUAUAAAAGUAGUCUGACAUUAUUUGUUUGUAAAAUUUGGAUGCAGUUAAACAUGGCUAUUAAAGAAUCACUUCGACUGUAUCCACCAGAUCCUAUCAUUGAACGAAUGCCUUGUGAAGAUAUGAUUUGUUAAACAUUUUAAUUUUUUAAUAAAAUAUGUUUUUUUUUCAAAAUAAGUAUUUUUGAUCUCAUAACAAUUAUGCGGCUUUUAACCAUGGUUAUAGUUAUACGGAUUGGGUUAUCUAUAGAAAAGUUAAAUAUAUGGAACAAAUCAAAUUCAAAUCAAACCUAUUAAUUAGCUAGCGAUUGAGACGUAAUAAUUUUUUAUAUGUACAUUGUGAAUCUCACGUACUCAAUGGUCCCGUAAAUCUUAAUCAUAUUUUGGAUAAAAGCCACCUAGCUGCUUAGAGAUUUAAUAAUUUUGGAUGUAUUUGAUAUUUUCCCUCCGAACACCUUAUCUUCAGUCUCACUUCUCGCAGUGUCUAUUUUCCUCACCCCCACACUUUUUAUUUUAUUAUUGUGUGUUUUAAUAUAUUUAUCUAGAUUAUAUAUAAAUAUUUUUAAAAUAAUAUUUUUUAUUUAUCUACUAAACAAAUAAGAAUUUUAUUUUCUUGAGGAACAUCUUUCAAAAAGAAUAUUUUCUUUCGUAACGAAUAUAUCCUGAACAACCACAAAGGUUAAUAUCAACAUUUUGAUUUUAAUUGAGUUGAAAUGUUUAGAAAGAAAAACAAAGCAGAAAUAAUUAAUUCUCUCCUAAUUUUAUAAAUUGACAAAUAAUUUAAGAAAAAUAUUUUUAAAAUAUGAACGACUAAUAUUGAAUGAACACUAAUCAUCAAAGAAAUAAAAGAAUAAUUAAGUAGCCAAAUUUUCCGUUCUUACCAUCAACUCUACUUGGAGUUGCACUGUUGCAGGCCAAUAAUGGAUAUAUAUAUUAUAUACUAAUGUGCCGAUGGGACCAUUAUUAGACCAUAGUUAAAACAUGAUAAUGAAGUACGAUGGUUAAUUAGUUUCUUUUCCCAGUUGCAGUAGGCCUAAUUAAUAUAUUGUAAAGUGAUUCUAUUACAAUAGUGAAGUAGAGAGGUGAUUUUAAAGCUAUCAAUAGUUCGAAAACGAAAUUAAUAAUUCAUAUCAAAUUCAGAAGUAUUUUCAAUAUUUUUGUCUAUAUAUCAUCUAUUCUCAACUUUUAAAUUUGAGAGUUCAUAAACAAUAUAUGUCCUCUCAGUUUUUAAAUUCGUUCAACUUCACCAUUAUUAACAUUGUGAAAUUAAUUCAAUGUCAAUUGUCCGUAUUAUGGACAAACCCUAAAUUACAUAAAUUAAAACAAAAGAUUAUACAAUAAAAUUAAUUUAGUACUAAAAAUAGCGUAAAAAUUGAGGGCUGAGACUAACGAACAUGGUUAAUUAAAAUUGAGGAACAUCGUAUCUUUUUGGCCUAAAAGAUAUUUGAAUACUAGACUAAUAUAUAUUCACCAUUGAAGAUAAAUACCAACGGGCUAACAACCAAGUUAUUUUCAUUUUUGUCAUGUAAUCUUAGUUUGUUAAAGCCAAAAAUGAAUAUUAAUGUCUUGACGGGACCGCAUGUGUUACUAUCCCAUUAUUAAAAUGGAGUCCGAAAUUAAAAGGGCAAUAAAAUUUUUCGAAAAUUUCAAAAGGACAACUAAAUUAUUUAUGAAAUCAAAAUGGCAAUAAUUUUUAACGGCGUCUAAAUCAGAAUUUUCACCGCAAGACACAAAUCCAUAAACCUUACACGGUGCAUCAGCUUUUAGCCUUGUAAGACUCAUCCCCGCGAGCCUUACAAGGCGCAAGGCAGGCUAUUUUUUUCAAAAAAAAAGUUUUUAUUGUGUUCGGUCCUUAAGGCUACACGUUGCAAACUCGACCGCUCAUUUUUUUUGUUAGAUAAUUAAAAAAAUCUGACUAUUUAGUUGAGAUGUUAAAUCAUCCAACUUUAAAUUUAUCGAAAAUGCAGUACCUUUUUUUUUUUACAAAAAUACAAUCUAUUUUAGUCGGUUAUUUUUUUAAAAAAAAUUUAUGCCUUUUGAGUAGGGGUGUACAUGAUCGGAUUGGUUCGUGUUUUUCAAAUAUUAAAUCAAAUUAUUUGUGUCGAAUUUUUAAAUCUAUAAACCAAACCAAUAAAACUCGGGUUUUUUCAGAUUUUUCGGGUUUUUUUCGGUAAAGUAUUCAUACAAACAUAUAAUUUACUUGUACUUUAAAUAUAUAUUUCUUUUAGUCCUAACAAAAUACAACUAUCUAAGGUGUUUCUUAAGAAAAUAACACAAAAUACGAUAUGAGUAAUGACACUAAAAUGUCCAAUUAAAAAAUAAUAAUAAUGAAAUCACGUAAAACAAAUAUUACAAAUUAACAAGUCAUAAUGAAGAUGAUCAUAAUUUAAAAGUACUAAAUCAUGCUAAAAUAAGUUUAAUAAGUAUUAGUUACAUGACUAAAUAUUAAAGAAAAAUUAAAAUUAGAUUAUGUAUUUGAAUUGUCUAAACCAAUGUAAAACCAAAGAACAAAAUAUUACAAUAUUAUUGUCAUUCUUAGUGUUGAAUUGAUUUUCUUUUUGCAUUAGUAUUAAUUUCAUUUUUGAUUUAAGCUUUAUUAUAAUUACCAACAUUUGUGGACUAUAAUCUUUAUUGAACCAUUCAGAAUUAUAAGUUUCAAACUUGAAAUAAUAUACUAAAAGAUAAAAACUAUGAAAAAGUAUAAGAAAUAUUUAAAAAUUAUAUCAAAGUAAAUAUUUUUAUGUAAAAGUAAAUUUAAAAUUAUAUAUAUAAUGUCGGGUUGGUUUGGUCUCGGGUUGAUUUUUUUUAGUUAAAAUCAAACCAAUCCAAAUAUAGUCGAGCUUUUUAUUCAAUACCAAACCAAGUCAAACCAACCAUUAAUCGUGUUUUUUUUCUCAAUUUGACUCGAUUUAUAAUUUAAUUCGAUUUUUGAUUCGAUUUUAUACCCCUACUUUGAGUUAUCAAAAUAGGAUUUCUAUUGACCGUAAGUUUAAUUUGAUAAUGCAAAAAAAUUUAAAAUAAAUAAAUUGUAUAUUGUAAGUAAUGCACAUUUCAACACACGUAUGACGUAUGCAUAUUAGGGGUGAAGCUAUAUAGUUCUUAUGACACUUGUUUAAGCUUGGUUUUCUAAAAGAAUGACACUUGUUUAAGUUUGGUUUUCUAAAAGAAUGUUUGGAUGUGUCGUUUGUUUAAAUAUAAUGUUUAUUUUGAUGAUUAGUUAAAUUUAAUUUAUAUUAUUAAAUUUAUUGUUAGGUAAUAACGUGAUUUUUCAUUUUAUGUAAUGGCUGAUUUAGUAUGAAUGUAUGGUCAUAAUUUAUUUUUUUUGUUUUACUUACUAUUUAAUAAUUGUAUUUUAUUAUUUACUUUUUUUUUUAUAAUAAAUCUACUCCGCACUCUAUUUUUCUGGUGUGUUCAUCUUUUUGAUUUUUUGACAUUAUGUAAUUAUCGAAAAAAAUACAACUUAAUAUCGUACGAUACAAUUUAAUAUAACAUAAUAUAAUAUAUAUUAUAAAAUGACAUGUAACAACCAUCCAAACAAAGUAUAAAUAUAUAGUUUCAUCAAAAGUUAUAGUGAUAAAGUGGUAAAUUUCGUAGUGAGGUUUAGAUUCGAAUUAUAACAACGAAGUGAUCACUUUUUAAUAAAUAAUAUUUUAUACCUUUAACAUGAGUUUUUUAAAGAAAAUUGAACUCAAAUUAGCGGAAUCUCAGUACGAAUAUUGAGCCUAAAAAGUACUCUAUAAAAGAAGCUCAUAAAUAAAUAGUCCAUUUAAUGGCAAAUUUUAUCCUUUUGUCAAUACAAAAAAGUCCAUGAAUAAUCUUUUCCGAUAUUUGGUAUUGCAUUUUAGUUCUAAAUUAAACACCUUUUACCUGAUUUGAUUACAAAUAUAUAAUAAAUUAGGAAAUUAAGUCGCGCUACGUGCAGUAUAAAAAAUAUUAAAUUAUAAAAUACUUUUAAUAUUGUUUUGUUUUCUUAAAUAAAAUUAUAAUAUUAUUAAUGUUUUUAAUGAUUUUUUCGAUCUUCAAAUCCAAAUAAAUUAUAUUACAAAUUCAAAUACUUAUAUUUGUAAUUUUGAGUUAAAUUCACGGGAUAUUGAUUUUAUCAACAAAAAAAACAAAAGAAUCCUUUGGCACCAUCUAAUAUACCUAUUCUUUUAUGUUAGAGUUAUUAUAAUUGAAAAAAAUUAUGAAUUUAGUAUCCAUUUGAAUGUGUUCUUUUAUAGAGUUAUGACAUGAUAAUAAAAAUUAAAAUAAUAGAUUUAACAGAAAAAAAGAAAAAAAAUGAAGGAAUAUAUACAUUUUAUAGUAGAUAAAUAAAACAACGGUUUACUCAUUGGUGCAAGGAUGAGCUUAAAGUUUGCUUUCACUAAAAUUAUGUUAUUCUCUAAGAUAAAUGCAUAAAAUGUAGAACUAACAUGCAAUUAGCAUAAAAUAUAAUAGAUCUAUGAAUGAAAAAGGGGAUAAUUUCAUACACUUUUCUUUGAAUUUGACUUUUUAAAAUGGUUCGAAUUUGACUUAUAACACUCGCCUCUUAAAAUUUAUGAUAUUAUACUUCUCUUAUUUUAGUUUUAUUGUUAUACUUCUUUUAACCUAUUAAAUAUCUCAAUUAUAUGUUUGGACUUAUCUGUCUGUCACUCCCCGAGCCUACACCCUGGGCGGAACUGGCACUCGAAGACCAUUGCUGGCCUCAAGUGAACUCUUGGCCUGGCUACUUAACUCAGCGGAAGACUUAACUCAACACAAUAUAAGUUCAUAAAACAACCUAAAUGAUAAAAUCUGGCCAAAAUGGCAACUUAUGUCUCAAAAUAGAAUAUCUGUAAAUACAUAGAUGAGAGACUCAUAACUACUGUCUAACUGUCUAUGAAGCCUCUAUAAUACUGAGAUGGAUGUUGGGACAGCCCCACAACAUCCUAAUAAAGAAAAACUAGAAAAGCGAAUAAAAGAGUCCUCCGGAAUGCAAGGAGGCUCACCACUGACUCUAGAGUGCUCGACUAGAUCAACGGCACACUGGAUGCUGAUCCUGGUUACCUGCGUCUGCAUCAUAAUAAGAUGCAAGCCAACUGGCAUCAGAACAUUGAAUGUACGAGUAUGCGAGUUGGAAUGCUAAACAACAACUUAAGCUUGAAAGGAGUAAGAAGGAACACUUACNNNNNNNNNNNNNNNNNNNNNNNNNNNNNNNNNNNNNNNNNNNNNNNNNNNNNNNNNNNNNNNNNNNNNNNNNNNNNNNNNNNNNNNNNNNNNNNNNNNNNNNNNNNNNNNNNNNNNNNNNNNNNNNNNNNNNNNNNNNNNNNNNNNNNNNNNNNNNNNNNNNNNNNNNNNNNNNNNNNNNNNNNNNNNNNNNNNNNNNNNNNNNNNNNNNNNNNNNNNNNNNNNNNNNNNNNNNNNNNNNNNNNNNNNNNNNNNNNNNNNNNNNNNNNNNNNNNNNNNNNNNNNNNNNNNNNNNNNNNNNNNNNNNNNNNNNNNNNNNNNNNNNNNNNNNNNNNNNNNNNNNNNNNNNNNNNNNNNNNNNNNNNNNNNNNNNNNNNNNNNNNNNNNNNNNNNNNNNNNNNNNNNNNNNNNNNNNNNNNNNNNNNNNNNNNNNNNNNNNNNNNNNNNNNNNNNNNNNNNNNNNNNNNNNNNNNNNNNNNNNNNNNNNNNNNNNNNNNNNNNNNNNNNNNNNNNNNNNNNNNNNNNNNNNNNNNNNNNNNNNNNNNNNNNNNNNNNNNNNNNNNNNNNNNNNNNNNNNNNNNNNNNNNNNNNNNNNNNNNNNNNNNNNNNNNNNNNNNNNNNNNNNNNNNNNNNNNNNNNNNNNNNNNNNNNNNNNNNNNNNNNNNNNNNNNNNNNNNNNNNNNNNNNNNNNNNNNNNNNNNNNNNNNNNNNNNNNNNNNNNNNNNNNNNNNNNNNNNNNNNNNNNNNNNNNNNNNNNNNNNNNNNNNNNNNNNNNNNNNNNNNNNNNNNNNNNNNNNNNNNNNNNNNNNNNNNNNNNNNNNNNNNNNNNNNNNNNNNNNNNNNNNNNNNNNNNNNNNNNNNNNNNNNNNNNNNNNNNNNNNNNNNNNNNNNNNNNNNNNNNNNNNNNNNNNNNNNNNNNNNNNNNNNNNNNNNNNNNNNNNNNNGGGGCGCCAGCCCUCAAACUUCAGAGGACCAGCUGGGGCGCGCUGGCUGGCGCUUCGCCCCAAGGGGUGCACUUUACAGCCCCUUUUGGGGCACGCUGGCUGGCGCGACGCCCCACCCCUUUCCCCAGGUCUUUGGCAAUUUUCUUCUCCGUUUUUCAUCUCUAAACCCUCCUAACUUCCAUGGUUCUUUCCCCAAACAUUUAGGAUCAAAAGUACUCUCAACUUACAACAGAUCUAACUCGAAAAUCCACCCGGAAACAUGAAUCAAAUCAACAAGAAACUUCAACAACACAACCAAUCAAGAACUUAACGACGUCCUUCAAGAACUUCACUUUUUAACAUGUAAACAACCUAAAUUCGCUGAAUUGAAACAAGUUGGUAUGUGGGUGAGCUAACCCAUCACUAAAAGAUCUCACAUACCUUAAUACGGAUCACCCCCGACGAAUUUCACUCCAAAAGCUUGACGUUCUUGGCGAAAUCUUGGCUUUUCUCCCUUUCUUUCUUCUUCUCUCUUCUCCAAGCCCUAAGCGUAUUUCUCAAUUCUCCAAACUGACUAAGUAAUAUUUUUACCCCAAUAGAUCCCUAAAAAAGAAUUAGGAAAUUAAUUAGAGAAAAGACGACUUUGCCCUUCCCUAAAUCCGGAUUGGAACUUUUCUCAAUCCAACAUCCCAACUUACGAAAGACCUAUCUCACUCAUACGAUGUCAAAAUCGUGCAAACUCAACGUCGUUGGAAAGAUCUCUCCAAGGGAUUUCCAACCAUAUCAAGAGCUGCUCCUAACUCAUCCUGAGCUAGGAGUUAUGGCCGUUUGAAAAUGGCCAAAACUCACUUUCUUAACUUAGACAAUUUCCAGAUUUCCUUAUUCUUUCCAAAAAUCAAUAUUUUCAUAUUUUAAACUCUUUAUAGUCGUUUCUAGGUGCGAGAUGUUACAUUGUCCCUUAAAGAAACUCAAUAAUCUCGUUCAAAGAAUCUUCUAAGUAGCAUUACACAUAUGGAUGAAAUUUUCAUCUAAUUUCUUAAAUAUUAAAUGAAAUGUUUGAUAAAGUGAAUAGACAAAAAAUCAUUCAUCUCCCUAAAGAGAGUACUAUUAAAACCCUUUCAUGAAUUGGUUUCAAUCUAUUUCAUUAGCUGCAAUUGAUCAACAACAUAAAGAUGAAAAAGAUAAUAAACUAAACUACAAUUUCUUAUCUUUGUAAACAAACAUAUAUGUAAGGAUGAAAAAAUGGAAUACAAAUUGACGGAAUAGUUACAAGAGUGGUAUUAAAAUUAAUGGCAGUACAAUAAUAAAAUUGAAAAUUCAAUAAUCGUUCCCUUAUUAUAUAACUUAUAACUACUGCUAAAUUAAGAUUACAACGAACUCUUCAAGAACCCAAAUUAAGUGAAAAUAGUGAGUAAGAAAGUAAAGAUAUAUGCACUAAUAAGAACAUAGUUAGGAAUACUUAUCGACACACUUUUUCAUUUGAAGCAAAAACACAUGAAAUUUAUUAAUUUGUUUGAUAAUUAAAAUAAAUUAUAAUAUUUAUUAUAUCUCAUAAAUUACAAAAACCUCCAUCUAUUCAUAUUUUCUACUUAAAUGACAUAUCUCCUCAACUCCUUUCUAUGAUUCUCUUCAUUACCUAUACAUUUAGUUUUUCCAAAAUAUAAUGACUUUAAAUUUUAGUUCAAAUUUAUAAUAUAGAAAGUUCAUUAUAAAAAAAAUGUAGUGCCUUUAUAAAAAAAAAAGAACUUUCAAAACUCGAACUCUAUAUAUAUUUGUUAAAGAUAGAUAAAUUUUUAUUCACAUUUUGAGAAGUACCUAAAACUCAUUGAAUAGAAGGGCACCUUUUUAAUUAUUUCUUUGUAGGCUUUAGAUAUUGUGCAUCACAUUAAGUGCAAGUGCUAUUCUAAUCCAUAUUAUGAAAGGACAUUUUAUCUAUAGCUUUAUCUUCCAAAAAAUUUAUUCUCUUAUGUGUGUCAUUUGCCUUUUCAAGAAAACGUUUGGCAUUUAUUUUGGUUAGGUACUUUUGCAGUUGAAGAGGCAUGAUAGUAGUAAUAAAAAGGGAUAAGGGUCUGGAAAAUAUCCUAACUUUGGUCGAAUUUGUUGUUGCGAUACUAAACUUUCAUGAGGACCUAUUACCUCCCUAGACUAUUUAAUANNNNNNNNNNNNNNNNNNNNNNNNNNNNNNNNNNNNNNNNNNNNNNNNNNNNNNNNNNNNNNNNNNNNNNNNNNNNNNNNNNNNNNNNNNNNNNNNNNNNNNNNNNNNNNNNNNNNNNNNNNNNNNNNNNNNNNNNNNNNNNNNNNNNNNNNNNNNNNNNNNNNNNNNNNNNNNNNNNNNNNNNNNNNNNNNNUAUUAAAUAGUCUAGGGAGGUAAUAGGUCCUCAUGAAAAUUUAGUAUCGCAACAGCAAAUUCGACUAAAGUUGGGAUAUUUUUCAGACCCUUAUCCCUAAUAAAAAUGAUUUAGUAAGUCUUGCAAUAUGAUUUUAGUUAAAAGGCUUUUAUUGAAAUAAAAUUUGAAGACAAAAGUUAUUGAAACAAAAGCCAAAAAUCUCACAAUUAAAUAAAGAUAUAUAAUAUAAUAAAAAAAAACCUACGCUAGCAUCUUCUCACACCAGGCGACUCCUAUGGAGUUUUAGGCCUCUAUGGCCGAAACAGUCUCUCCCCAGCCUCGAGCUGUGGACGAAACGCCAGAAAAACCUAGUUAUGCAUCUAUUUCUAAUCCAUCGACUUACACUCAAAAAUCUGAUGGAAAACUUCCACUAAAAUUAAAACCUGUGAUCUAUGUUCAUGGGGAACCUACUAUGAGUUUCAACUUUUUGGAUUUGGAAUCGUAUAUCCAAGAAGAAAACUUGCAAUAUGCUCUUGUUGCUAAGUUUUCUUAUGGGAGACCCGAUAAGAUUGAUCUUAGAAAGAGUUUUACACGACACUUUGCAAUCAAAGGAGAUUGCAAUUUAGGUUUACUAGAUCAUCGUCAUGUUCUGGUAAGAUUAUCAAAUCAGGAAGACUUUAGGGAGGUGUACUCUAGGGCAGUAUCAUUCAUCACAAUAAAAGAAAAGGGCGUGAAUAAUCAAUACCAAUGUCGGAUUCAACGCUAGACACCAUUGUUUAAUCCAAAAGAUGAGACAUCAAUUGCUUUAGCUUGGAUUUCUUUUCCGAGUUUGUCAACACAGAUGUUUGCUCGUGAAGCCUUGUUUUCACUUGCAUCAGCCGUUGGGACACCCCUACAAGUUGAUAAGGCAACAACGGGUAAGUUAAGGCCUAGUGUAGCUAGGGUAAAAAUGGAGGUUAAUCUAUUAUCAUUGCUUCCGAAUAGAGUUAGAAUGUUUUUUAAAGAUGAAAAAAAUGGUGUCGUUAAAGAGGUGUUGCAAAAAAUUGUCUAUGACAAAUUGCCUUUGUACUGCACAAUAUGUAAACAUCAGGGUCACAAGGAGGAAGAAUGCAGACUGACUAUGGAGGUAGAAGGUGGACUAAUUGAUGAAACAAAAAUUAAUGGGGCAAAGUUCAAAGGAGAUUUGCGAUCAAUUUUGGAUGAGAAAAAGAAAGUUCUUUCUCUUCAACAAACUGGAAAAGAGCAACAUCUGGAAACAAAGAAGAUACAGAAACUAUGUUACCUGGGACAUUGACUUCGAAGAUUAGUGAGCAACUUGGUACGACCACAACGAGUUCGUCCACUCCUAUCCAUAUUGAUGUUGAGGCACAAAAUAAUGUAGAUAAUAACUCAAGGCAGUUGAUCGUUACAUCACAAGUCGCUAUAGAGUAGUUAUCGUCUAGAUUUGUGAAAGAUAGAGAGUUGGAUUCACCUAAUGCAGUCGUGAUUACUAAAUCAAGGCAAGAUGAAGCCAAAAAAAGGUAACACUACCGCAGAAAAAUCCAGUAAUCAAUGGACUUUGGUCUCACAUAAAAAAAUGGUUGGCCCUACGUCAUCAAAUAAUCACAUUUUGCACCAAAACAAUUCUACACAUGUUGAGUUUGAUAUGAGUAAUAGUGUCGUUGAAUGUACUCAAUUUGAUGUGUUGCGAGAUGAGAAGUUUGGACAAUAUGAAGGGCUACAUGUUACAGAUGAAUUAUCUGCUGAAUCUGGGAAUACUUUAGACUUGGACAAGCAGAUUGAGCAAAUAGGACAGUUGAAACAAUGUUGUCACGAUGAGCAUACUAAUCAACAAGCUCUUGUGACACAUGAAAAGGAGUUCAUUGCUACAGAGAAGAUAGAUGGCAAGGAAAUCAAUCUAAAUACACCUACCAUGUUUAUUUUAGAUCAAGAGGUGGCUACAAACAAUUUGAAUGAAUAUAAAGAAAAAUGAGGGGUGGGGAGUGCUUCAAGAUGGGCAGAUUUAGUUGAGGAAGAGAAUCAUACUCCUUCACCUAGUAGGAGUAAGUUAAGCCCUCAAGCACUUGAAUUUGUGCUUACAAGUAAAACAAUCCAUCGAUGGCAGUCAUAGGUACAUCAUCUAACUUGAGUGCUACAAAAGUAAACGUGGCAGAUAGAGAUAAUCUUUAUGACUUGGACAAUGACAUGUCUGAUGGAGACGAUGAAGAUCAUGAAGAUGAUGAAGAAGAAAUGUUGGAUAUAUGCUUUGAUAAGGUGGCUAAGGAGGGGGACCUUUCGCCUAGACAACAAAGAAGUGGAAGCACCAAAUGCAAAAAGAAGACACAUGGAAGACAACAUAGUUGGGAUGGUAAGGUGAGUGGGGAUUUUGUCCCAAGGCGCCUACCGAUGCGACUAGCAAAGCAAAAUCAUAUGACAGUGUCAACAACUUUAUCAAGAUCCAACAAAUUCAAAAAGUGAUGAACUAUCAAUUAUUUUUUAACAGAUUUGAAGAAGAAGACAAGAUGCAAAUACUUCAGAUUACUUUAGACUGGCAAACUAUUUGUUUUAGUUCAUACAUAUAUCAAAUGAACUUUGAGGUGGCUAACUCAUCUUUAUUCUUUGAUUUUAUAUUCUUGCAUUACUUAAGCAUCUUCAUUUGUAAUAUCAUCAUAAAGAGUAUUAUAAACUUUAUGAUAAUCAUAGAAUACCUAGUUUUCUCUAGUUCUUUUUUCUUCAUGCUUGUUAAUUAGUAGAGAUUUGUUGUCUCAUUAGGAUUAGUAAGGUAAGGCCUAGCCCCCCUUACUUGUACUUAUCUCUAUUUAUAUCUUUUAAUUUAAAAAUAAAUAAAUAAAAAUAAAUAGAAAUGUUAGCCAUAGAGAAGUAUCAAAAUGUUAAGACUUUGAGAGAGAUUAGACAAUAUAAAACAACCAAAAUAAAAAAAUACUCACGCACAAAAGUAAGCAUACUGUUUGAAGCCAUGUUAUCAUUCUAUGUAUCAGAAGUAUAGAAUUACAAUGUUAAAAAAGAUCAAUAUUAUUCCUACUUAAUAUUGAUACUUAGCAACCAAAAAUGAAAGUGUAACAAAUUUUGUUAUAGUAAAAGAGAUUGGCGAAAAGUUGUAUGUUAAAACAUAAGGCAAAUCAUAGAAAAAAAAGAACUAAUAUAUAAAUUACUUGAAAAUUGCAAAUUUUUCACCCUCACAGAUUCGCACUUGGCCGACAUCAACAUGUACUUAGCCGAUAGCUAGAUACUCUUCUGCUUCUUUUUUUUUCCACCAAUAAUGUGUAUCCUGCCUUAACAUAAAACAAAACAAAUUAAAAUCAACUAUCUAAAGAAAAAGGAAAAUGAAUUAAAAAUUUUGGUACUAUAAAGAUUAUAUAAAAAUAAAAAUGCAAAGAAAGUGUUAAAAACUGUACCUGAUUUUUUUUUUCACAAUUAAGCAAAAAAAGUAGUAAUAUAAUUUGUAUAACAUUGAAGUACCCAAAUGGUUAAAAAGCAGUAAUAUAACCUGUAGUGGAUGAUAUGCCAUGACUGGCAUCUCUACUAUUAUUUAUGCUAUAAUAGGGCAUAAAUGAAAUUUAAUUAAUAGGAUGUCGUUUGGAAUAUUUCGUGCGAGGGUGAAGGGCUGCAUUAAUUAACUGUAAUUUUUUUCUUUAAUGACGUAUAAGCUGUUAAAUAUUAAAUUAAAUUAAAUUAGAUAAAUAGAAAAAUGAGAGGAAAAAAGUAAAAAAAAUCCAAAAAAAAAAAGAUAAAUGUGAUUCCUGACCUAUAAAGGGUGCCACAUUAGCGGGCUUAUGUUCCUGCUUUAUAUUAAUAUAUAGAUUACUUAAAUCAUCAAAGAAGAAUUUGCACAUUAAUUAAUCAGAACCGACAGACUUAGGAAAGAUAUUAUUAGUCAUAGACUCAUAGGACUUGGAUCUUGUUCCAUAAUUACUAGUUAUAAUAACUACGGUAACAUUUAUAUAUUUAAUUAAGCCAAAUAAAUAUAAUUUUUUCCGAUUUUUUUUUUUUAAAAAUAACCUUGCGCCUUGUAAGACUCAUGGUGGCUGAGCCUUACAAGGCUAAAAGCUGCGACGCCUUGUAAGGCUCAUGGGUUUCUGUGCCUUGCGGCGGAAACCCUGAUUUAGACGCCGUUACAAAUUAUUGCCCUUUUGAUUUCAUAAAUAAUUCAGUUGCUCUUUUGGAAUUUUCAAAAUAUUUUGUUGUCCUUUUGAUUCCGGACUCGUGUUUGAAUAGCUCCUAGAUUGGACAACUAACCUGAAUAAUAGUUAAUCCUGUGAGCACCUUGUACCAAACAUAAAUUGUAUCCUUUUCAUACGGAAUAUUGUAUUUAUGGCUUCUUUUUCAUUGGCCUAAAGGGUAUUGAGUUUAACUAAUAUUCAUUGUCGGUGGAAAUUUUAUUUUUUACGAAUAGUGAAUAGUACAUUAUUGUUUUUAAAAAUCAUUUCCUUAAUUAUUACUCCUUUUUCUUUUCACUCUUUUAAUCUUCAGACUUAUAUAUAUAUAUAUAUAUUAUAGUAUUUUUCAAAUGUGUAAACUUAUUUCGAAAAAAAUUAAAAAUUUAAUGUCAAAACUAAAAAGUUUAAAGAUCAUGGAGUGAAAAGUAUCAUAUAAAUUGAGAUAUUAAAAAUACUAUGUCAUAGAAGGGUGACGGUGAUUACUUGGAUUUGUUUUGCAGAAUGCUGCAAAGGUUGAUACUGUAAUUUAUUUAACUUUGAUGGUGAUAAACAUCAAUAAAGUAGAAAUUGACAUCAAUGAAAAGCAAUACAAUAAAUUUUUAAAAAUUGUACAUUAUUUUACUUAGUUUUGAUUUGUUAAGAAAACCCGAAGAAACACCAGUACCAUUCGUAAAAAAAUUUAACCAAAAUAUAUAACAAAAUUUUUUCAAAAUAUAUAUAAAAAAAUUACUAUUAAUUUAAUCAUUCCUAAGACUAUUUUUAAUUAAUUAAAUCUAAAUUACUCAUUCUAGGAAAGUGAAAUUUUUUAUUAUGAAAUAGAGAGUAGUUGAAUUCAAAAGCAAUAACUUAAAUUCCUGCUUGAUCAUAAUUUUGAACUUGAAAUAUAAACAUUUAAAUUUGAAAGUAAUUUUUAAAAUUUGAAGUUGUAUUUGAAUAAACUUUUUUAAAGUUUUGUGAAUGAAAGUUUCAAAAAUUCGAAAACUUAUCCAAAUUAACUUUUAAAACCUAGUAUUUUUGUGAAGAUCGAUUUUUAAAAUUUAAUUCAAAAUUUAUGACUAAUCUCUAGCUAAAUAAUUGAUUAAACGGAAAAGACAAGUCCUUUACUUGUCAUUGAUCAAUCAACUCCGCCUUGCAAUAAUGAUGUGUAUUUUUUGUUUUAUUUUAAGGUGGGUCCAAUAAUGAUGAAAUUUAAAUUUAGAUAAAAUAGUUCAAAUCACCUUCAUCCCAAACUCAAAACACAAUUUUUCUUAUGUGUAUUUUUGAAAAUCCCUAAAACUACUCGCUCAAAAUUAUAAUCCCUCCGUCCCAUUUUAUGUGAGGUAGUUUGACUCGACACAAAAUUUAAGAAAAAAAGGAAGACUUUUAUAACUUGUGGUCCAAAAUGAAUCCUAGAAAUUUGUAUGGCUGUAAAUCAUUUCAUUAAGGGUAAAAUAAAUAUUUUAUAGUUAAAUUGUUACUUAUUCUAGAAAUGUGUCAUUUUUUUGGGACUGACUAAAAAGGAAAGUAAGUCACAUUAAUUGGGACAGAGGGAGUAGCAUUAAUUUUCAAAUUAAAGAAAAUGUUAGAUUUUUUAAAUUACAUUAUGUCCAACACAUUAAGAAGUAAAAUUCAUAGUGACUAAUGUUAGUGAAAAAUUACAAUAUAAUAAAAUUGCAAGAUUACAAUUGAAAAUAAAAUGAAGAAAAUAAAUCAAGCUGAAGCGCGAAUUUCUCGCUCUUUUUUAAGGAGAUUCAAGUCCACUGCAACAAAUAUUUUUCACCGGUGCAGCAAUAGUCCUUCUUGACUUGAUACAACAGCCUUACACAAAGUAUAACUCAACAACUCUGACAAAGAGUUGAGUCCAAAGCUCCACAAAAAGAAUACCUCCCUUCAAUUAAUAAGAACUUUCUUUUUCGACUAACUCUUUCACUCUAUAUUUUUUUUGUGUAUUGUGUGUUCUAAACCAAAUGAAGACCACCACUAUUUAUAAUUGGGGAUGUCUUCCUAGCAAUGAAUAAGAAGAUAAUGGGGUAGUAAAUGGUAAAAAUAAAUGACUUUAGGAGUUACAUAGGUUACAAGGUAUAAUAGAGAAAGAAUAAUGAAGAAUGAAUGGCAAAGGCCACCAACGGCUAAGAGUGCUAACAAGUAAUGUUGUAACAUAACAAACAAUAACUCCAAAUGGAGUAAUGCAACAAAUAAGUGCCACAAACGGUCAAUGUCAGAAACGUCAAGUAAUGGGCAAUUAAGCCUCAAAACAUUGAUUCCAAAAUACAAUCAAAGUGGCCACUAACAUUCUGAUAGGAAUAGCUGCAAGAUGAAUGGGAAAUAUGCACCUUAACCAUUAUUUACGAAUAUUAAAAUGCUCCCAAACCAAUAAUCCCCCACUCAUUAUAAUAUUAAUCAAGAGAGUCUAUCAGCUGAAGGAAGACUAAUAUACAUAAUGAAGGUGUGCUCUGCAUUGAACCUCCACUUAGUGAAAUAAUAACUUUUUACUCCAGAGUCGUAGUGGUCUCAGACUUGAACUAUGACUGCUUAGGGAAAAUAAAAUAUAAUUGUCCACACAUAAUAAUCAAGGUGUUGACAUGAGCUUUAACAGCCAGCACAUUAUGGCCUUGUGCUAUCCCAGUUUCAUGAGUGCUUUUGAGAAUAAGCCAAAUUCUCAUAAAAAGCGACCUACCUCCAUAUAUCACAUAGGUGAAAUCUGUCGAGAGUGCUCAUGUAAACUUAACACUCCACCCAUACGAGCUAUAGAUAUUCAUUAAGAGUUUUAUCAACUCAACCUUCACAAACUACAGGAAACAAUGCACUCACAUCAUAGGGAGGGAAUAAAAAGAUAGUGCAUUUUUCACAACAAGUCAUCAUAUGAUUAGUUUUUCCCCUUGAACCUGGUAAUAGGAUCUAUUGUCCCCAAGUUGGGUUUCCUCAUAUAUGACUCAAGGAUUUAUAGGCUUCAAUUCCAUCCCCCUCAAUGUGCUCCAGACCUUUUCUCUCGUUAAGGCCUUAGGAAAAGGAUGUGCAAGAUUAUCACAAGAUUUGACAUAAUCAACAUUAAUAGUACCAUUUGUCAAAUAUGAUCUUACAUUAUUGUGUUUCCUCUUUAUAGGUCUGGAUUUACCGUUGUAAUAACGGUUUUGAACUCUAACAAUCGCAACAAUGAUAUCACAAUGAAUUAAAAUAGGAGGAAUUGGUUUUUCAAAAUAAGGAAUUUGAAACAAUAAAUAUCUUAAUCAAUUCGCUUCCUCACUAGCUGAAGCUAAAGCAAUUAGUUCAGCCUCCAUGGUAGAGUUAACAAUUAUAGUUUACUUUUUUAAUCUCCAACAAAUAGCACCACCACCCAAAGUAAAGACAUAAUCAGUGGUAGAACAAGAAUCACCUGAUAAAGUGUUCCAAUCUGCACCACAAAAGCCUUCAAGUACAACAUGAUAUUUUUUAUAAAACAAACCACAAUUUUUCAUUUCAAUUAAAUAUCUCAUAACUCUUGUUAUAACAUGCUAAUGUUCAUUACCUGGUUAGUACUCCUACUGCAUAUGCAAUAUCAGGCCUAGUGCAAUCAGUCACAUAUCUCAAACUUCCGAUUAUGUUAGCAUAUUCCUUUUGAUUUAUUACAUCAUUUUCACUUUACAACAGGAAAUAAGUGAACACUUGAAUCAAAAAGGAGUAGCAACAUGCUUGCAAUCAAGAAAGUUAUAUUUUUCAAAAUUUUCUCAACAUAAUGUGACUGGUCAAGGAAAAUUCUAUCACAUGUUCUUGCUAUUUUUAUUCCAAGAAUAAAAUUUGGUUCACCAAGAUCUUUCAUAUCAAAAUGGCUUAUAAGAAUAUUCUUAGCUUCAUCAAUAACAUUCAUGUUAGAGCCAAAGACCAACAAAUCAUCAACAUAUAGGCAAAUAAUCACAUGUGAAUUAUUUCAAGACUUGUGAUAUAUGCACUUAUCACACUCAUUUGUUGUAAAACCAUUUCCAAUCAUGUUGGAAUCAAACUUUUCAUGCCAUUAUUUUGGUGCCUGUUUCAAGCCAUAUAUGGAUUUAAUAAGUUUACAUACUUUGCUUUCUUGGCCUGCUUCAACAAAAGACUCGGGUUGUUCCAUAUAAAUUUUCUCAUUUAGGUCUCCAUUUAAAAAGAAAGUUUUUACAUCCAUUUGAUGAUUUUGCUAAGCAAAAAUUGCAGUCAUAGCAAUUAAAAGGCUUGUGGAUGUAAUUCUUGUUAUAGGUGAAAAAAUAUCAAAAUAUUCUAGGCCUUCUAGUGUUUAAAACCUUUUGCAACUAGUCUAGCCUUAUAUUUAUCAAUAGAUCCAUCCGGUUUCAACUUUUUUCUAAAAAUCCAUUUGCAACCAAUAGUUUUACAACCCAGUGGUAAAUCAACUAACUUCCAAGUUUUAUUAGAAAUUAGUGAUUCCAUUUCAUCAUUUAAUUUACAGCCUCUUUCCAAAUAAUGGAAUCAUGUGAAGAUGAAGCUUCUUUUAAAGAAAGAAGGUCAUCUCCAACAUUAAACACAUAAAAAUCAGGACCAAAAUCUUUUUCUACUCUAGCUCUUUUACUUCUUCUUAACUCAAAAUCAUCAACUUUUUUAUUUUUCAAAGUGAGAGUAAAAGAAUUAGGUAGUGACAAAAUAUUUUGUUCAAUUCUUUGACCCCCACUAUUUUUAGAAUCAAAAGGAAAUUUAUUCUCAUGAAAAAUAGCAUCACCCGAUUCUAUCACAAUAUUAUCUUCAAGAUUAAAAUAUCUAUAGGCUGUACUAUUUGAAUCAUAACCAAGAAAAACACAAGUAGUAACUUUCUUACCCAAUUUUGUGAUCUUGGGAUCCAUUAGCCUCACAAAGGCUAGACAACCCCAAACUCUUAGAUAUCCCAAACUUGGCUUGUAACCUUUUCCACAAUUCAAAAGGUGUCAAUUUAGACUUUUUAUGAGGCACACGAUUUAACACAUAACAAGCAGUCAAAAUAGCUUAACCCAAAAAUUUAAAGGUGCAUGUGACUCAAUAAACAUGACAUUAAUUAGUCAAUUCAACCAAAGUUCUAUUUUUUUCUUUCCGCUACACCAUUAGAUGAGGGAGAAUAAGGAGGAGUAGUUUCAUGAAUUAUUCCCAAUGAUCUAACAAAAGAAUUAAACUCAUUUGACUCAUAUUCACGGCCUCUAUCACUUCUAAUUCUUUUAUUUUCUUUCAAAUUGAUUUUCAACCUCAUGGAGAUAAGUUUUGAAAUUUUCAAAAGCAUCACUUUAUUUUUCAUCAAGUAAACAUAUGUAAACUUAGAAAAAUCAUCAAUGAAAAGUGAUAAAAUAUCUAUUACCUCCACGAGUUAAAAUUCCACCAAGUUCACAAAUAUCAAUAUGAACUAAUUCUAACAAAUCAGUUUUUCUUUCAACUUGAAAAUGAGACAUUUUAGUGAUUUUGUCUUUACUACAAGCCUCACACUAUUCAAAAUUCUUUUUAAUCAUUGGAAUUAAUCCUAAACUACUCAUGAUUCCACCAUAACGAUCAUUAAUAUGACACAAACGAGCAUGCCAAAAAUUAGUAGAAGAAAACAUAUAAACAGAAGUAGAAGCUUUAUUCACUUCUACAUUCAAUUUGACCAUCCCAUUACAAACAUAUCCCUUUUCCACAACAAUAUCCUUCUUCACAAUUACAUAUCGAUCAGAUUCAAUAAUCUGUUUAAAACCUGCUUUAUUAAGAAGAAAACUAGACAUCAAAUUUUUUCUCAUGGAAGGAAUAUAGAGUACAUCUUUCAAAGUUAAUACUCUUACAGAAGUAAAACACAAUUCGACAUCUCCCGUUCCAAGCAUUUGAGUUUUGUGAGAAUCACCAAGCAUGAUGGUUUUGGGCUCCUCAAAAUGAGUAUAUUUUUUAGGACAAAUUACAGAAAUCGCAUACUUUUAAGGCAAAAUUACAAUACAUCACUUAAAAGUUUAUAAUUACAGAAAUCCCUCAAACGGAUAUAAUAAGAUAAGCGCUGAUACAUUAAUUUGAUACGCGAGAUACAAUAAUAUAAGUGAUGAUACAUGCGCGAGAUACAAUAAUAUAAGCGCUAAUACAUUAAUCCUAUGCGCGAGAUACACUAAUAUAAGCACUGAUACACUAAUCUGAUGCACGAAAAUGAGGAAUUUUGGAGAUUUGUAAAACUUAUAGGGGAUAAUGGUAAUAAGUAAACUAAAAGGUGGGAUUUCUGUAAUUUUUCCUAUUUUUUAAACCAGUCUUUGUCAUUACAGACUUGACGGUUUGCACCAGAAUCAACCCACCAUCCAUCAACAAUCUCAACCAUGUUUAUGUCGAUAAUCACCCCCCAAAAGGUUCUUCGGUAACGUUUGCCUGAGGGUUAGGACCACGUUUUCAGAAUCUGCAAAAUCGAGCAAUAUGCCCACUCUUGCCACAAACAAAGCACGGUCCCUUAUCUUGAACUUGUUGAUUUUGUGCUUGGUUAUUUUCACCAUUAUUUUUCUUAGGAGGUCUACUAUUAUUUUUCUUAAAUUUUUUCUUCUUAGUUCAAAGAAGUAUUUUUGUGAGUUUCAAGAGUAGCAUUAUUUGAAGUAAUUAAAUUUACCUUCGUUGUGAUGUUGCUCUCUUCUUUUUGUAAAAGUGCAUCUUGGCCCCUUGCCUCUACACCAUCGUGCUUUUCCACUUUCCCAUGAUGAGAAAUAAGUUCAUCAUCAUCUAUGGAGGUAUCAUCAACUUUAUUAGGAUUCUUUUCAGUUAACACAUAAGAAACACUGAGAAGAUUUAAGUAGAAAAGUACUUUACCCUUCCAUCUUUUGAAAUGGUUACCAUUGAACCGAUAUGGCUUGUUCAGGUCUACCAUCUUGACAUCUGCGGUUUUUUCAAUUAUAGCCAUUAUUGAAUCUCUUUAAAAUUGUUAGUGAAAAAUUACAAUAUAAUAAAAUUGCAAGAUUACAAUUGAAAAUAAAAUAAAGAAAAUAAAUCUCUUCAGGUUGAGGCGCGAAUUUCUCGCUAUCUUUAGGGAGAUUCGAGUCCACCGCAACAAAUAUUUUUCAUAGGUCCAGUAGUAGUCCUUCUUGACUUGUUCCCGAUACAACAACCUUACACAAAGUAUAACUCAACAGUACAACUCUGGACAAGAGUUGAGUCCAAAGCACCACAAAAAGAACACCUCCCUUCAACUAAUAAGAACUCUCUUUUUUUACUAACUCUUUCACUCUAUAUUUUUCUUGUGUAUUGUGUGUUCCAAACCAAAUGAAGGCCACCACUAUUUAUAGUUGGGAUGUCUUCCUAGCAAUGAAUAGGAGGAUAAUGGGGUAGUAAAUAGUGAAGAUAAAUGACCUUAAGAGUUACAUAUAUUACAAGGUAUAAUGGAGAAAGAAUGAUGAAGAAUGAAUGGCAAAGGUCACCAACGGCUAAGUGUGCUAACAAGAAAUGUAGUAACAUAACAAACAAUAACUCCAAAUGGAGUAAUGCAGCAAAUAAGUGCCACCAACGGUCAAUGUCAGAAACGUCAAGUAAUGGGCAAUUAAGCUUCAAAACAUUGAUUCCAAAAUACAAUCAAAGUGGCCACUAACAUUCUGAUAGGAAUAGCUGCAAGAGGAAUCACUACAAAAGGAACUCCAAUUACCAAUAAAAAAAAUCGCUGGUAAAUUGAGUUAUCAACCAAAUGCCAACUUAUAUUAAUCCGCUGCUAAAAGGCUCAUCGGUAAAUAUUACCAACUGAUUUUAAUUUAUUGAUAAACUUAUCAACCAAAAAUCAAUUGGCAAACACCCAAAGAUGUUGUUACAGAACUUUGAAACAUGGUCCUGAAAUUUCUGAUAGGAAACUUUUCCAGAUACAUUGGUAAUUGGUUGGCAAUUUUAAUAAUAUAAAAUUUAUGUUGGUAAUUUACCAAUAAAUUUGUAAUACUUUUUUUUUUGGUUUCCCAUCCGGUGUUCGGUAUCCACAUUGGAGCCCGACUGAAUCCGGAUUCACGCCGGGAAGUCCCACAUUGGGUAGUAAAGCGCUCUCUAACAAAGGCGACUCCAUACCUAAGGGGAAUCGAACCUGAGACCUCUUGGUUAAUGAUGAAGGAGUACUUAUCACUCCACCACAACCCUUGUUGGUAAUAAAUUUUAAAUAGCGUUAGUAUUAUUAUUUGUUUUUCUAAUAAAUUUACUAAGUGAUUGUUAGUUUGUUGGUAAUACAUCAUUCAAGGCGACUCUGUAUCCAAGGGGAAUCGAACCUAAGAUCUCUUGGUUAAGGAUGCAGGAGUACUUACCACUCCACCACAACCCUUGUUGGUAAUAAAUUUUAAAUACGUUAAUAUGAUUAUUUGUUUUUCGAAUAAAUCUACUAAUUGAUUGUUAGUUUGUUGGUAAUAUAUCAUUCAAGUUCAAUGUUAGGUUAGUAAUUGAUUGACAAUAUGCUCAAAAUAUUAUUAAAUGAAUGAUUAUCCAAUAGUAAAAUAUUUAUUAAUUUAUUGCAUUUAGAAAUCUAAGAGCACGAAUAUAAAUCCAAAAAUAUUAAUAUCAAUUUUAUAAAUCAUAUUUGAAUGAAACAAUGUAAAAUCUAUGAUAACAAGUUAAAUUAAUCUCAAUAUGUCACAUAUCAUUAUAUCAAAUUUUUUAAUUUGAGCAUGUUUACCAAAAAUAUUGACCAAAUCUAAAUUUUGGCCAAAACUUAAAAGAUAAAACACCUAACAACACAAACUAAAAAUGGAACCCUCAAAACCUGAACCAACCAUCAUAUUAGAUAUAAAAAUGACCUUUCGAAGCUAAUCACACUGACAGAAUUCUCAUCAGAGCACGUUUACAAAAAAUGUUACGCAAAGUCAAAUCUUGGCCAAAAGUUAAAAUUUAAAACGCCUAACGGUACAAACGAAAUAUGAAAACCUCAAAAUCCAAACCAACCAUCCUAUAAGACGAAAAAUGACCUUCUAGAUCUAACCGCGUUGACAAAAUUCAAAUUUGAGCAUAUUUCCCAAAAAAAAUUGACCUAAUUCAAAUUUUAGCCAAAAGUUAAAACGCUUAACGACACAAACUGAAAAUAAAAGUCUCAAAACCCAAACCAACCAUCCUAUGAGACCAAAAUUGAACUUAUAUGGCUAACUGCAGUGACAAAAUUUCAAUUCGAGCACGAUUACUAAAAAUAUUGACUAAAGUAAAAUUUUGGCCAAAACUUAAAAGUUAAAAUGCCUAACGGCACAAACUAAAAAUGGAAGCCUCAAAACCCGAACCCUCUAUCUUAUUACAUCAAAAAUGACCUUCCGCAUCUAACUGCACUGACGAAAUUCUCAUCUGAGCACGUUUAUCAAAUAUAUUGACCGAAGUUAAAUUUUGGCCAAAAUUUAUCAGUUAAAACACCUAAGGCACACACUAAAAAUGAAAGCCUCAAAACCCGAACCAACCAUCUUAUUAGAUAAAAAAUGACCUUUGGAGUUAAUUACGCUGACGGAAUUCUCAUCUGAGCACGUUCACAAAAAUAUUGACCAAAGUCAAAUUUUGGCCAAAACACAAGAUUUAAAACACCUAACGGCACAAACAAAAAACGGAAGAGUCAAAACUUGAACCAACCUUCCUGUUAGAUAAAAAAUGACCUUUCGAGGCUAAUGACACCGAUAAAGUUCUAAUAUGAGCACGUUUACCAAAAAUAUCGACCAAAGUAAUCAAGUUUUGGCUAAAAUUUAAAAGUUAAAACGCCUAACAACACAAACUGAAAAUGGAAGCCUCAAAACCUGAACCAACCAUCCUAUUAGAUAUAAAAAUGACCUUCCAAAGCUAAUCGCGCUGACGAAAUUCUCAUCAGAGCACGUUUACAAAAAAUGUAAAGCAAAGUCAAAUUUUGGCCAAAAGUUAAAAGUUAAAACGCCUAACGGUAUAAACUGAAUAUGAAAACCUCAAAAUCCAAACCAACCAUCCUANNNNNNNNNNNNNNNNNNNNNNNNNNNNNNNNNNNNNNNNNNNNNNNNNNNNNNNNNNNNNNNNNNNNNNNNNNNNNNNNNNNNNNNNNNNNNNNNNNNNNNNNNNNNNNNNNNNNNNNNNNNNNNNNNNNNNNNNNNNNNNNNNNNNNNNNNNNNNNNNNNNNNNNNNNNNNNNNNNNNNNNNNNNNNNNNNNNNNNNNNNNNNNNNNNNNNNNNNNNNNNNNNNNNNNNNNNNNNNNNNNNNNNNNNNNNNNNNNNNNNNNNNNNNNNNNNNNNNNNNNNNNNNNNNNNNNNNNNNNNNNNNNNNNNNNNUGGUUGGUAAUCUGUUAGAAUUUCGUUGUUAAGUUUUAAAAUAUAAUUUAGUCAGAAUAUGUUGGUAAUUUGUUAGUAGAAUACUAACCAACUUAAGUUGUUAGUAAAAUCUGUUGACAAUUUGGGUUUUUUUUUGUAGUGAAUGGGAAAUAUGCACCUUAACCAUUAUUACUAAUAUUAAAAUGCUCCCAAACCAACAACUAAUGCUAAGAAAAGUCUUAUUCAUAUCAUUGAUCAAUCAAUUUUUAUUUUUUAUGUAUUAUUAUAUAAACAUUUUGUCUUAAUUGGAGAAGGAGUUUACUGAUUGGAAUCUAAAAUUGUUAAGAUUGUUUUUAACAAGGCUAAAAAUAGAAGGUGUCCUUCUAAGGAAAUUGGGAGAGGUACUAUCAAUAUAGCAUAGGCCAUAGCAGCUUAUUUUGGAAAAUGACUAUUCAAACUUUAUUUUAGAAUGUGAUUUCCUGAUUAUAAUUAAUAUGAUCAAGGAUAUAUCUCAAAUGGCCUGAAAAUUGCUGCAAAAGAAAGAAUAUAUUCUGAGUAACUAGCUAUGAUUUGUCUUUCUUUAGUUUUUGUUGGACCUGUUUUCAAGGUAGUAUAUUAAUGCUUAUUAACGGAAGUUUACGCUAUCGUCCCUCUCUACUUAUUCUCUGUAUAAAUUUUGGAUUAAAUAAAAGGAUUACACAGCUAAAGACAUAAAAUUUUACAUUAAAAAAAUGCAAAUUCAUGAAGUUUGGGGGGUGGGGGUGGGGGUUAAUGUUUCAUUUAUUAAUUAAUUCUAUUUUUAAUUCACUCAAUUUACUCCAUGUAAGAGAGUUGCACUAAUUCAAGCUAAAUAGGUAGUCGAUCUAGAUUGACUCACGACUUGGCCGACUCUUACUUUAAAAAAAUCAAGGCAUAUGCCUUAGGCUCUUAAUUUUGGAGGGAUUAAUUUUUUUACUAAGAAUAAAUGAUGUGUUAAUUUUUUUAUUUAUAGAAAAAUGAUAGUUAUUUUAUUCUCGGGUUUGAGCCCUGGAUAUGGAGAAAAUCCGGUUGGGAGCGCCACACCCGAAUGAGCCCUGCAGAGCGCGAUCCAAAUUUAGUCGGAGCUCUAAUGUGGAUUCCAAACAUCGAGUGAGAAAAAAAAACAUUUAGACUUAGUAAGAGUUGGAUGGGCAGCUCGUUUCAUGGCCCAUAAUUUAGCUAUCUUAAACCCAAUUCAUUUCCUUAGGUCCAAGUAAUAUUUAGAUUGGAUCAUAAACUUAUUCAUUUAGCAUCUCAUUAUAAUUCAAUCCGUCCCAUAUCUGACACCCUUCUUAAGCAUGAAAGUAUGUAUGGAUCACACAUUCAAACACAAAUUAAAUGUAUCGGAUAUGCAUGACAAUUAAAGGACAUGCAUAUUCGAACAUAGCUAGCUAGCUAGCUUGUUUUAUUCAUAACUCAUAAGCAUACAUUAAUUAAAAUUACAUAGAGCCUGGAGACGCAUCCACUUUAAUUUAUUCCUUAACGAAGACAAUGGGAAGAUGGUUUUCACCGGAAGCCACGAGAGGAUAUAAUCCGUAAUCAAAAGUCAAGUUCACACAAUUAAGUUGAGGGGAAUCCGUACAAUACAUUAAGUUGUAUGCAUUUUCCAAUUCUUGUUCCUCCGUCGUCUCAUAUUUCAAAAUCUUGAACAAGUUGCUUUCAGUUCCUAUGGUACCACCAGUCACCACGAACUGAUCUUUAUCAUCACUAACUUUCCAAAUAGUUUCGUUAAAACUGGGACUAGAUAUAUCAAGUGUUGAGAACAUGAUAUCAAUGCCAUCCGUUUCACGCACCACAUCAUCAUCAUUAUCAACCUUAAGAACGAAUUUCACGGGGGUGCCUUUUCCUAUCAAACCGGGAAUCGGUACGUGCUGCAACACGGUGUUUGGGCAUUCAAGGUGUCCAAUAUUGGCCAAGUAUACGGAUUCCGCCUCCAAUGAGAGGAUUAUGAAUAAUGUACUUUUCACCAAUGUACGUAGUGUGGUAGGCGGUCCAUGUCCAACACUUGAGGGGCUACAUCAUCAUCAUCAUCAUUAUUAUUAUUAUUAUUAUGAGUAGUUGUGGGAAGGACAAUGGGAUUGUUGGAAGUGAAAGAUCGACAAAAGGCAACAAAGGGAAACAAAGAGAGUAAGAGGAAACUCAAAAUAUUAAUCAACUUCAUCUUUAAUUUGAGUGUGUUGUGUGUAUAUUUUGCUUACUCUAUCUCCAAUUUAUAGACCACCACAUGUAUGUAACAACAUUUUUGAGAAACAAAAAAUGCCUACCUUUUAGGUUAGGUUAGUGACAUGAUUUAUUAACUAGAUCUAAUUAUAAGUAGUAUAAAGACUUUCUAUUUUAACAAUGAAUUAAAAAUAUUUAUAUAUAUAUAUAUAUAUAUUGUUAGAAAACAUAAGCAAUGUGGAGAAAUUUUCUGUGUAUUUCUUCAUGAAAAAACUCACUGUACAGCCUUCUAGUAUAUAUACAAAUUCUAUUCUAUCCUAAAUUGUGUGAACUAUGAAAUUAAUGCAAUAUGUAUUUACACUUGUCAUUUCAUUAUUGGUCUUCUUCUAACAAACUCCAAACGGCUGUCAUGUGCCAUAUGUGUGCUAUGGUUGAGAAAUAUCUAGAAUUGUACAACUGUAGCAUACAGCUGGAUGGCUCUGAUUAAUUUGAUUCAAUAAGAGAUCUUUGCCCCUGAUGUUGCCACGCAUCCUUUGGACCUUUUGUAUGCCUAUGUUGUUUUUGUUUGAAACUAGGAGAACUUUGAACAUUGUUUCCUUUCAUCUCCUUCUUUUCUUUUUCUGUAAAAUCACCAUGGCCAUAAUCAUGAUGUUCUUGAUUCUCAACACCCCCCUUCAAGGUGGAGGGGAGAGAAACGACACCCAACUUGGAAAGAAUCGAGAAGUGUGAAGGACCGGAGAGGGCCUUUGUGAACAGAUCAGCCAACUGAGCAGAGGAUGGAACAAAAGAUAGAGAGAUCAACCCGGAAAGGAACUGUUGUCUCACGAAGUGGCAAUCAAGCUCAACAUGCUUGGUUCGUUCGUGAAACACUGGAUUCUUCGCAAUAUGAAUAGCAGCUUGGCUAUCAGAGUGAAGAGGCACAAACAAUGAUGGAGAAAUGGACAGAUCUAGAAGAAGUCGGGUUAACUAGGUAAGUUCCGCAGUAACUCUCCUCAUAGACCUGUAUUCUGAUUCAGCGGAAGAUAGUGAAAUAAAGGCUUGUUUCUUGGACUUCCAAGAAAUUGGUGAGCCACCAAUGCUAAUAAAGAAACCACUAAUAGAUCUCUGACUAUCUCGACAAGAUGCCCAAUCAGCAUCACAUAGCAAUCAGGGAAGAUGAUGAUGUAGGAUUGAAGAAUUGACCUUGGUUUGGAUUGAGUCGUAGAUAUCUCAACACUCGAAGUGCAGCAUCAAAAUGGCCCUGACACGGCUGUUGCAUAAAUUGACUAAGAGUGAGGACUAAGAAUGAAAGGCCUGGCCGUGUAUGUGUGAGAUAGUUCAAUUUACCUACUAAUCUCCUGUAAAUGGAAGGAUCUGCAAGUAAAGGACCUGAUGAACUAGUGAGCUUAGAACAAGUGUCAAGUGGAGAGGAGACUGUAAAUAGAGAUGUGCAAUCAAAUUCUUGUAACAAAUCUAGUGUGAAUUUUCGUUGACUGAUAAUACAACCAUGUUCUCCCCUUAAAAUUUCCAUGCCAAGAAAAUAAUGAAGCUCCCCUAAGUCCUUGAUUUGGAAUUCAGAGUUGAGAAAAUCCUUCAUAGUGACAGUUUCAAUAAGAUCAUCCCCGGUAAUCAAAAUAUCAUCAACGUAGACAGCAAUAAUUGAAAUCAGAUCCCCUGUUUUCUUGAAAAACAAAUAAUAGUCAUUAAGAGAUGUUGUAUAUCCUUUAAAAGUUAGGGCUCCUGCAAGCUUGGCAUACCAUUGCCUUGAAGCUUGUUUGAGCCCAUAUAGUGACUUUUGAAGCCAGCAAACAUGAUUGGGACUGAGUGAUGCCAUUCCUGAAGGAAACUUCAUGUAGACUUCCUCUUGAAGGUCUCCAUGAAGAAAAACAUUAUUAACAUCAAAUUGUGAAAUGGACCAACCUUUCUUGACUACAAUGGCAAUGAGACACCUAAUGGUUGUCAUUUUGACAACUGGGGAAAAAGUCUCAGUGUAGUCUAUGCCUUCCCUUUGUAUGUCAUCUCUUAUCACAAGUCGUGCCUUAUAUCAUUCAAUUGAUCCAUCAAAAUGUUGUUUAAUUUUGUAUACCCAUUUGCAAGGUAAAGCCUUCUUGCCAGUAGGUAACAACAUGACCUUUCAUGUAUUGUUUUCUUCCAAAGAUGUAAUCUCUUUUUGCAUUGCAAGCUGCCAAUUAGGAUCCAAACUAGCUUGUUUGAAACUAGUAGGUUCUGAGUGAGCACUAAUAGAACCAAGGAGAUGUUGAUUCUGUAAGGAUAAAGCUCCAAAAGAAAAAGUAGAUGAGUGUGCAGGUUGUGCUAAACAAGUGUCUGAAAUGUUAGUGAGAAACAUAUGAUUAUAGACAAAAUCAUUUAGCUAUGCAGGCCUCUUACUUUCCCUGUUAGAUUUUCGGAUAACAGGUGUGGAAGGAGGAGGAGAUACAAGGAGAAAAGAAGGGGAAAACGAAGGAUAGGAUUGAGAAGAUGAGCUAGAGGAGGAUGAAAGAAUAUGUAGGGUUGAAGAGUCAAUAGAGGAGUCAGGAGUGAGGGAAGAAAUAGGAAAAAUUGGCUCAGAAUCUGAUUGAAGAUUUGAGAAAGGGAAAAUGUGCUCACAAAAUUGAAUAUCUCUAGAUAUAAAGAUCUUUUUAGAUGAUAUGUCAAGAAGCUUGUAUCCUUUUUGGCCCUGUGGGUAGCCCAAAAAUAAACAAGCAAUGGCCCUGGGAUCAAACUUGUUUCGAUUACUGUGCAAAGUAGAGGCAUAACAUAGACAAUCGAAAGCUCGCAAAACUUAUAAUCAGGACAUUUCUGAAAAAGAAUCUCAUAAGGGGUUUUCCCAUGAAGUACUCUGGAAGGAAUUCGAUUAAUAAGAAAAGUAGCAGUCAAUAAACAAUCCCCCCAGUAGCAUUAAGGAAGUUUGGAUUGAAAAAGUAAAGCCCUUGCAAUUUCUAAUAAAUGUCUAUGUUUCCUCUCAACAGCCCCAUUUUGUUGAGGUGUAGCAACACAAGAUGUUUGAUGAAUAAUCCCUUUUGACCUCAAAAAUUCUGCUUCAUGUACCCCUUUCCCCAACUCUAGAGCGUUAUCAGAUCGAAGCGUUUUCACCUUAAGGUCAAAUUGUCUCUCAACCAUGAAUAAAAAAUGUUUCAAAACAGAUAAAACAUUACUCUUAGUAGUUAAUGUGUAUGUCCAAGUACCCCUACUAAAAUCAUCAACAAGAGUAAGAAAAUACUUAUAUCCAUGGUAAGUAGGAACUUUGAAAGGUCCCCAAGUGUCCAUAUGAACCAGUUCAAACACCCUUUUAGAAGUAACAUGAUUAAUGGAGAAGGGUAAUCUGGUUUGUCUAGAAAGGGGACAUAUGUCACACACAAGAAUAAUUAGAAGGAAAAGAAAUGAAACUGAAUUUUUUCAUAGCUGAAUAAAGCAAAUGGCCUAGUUUGGCAUGCCAAAGAGCUACAUCAGAAACAACACUAGCAAAAAAAGGAGAACAAACAGGAACAGUUUUGGAAUCACUUCCUUUUGGUAAAGAAACUACAUUACAUGGAGAUUAAAUACUAGCACUAGAAAUGACAGAUUCUAAAAAUAAAGACCCUCUUCAGCUUCACCAAAAUCUUGUUUCCUCAUCAUUGAACGGUUCUGCAUGACACACUUUUAAGGAUUAAAUAAGAGAAAACAACCAAACUGGCUACAUAACCUAUGAACAGACAACAAAUUAUAUCUGAAAGAAGGAACAAAAAGAACAUUCUAUAGAAUAAGAGUAGGAAAAAUGGCUAUGCUAUCAGUGUGUGUGACCUUAAUCCUGUAAGAAUUAGGUAAAUUUAUAGUGACAGGUGCUGGAAGAGAGACAAGAUUGAGAAAGGAAGUAUGCUUAUAACACAUGUGUUCAGAAGCCCCUGAGUCUAUGAUCCAAGUAUGAGAGUUAAAAACAGAGAAACAUGAACUAGAAUAUUGAGUAAUAGUACCAGCCACAUCAUUUGCAUUAAUCUCUGAGCUAGUACCAGCUCCAGGAGUGGUCUGUCCUUGUUUGAACAUCUGUUUCAUAUGUGAAAUUUGACUCUUACUCAGAAUCUUCAUAUACAAUGGGUGAAUGUCCAUAAUUGUCCUCAAUAAGUGCUUCAUUCCCCUUGAUAAGUGUUUGAAAUCCUUUAGUGAACUAAAAAUCUUCUGGGUACCCAAUCAAUCUAUAACAGUCAUCUUCUACAUGCCCAGUCUUUAGACAAUGAGUACAACUCACAUUAGGAUUGUAUUUCUUCCUUCUUACUUUUCUUGGAUUCUGGGGUGUAAAAUUCCUUUGAGGAUUUGCUGAAGGCCUUUGUCCCUGAGGUUGCCCACCAGAAUGUUGAAAUUGUCCUCCAGACCUCUGUGAAGACUGACCUGGAUGACCAGGCUUCUGCAUUUGGUUUCCAAGUUUCAUUUGGGAAUUGUGGAUUAAUAUAAACUUUUCUCUGAUUCUCAUCCUGAAACAAGAGAGAGUAAGCAUGGUUGAUUCCUGGCAAAGGAUUCAACAUGAGAAUAUUACCCCUUGCCUGAGCAUAAAGAUCAUUCAAUCCCAUAAGAAAUUGAAUUAGCCGAUAAUCUUCAACAAAUUUAGUCAUCUUUUGCUUCCCUGUACACACACAAGGACAUGUACAACCAACAUGAGAGUUGAGAAAAUCCAACUCAUCCCACAACCUUUUUAAUUUAGUGAAAUACCCUGCUAUAUCAUUGGAUCCUUUUACUAACCCAGUCAUUUAUUUUUGCAGGUGGUAUAAUUUAGCACCAUUCAACUAGCCAAAUCUCUGUUCUAGAUCUGUCCAGAGGUCCUUGGCAGUCCUGGAGUAGAUGGCAGAGUGAGCUAUAUCCAUGGACAACGAGUUAAGUAGCCAAAAAGUUACCAUGUCAUUGCAUUUAUGCCAAGAAGAAAAAGUGGGUGUUGUGUUCAAAGGCUCUACACAACUACUAUCAAUAAAACCCAGCUUGUUCUUAGCCGACAAAGCAAUUAGGACAAAUCUCAUCCAUCCCUGGUAAUCCCUCACAUCGAAGGUGCUAUUAACAAGAUUCAUACCUGGUGCAUCUGAAGCAUGAAGAAAAAGAGUAUUACUAAAAUAAAAAAUACUGCCCAUUGCAGUUUGACCUACAACAAUAGGAGCUAUAGCAGUAGGAAUGACCUCUUCUGUAUCCAUGAUUCAAAAAGGGAGGAUGAACACAUAAAUUUGUAGAAGAGCAAAAAAAUGUGGAUUUUAAUGCUCUGAUACCAUGUUAGAAAACAUAAGCAAUGUGGAGAAAUUUUCUGUGUAUUUCUUCAUGAAAAAAAUUACUGUACAGUCUUCUAGUAUAUAUACAUAUUCUAUUCUAUCCUAAAUUGUGUGAACUAUGAAAUUAAUGCAAUAUGUAUUUACACUUGUCAUUUUAUCAUUGGUCUUCUUCUAACAAACUCCAAACGGCUGUCAUAUGCCAUACAUGUGCUAUGGUUGAGAAAUAUCUAGAAUUGUACAACUGUAGCAUACAUAUGGAUGGCUCUGAAUAAUUUGAUUCAAUAAAAGAUCUUUGCCCCUGAUGUUGCCACGCGUCCUUUGGACCUUUUGUAUGCCUAUGUUGUUUUUGUCCGAAACUAGGAGAACUUUGAACAUUGUUUCCUUUCAUCUCAUUCUUUUGUUUUUCUGUAAAAUCACCAUGUCACGACCCAAAAUGAGUCGUGAGUGGCACCCACACUUAACCUCCUAAGUGGGCGAACCAAGGAAUCUAAAACCUAACAUAUAUCAAUAAUUCAACUAUGAAUAACAAUAAGGUACGGAAGCUCAAAACUUGUUAAAGUAACCAAUCAAAUAAAUUUCAAAGGUCUAUUACAUAUUAUCCCCAAAAACUGAAAGUCAUCACAUCAAGGACAUCUAAUCUUCAAAUACUAAGUCUAAGAGUAUUGAGGACACAAAAAUAAAUGAAUAAAAUAGUUUAUGUCCGAAAACUUAGGACAUCAUGCCAUGACCAAGAGAAUCUAACACGAGUCGGAAUGAAUAGCUCACACUAGAACCUAAUGUGCUGGAGACUGGAUAGAGCUGAGGGCGAAUCAAAGUCACUGAUACACUCGCUGCACUCCACAAAAGAAAAUAAAGAAAAAAUACAAGUAGGGUCAGUAUAGGGCAACAUGUACUGAGUAAAUAUUAUCGGUCAACCCAAAAUAGAAACUAACAUGUAAUGAAUAAUAGUAUAAAAUCAACUAUGACACUUAGAAGGUGGCAAGCAACAAACACAUGAACCAGUGUCAACCACACUAAAGUAAGUACGUAAUCAAUCAACAAUAUCAAUAUCACACAUGAGGACUCAUGCCUCCAAACCAAACUAAUUUGGGAAUUGAGUUCUUUGAAAUUGAGUACAUUAAGUUAAUUCAAUAUAUUUUUCCUUUAAUGUUACCGUGUCGGAACGUGACACUCCGAUCAAAUUAUACUGUGUCGAAACGUGACACUCCGAUCCAAUUAUGCCGUGUCGGAAUANNNNNNNNNNNNNNNNNNNNNNNNNNNNNNNNNNNNNNNNNNNNNNNNNNNNNNNNNNNNNNNNNNNNNNNNNNNNNNNNNNNNNNNNNNNNNNNNNNNNNNNNNNNNNNNNNNNNNNNNNNNNNNNNNNNNNNNNNNNNNNNNNNNNNNNNNNNNNNNNNNNNNNNNNNNNNNNNNNNAUCCAAUUAUAUCAUUAAUUUAUUUCAUCAAGCCUUCUUUAUUCAAGGCAUCACUUCGAUAGAGAGAGUUUCAGAUUAUAAAUUUCAUGGUCUCAGGAUUUUAGACCAAUCACAAACCAUACAACCCAACCACACAAAACCACACAAUCCACUACAUAGAGAACUUCACAAUAUCACUCAAUACAUAUUAGUCACUAUUAAGAGUCUAACUAUCGAAAUAGAAUAAACCAUAACCUACCUCCACCGAAGAACUGACGUCAGACAAGCUACUUCUCCAAUGACUUUCCUUUCCGCAAUGCCUCUGAACCUUUCCAAUCUAUCAAGUAUAUAUGCAUAAUUUGUAAGUUAACAGGCCUAUAAACACUCAUAUUAGUCUAUGUCCAGCCUAUACCCAAAAACUCCCCUAAUUCUAUAAUCAACUUCCUAAAGUUCAAACCUAAGAGUAAGUCUUAAUUCCUCCCAUUAGCAUAACUUUAAUGUAAUUCAUAUAAUAUACUACACCUUGUAUUUUAUUACCUCUAUCUCAAUAUAUCAAAUUUUAGUUUAUAAUAUGGUAAAACUGAAGCCACUAGUCACGAUAUCAGUGGCAGCCAACACAUGAAACCACAAAAUAAACUAACCAAAGAAAACAAAUGUAACACGGAGACCUAGGAAACCCAUCCAAAAUAUGGACAUAACAAUGACAAUUCAAUUCUAUAAACUUUCACCUGCAAUCCACUCUUUAACUCAAUAAACAAUAAUUUACCACUUAUUGUUUUAGUACUUCAUAAUAAUUUAAUCAAACCAAUUAACCAGCAACUAACCAUUGGCACCAAUUACUUUAGUUCCUGAUUAUUUUCUCCAUUAGUCAUAUCAAUAUGCACACACUUAUAAAUUGCAGACUAUCUCACUUAUGACAAUACACUAUACACCUCAUUCCUAACUCAAUUAAAUAAUCUCACUGGAAAUCAGCCAAUCCGUGGGAGACAAAUUUGUCUCCAACAAUCCCACCCUAACGCCAUUAAUCACCAAAAUUCAACCUAGCACUACUACUAAAAAUUUGUUCUUUUCAAUUUCCCGUCUAAUAACAAUAAUAUAAUAAUAAUCAUAAAGCCUUUGCUCAUAUUCACAAAAUACAUAUUGGAUUUUACCUGAAGCACUCGUCGGCCUAUCUUCAAAUUGUAUCACCGUAGUUGAAGUUCUCUUGAGUUAGAAUGGGAACUUGAUAAAAAGGAAACAUACUUACCUCUUCUAAAACUUACUCAACUCAAGGAAUAUUCAAAUUAAAACUACUCAACUUACUCAACUAAGAAGUAUGCAAGGAUAAGAUACUCAACUCAAAGAUAUGAUAUUUUUGGGAGUGGUAGAAGUGACCCACUAUUAAUUCUAAUUCUAUUUUUCUUAACCACCAACUAAAUAAAUUAUUAAAACUACCCUAUAAAUUUUAUAAUUGUAGUUACGAAUAGUCGAAAACACUCAUUUAAAAUCUAGCGAAAGAGUAUUUUAUACAAUAAAAGCUCUAAUACUCAAAACGAUCAAAUGGGCCGUUACAUUAGAUAUCAAUUUAGCCAUCGUUCGUCCUCGAAUGAUCAAAAGAAGGCGAGGGUAAUGAAGGGUAUCUGAAUCGAUAAAAAGGUGUGGAUAUCUUUCAUGCAUAUCAGCCUCACUCUCCCAACUGGACUCUUCAAAUGGAUGAUUCUUCCACUGAACCUUGACACAACCAUCAAGACAAAUAUUUUCUAACAUAACCAUGAUACAAUCCUGAAUCAUUAUUGGCUACAACCAUGAGUGAACCAGAACCAGCCACCACACACUCAUAAUGUGAAAAGGAUUCAUCUAAAAAGUAUUACCCUUUUCUACCCAUAAUGGCUACAUGGUUUUCAUGGAGACUUGAGUUAAUAAUCUUAUCAAGAUUACAUCCUCACAACAAAAUAUUUCCUUGAGCUUAAGCUAUAAAAAUAUGAAUCUUUAGACAGCAAGUAAUCAUCUAGGAGAAUCGAACUCAUCUGAUCCAAAGAUGGAAAUGAUCAAGUAACCUCCAUCGAGUGAUACGCCCAAGCAUACAAAACCUCUAACAACACUGUCGAAAUGCUAGAUUAGUAGCUAUUAUAGACAAACCUUAAGAAUGACAAAACUAGACACAAUGGUCCCUACAUUCAUUCACACAUAGCCAAAACAUGAUACCGAUGAUGAGAUAAAUCUUAAGUCUAUCAAAAAAUUGUAAAUUUUCAUGGUAGCUCUCUUAUAAAUUCUCAUAAGCAAAGUUGUGCAUGUAGAAUCACUAGUAUACUUUAACUAUCCCAAACAACACCAAAUCUUCCAGAACUGGGAUGAACAAGUCUAACCGAGGAUGCCACCCUACCAGGAGGACAAUCACGAAAUCGGUACACACAAUCCACUACUAGGGACUCACCCAUAGAAGCGAAAACACCCACGGAAGAAGAAAGUAAAUUAUACUCUAAACCUUAUUUCAUCUACAGUUUUACAGCUUUCCAUAUAUUGCUUCUUUUAUUGUUGCUUUAUUCUUGAGUAUCUUGAGUUGAAUUGUGCUUCAUCAAGUCGAGUACCUUAUUGUUGAGUUGAGCCUUAUUUCCCUGAGUUAAAUAUCUUAUCCUUUGAGUUGCAUAUCAUAUUCUUAAGUUGAGUCGAGUAAGUGAGUUAAGAAGAGGUAUGUAUGUUUUAUUUUUAUUAAUUUCAAGCUUGUAUUUAUGCUUUAAAAUUCCCCUUACAUGCUCGUACAUUUCACGUAUUGAGCCAUCGGACUGCAUCCUUUCAUGAUGCAAACACAUUUAUAUUCAGGGUCAUCAAUAGUGUAACAACCCGAGGCUACACCCUGUACGUUGCCAGCACUCGAGAACCAUUGAUGGUCCCCAAGUGAACUCUUAUCCUGGCUAACUACAAGCGGAAAACUGAUUCAAGCAUACAAAGCUUAAAAACUGAAUAAAAUCAAAAACUCAAAUACAAAAGCUUUAACUCAAAAGAAAACUCUGAAUAAAAAUAAGAUAUUCAACUCGCCAUAAAAUAGGCAACUUAAGUCUUUAAAACAUUUAAUAAAAUAAAUGAAUAAUACAGACUUCUCAACUAUACUAACUAUCUAUGAAGCCUCUAACUGAUAAAGAUGGAAGUCGGGACAAGACCCACGACAUCCUGACUAAACUUAAAAGUAAAUGAAAUCUUAUGGAAACAAGGAGGCUCACCAUAGCUAACUCAAACUACCAGAUGUAUCAACGAAUCUCCUGUUGAUAAUCCUGAAUACCUGUGUCUGCAUCAUGAGAAGAUGUAGGCCAAAUGGCUCAGUACGUGGAAUGUACGAGCAUAUAUGGGGAAUUCUAAAAAAUAAACAUAAGUUUGAAACUUGAUAAAAAGGAAACAUAAACAUAAGCUUCAAACUUAUUCAACUCAAGGAUACUAAAAACUACUCAACUUACUCAACUCAGAAGUAUUCAAGGAUAAGAUACUCAACUCAGAGAUUAGAUACUCAACUCAAAUAUAUGAUAUUUGACUCUGGAUACUCAACUCAAUCUAAAGCAACAAUACACAUGCAAUAUAUGGAAAGCUUUAAAAAACAAUAAAACAACUUAGUUCGUUAAAGAAAAUGCAAUAACAAACUCAACUUUACUUAUAUAAUAAAGUAAUAUAGUUUCUAUAAGAGUUUCUCUAACCGACAACCAUCACUUAAGAGCUAUAGUGAUGAUACAACACUUUACCUCAUGCUGCCAAGGACCAUCCUAUAUCUUGCCAUCAGUAUAAGACCUAACUUAUCCUAGUAGAUCCACUAGUCUAUGCGAAAAUGAUUCAUCUAAAAAGUAUUACCCUUUUCUACCCAUGAUGGCUACAUAGUUUUCAUGGAGACUUGAAUUAAUAGGAAACUCGCAUCCCCACAUCGGUGCUCAAUAAUACUCCCAAAAAUAUAAUACUAGCUCUUUAUGUUUAAAACAUACUUCUUUCUUUAGUUUGAGAUAAUUACUCAAAACUUAGCUUAAAAGUUGUCUUGGAAUCGAUGUUCCCUUUCUUGCUCAAACUCUUUUGGAAAUCUCAGUUUCCUUUCAUCUUAAAUGUGAAAACAAUUACUCUUGGCAAUACUUAGUUCCCAUAUAUCAAUUUUAAAGAAAAUGAACUUUACUCUUACUCUUUACUCAACUUCAAAGCUUAAGUCUUAAAACAAAGUUUAAACAUUUGUAAAAGAUUUCUAAAAAUAUGGUUCAUGUCGAUUUAUUGACGUGAAUGACUCAAUGCAAGGUUUUCAAUAACCAUAGAUAGAACUCAAUGCAUGGAACUCAAGAAUUUCAACAAUACUACUCACUUCAAGAAUGCUCAACUAAGAGGGUUCAUGCGGAAUUUAUCAGCAUGAACUACUCAACUCAAGGACUCGAAGAUACUUCUCGUUCCAAGACUGCUCGACUUAUAGGGUUCAUGCGGAAUUAUGGACAUGAAUAACCCAACUCAAGGACUUCAUGGGUAGCAUGUAAUAGUCCCAUGAUUAAGAAUGUAAUUCAAAUGGGUUAGAAACUCAAUACUUAAGACUUAGGACAUAGGGACAUUACUCCUCUCAUAGAUACUCAACUUAUGGAGUUCAUGCGGAAUUUAUGGGCAUGAACGACAUGACUCGUAGGUUCACAUAACAUUAUGGAACUCAUGAUACAACUCUUCUCAUUCUCAUACUUACUUUCUCAAAAUUUAGUUCAAAUCAAUAGUUGAUCUCAAAAGGUUCACAAUCGAACUCAAAGGCUUUUUUGAACUCUACUCUUAACUCUCUUUUGAAUGUGAAUUAUGAAUUCAAGAGUUAUGGUUCAUGCUAUGAAAGAUCUCAUGAUGACAAAGUAUACUCAAGAAUACAUUCUCCUCACUCUCAUGCUCACUUACUCGAAUCUUGAAACAGUUACUAGAAGUUGUAGAAGACUCCACAAAAGGACUCAAAAGGGACUUUCUUAGAAUGUUUAAAAAAAUCUCAAAACUUAAUCUUAGCUCUACCUUGAAUUUGAAUUAUGAAUUCAAGGUUAUGAUCAUGUUAUGAAUGAUUUCUAGGUGUUUAGAAGUAGUUUAAAGAGUUUAGAAUCAAACUGGAGUAAAGGUACCCUUUUAAAGAACUCAAACGGACGAAACGAUGGACAACGGGUGGGGGCAGACGACCCUGGCGCUCUGAGUGGCGUGGGCGCCAGCCCCUAAAAUUCAGAGAGGUGGUUGGGGCGCUCUGGCUGGCACGCCAGGCCCCAACCCAGAAACUUUCGAUGACUUUCCUUGCUCGUUUUCUCACCCAGAAAAUUCAGCAAGUUUCUUUUCUCGUUUUCUCACCCUAUUUCGAAUGGUUUCUUCCCCAAUCACUUAGAAUUGAUUACUUAACAUAAGUACACUCUAAUCUACUCAAUACAUCCCUUAAAACACUCACUUUAAUCCAAAGAAAAACAUCAAAACCCAACACAACAAGAUUUAGAAUGAACUUCAAGAACACUCAUCAAGAACUCAUCAAGAACUCUAAUAUUUCAACUUUAAGAAUAGAAAUUUGCGACUAGAAAAUAACAUGAGUUGGCGUGUGGGUGAACUAAACUAAUACUAUGGAAGCUUAAAUACCUCUUAGGGAUCAAACCCAUGGCGAAAAUCCGCUACAACACGCAAGAAUCUCGACGAACGCUUAAUCCUCUCCUCUUUUCUCCUCUUCUCUCUUCUUUUCUCUUCUUGAACUCUCAACUAAAACCCUAGGCUAAUUUUAGGAUUAUAAAACUGAACCUAGUAGGAUUAGACCCUCAAAAUAUUACUAAAAAUGAAUUGAAUCUGAUUGGGUAAGGAAAAGACCAAAAUACCCCUCUCUAUUUUCGGCAAACUUUCCUUAACUGAACAGCCUAUCUUCAAAAGGCCAUAUCUCACUCAUCCGACCUCGAAACUUAGCAAACUCAGCGGCGUUGGAAAGAUAAUUCAAAGAUAUUUCCUACGGUAUCUAAUAGAACACCUAACUCAUCUUGAUCUAGGAGUUAUUAUCAUUUGAAGUUGACCCAAAACUCAUACUUAGCUUAACUUGCAAAAUUUCAGAUUUUCCUAUUUCCAAUUUAAUUCUUUUUGGAACUCAAGGUGCUACAUCUAGUGACCUUAACCCUUAAGAAAUUUUAAUUCCUCGAUAAAAUCCUACUCACAACGAAGGAUGGUUCAAGUCUCAGUUCGAAAUUUUUUUGGGGCAUUACAAUAUCUCCCCCUUGGGAUCAUUCGUCCUCGAAUGACGACUGAACUGGGUAUGGAAUGAGUUACUCUUACUAAGGUCUGCGUCUAAUGGUACACUCUCACUAUAUUCAAGCUUAACCCAAAUCCUUAGGUUCAGGUUCUAUACCUCUCUAUAGGGAAUCUCAUCCCAAUACCAUUACUCCUUACCACCACAAUCAAGCUUAGUACUCUAGCAACUCCAUGGACUCCUACUAACAAACUCCUUCAGAGCCAACUAAGGGCUCUCAUUUAAAUAUUUCUCAUAGUAAAACCUCAUUCUAAUUUUCCUCAUUAUUUACAACCUUAGAUGGAACUAUCACACCAUCAUCAUCACGAUAUGAUCAUUAACCUCCUCUUUCUAACAUCACUUCAUUACUAAAAGGACAUCUAAAAAGAUAUCCCCCAAGCUCUUUGGAAUUCAUUACUAUCUUACUCUCAAGCACUUGACUUGAUUUCUCAUCUUAUCAUUUCCCCUUAGGUCUAAAGUUAACACUUGAAAGCUAUGGACAUAUUCCAUCAUCUCUAAAUGGUCUACCUCUUCUUUUAAUCCAACACUUGGGGGAAGUUUAUCUCAUGCCUACCAAACUCUCUAUAAGCGGUACUAAGACCUCUUUCUAAGGUGUUUCCCUUAACCUCUUCUGGUUACAUACCCUCUCAGUACACCUCUUAACGCUCUUAUUACUUUUGUGACUUAGCCACACUUCACUGCCCUUAUCUAAAUGUUAGGGUCUCUCACUUGUACCACUUAUACUAUUGUAGCUAAUCACCUAAAUUCCUCAUCUACUUUAUGUCAAGUCUUCUAGAUCAAAUAUCAAGACUAACAUCAUCACCCUCAUGUUGUCAUUCUUUUGAUCAUGACAGUCAUCUCCAAUUCAAGCUUAAUAUUUAUGACUAAACCCGAAUAUCAAUAUGAUUGCCCGCUUACUAUACUAACUUAUAGCUACUUAAUUAGUUCUAUAACCUUCUAUACAUCAUGACCCUCUCAGACAUAUCAUAAGCCUAGUUUAUAUCUAUAACCUCAUGGAUACUUUUUCUCUUCAAUUCACCACUUACACUUAGUCAUUUCCUACACAAUGACACUUCAUCACCAACUCCUUUCUAGCUACAAUACACUCUACCUCCUAUGAUGGAAUCUUCACAACUCAUCACUUCUUAGUCUACCCGUAAGGGAAAACUCCUCAUUAAUAACUUACUAGGUGUAUGACUAUAAUAACAUAGCUUGCCUCAUCACUAUCUCCCUUUCUAGGAUUACUAAACCUCUCCAUACUUUCCUCUAACUCUGGGCUCUAUCACUACUACUGCUCAUGAUCUCGUAGCUCAUGUUACCUUUUAAGAUGCAAAUACUACCCAAGCUCUAAACAUACUUUCUCAUGAUGAAACAGGACUUAAAGAAGAGAGUACAAAUCAAAUUUAGCUCAAACGCACGAUUCAUAUAAUUAUGGGUGCAUUCCUUUGAAACUGAACACUUAACUUACUCUUUGGGCUACUCUCAUCCCCCUCUGGAGUCUCGUGACUUUCUCAAGACUCUUGCUAAGAACAAAUCAUCGACAAAGAACAGACUCAGUUUUUCAACCACAUCUAGUAUGAUGGGUAGUCGAAUGAUUCUGAGAAACGCACGAGUUAAAAUAAGUCUCUAUGACAUAACUCUAAUUGCACGAUUAAGAGUAUGAAAGAAGGGAAACUUUUCUUAAAUGUCUGUAGUCCCUCAUUUAUAGAAGUGGGGCCCUCACAACCAUAAACAAGAUCCUACUUGACACAGCUUCAUAGACACCCUGGGACUCUUGAACUCUGUGCUCUGAUACCAAGUUUAUCACAACCCGAGCCUAUACCUUGGACAUGGCCGGCACUCGAGAAUCAUUACUAGUCCCCAAGCGAACCCUCAUCCUAGCUGACUACAAGCGAAAAACUGAUUCAAGCAUACAAAGCUUAAAAACUGAAAUAAAAGUUCAUAAACUUAAAUACAAACUUUAAGUCCAAAGAAAACUCUGUAUAAUAAAAUAUAUACAACUCGCCAUAAAAAAGGCAACUUUAGUCUUUAAAACAUUUAAUAAAAUGAAUGNNNNNNNNNNNNNNNNNNNNNNNNNNNNNNNNNNNNNNNNNNNNNNNNNNNNNNNNNNNNNNNNNNNNNNNNNNNNNNNNNNNNNNNNNNNNNNNNNNNNNNNNNNNNNNNNNNNNNNNNNNNNNNNNNNNNNNNNNNNNNNNNNNNNNNNNNNNNNNNNNNNNNNNNNNNNNNNNNNNNNNNNNNNNNNNNNNNNNNNNNNNNNNNNNNNNNNNNNNNNNNNNNNNNNNNNNNNNNNNNNNNNNNNNNNNNNNNNNNNNNNNNNNNNNNNNNNNNNNNNNNNNNNNNNNNNNNNNNNNNNNNNNNNNNNNNNNNNNNNNNNNNNNNNNNNNNNNNNNNNNNNNNNNNNNNNNNNNNNNNNNNNNNNNNNNNNNNNNNNNNNNNNNNNNNNNNNNNNNNNNNNNNNNNNNNNNNNNNNNNNNNNNNNNNNNNNNNNNNNNNNNNNNNNNNNNNNNNNNNNNNNNNNNNNNNNNNNNNNNNNNNNNNNNNNNNNNNNNNNNNNNNNNNNNNNNNNNNNNNNNNNNNNNNNNNNNNNNNNNNNNNNNNNNNNNNNNNNNNNNNNNNNNNNNNNNNNNNNNNNNNNNNNNNNNNNNNNNNNNNNNNNNNNNNNNNNNNNNNNNNNNNNNNNNNNNNNNNNNNNNNNNNNNNNNNNNNNNNNNNNNNNNNNNNNNNNNNNNNNNNNNNNNNNNNNNNNNNNNNNNNNNNNNNNNNNNNNNNNNNNNNNNNNNNNNNNNNNNNNNNNNNNNNNNNNNNNNNNNNNNNNNNNNNNNNNNNNNNNNNNNNNNNNNNNNNNNNNNNNNNNNNNNNNNNNNNNNNNNNNNNNNNNNNNNNNNNNNNNNNNNNNNNNNNNNNNNNNNNNNNNNNNNNNNNNNNNNNNNNNNNNNNNNNNNNNNNNNNNNNNNNNNNNNNNNNNNNNNNNNNNNNNNNNNNNNNNNNNNNNNNNNNNNNNNNNNNNNNNNNNNNNNNNNNNNNNNNNNNNNNNNNNNNNNNNNNNNNNNNNNNNNNNNNNNNNNNNNNNNNNNNNNNNNNNNNNNNNNNNNNNNNNNNNNNNNNNNNNNNNNNNNNNNNNNNNNNNNNNNNNNNNNNNNNNNNNNNNNNNNNNNNNNNNNNNNNNNNNNNNNNNNNNNNNNNNNNNNNNNNNNNNNNNNNNNNNNNNNNNNNNNNNNNNNNNNNNNNNNNNNNNNNNNNNNNNNNNNNNNNNNNNNNNNNNNNNNNNNNNNNNNNNNNNNNNNNNNNNNNNNNNNNNNNNNNNNNNNNNNNNNNNNNNNNNNNNNNNNNNNNNNNNNNNNNNNNNNNNNNNNNNNNNNNNNNNNNNNNNNNNNNNNNNNNNNNNNNNNNNNNNNNNNNNNNNNNNNNNNNNNNNNNNNNNNNNNNNNNNNNNNNNNNNNNNNNNNNNNNNNNNNNNNNNNNNNNNNNNNNNNNNNNNNNNNNNNNNNNNNNNNNNNNNNNNNNNNNNNNNNNNNNNNNNNNNNNNNNNNNNNNNNNNNNNNNNNNNNNNNNNNNNNNNNNNNNNNNNNNNNNNNNNNNNNNNNNNNNNNNNNNNNNNNNNNNNNNNNNNNNNNNNNNNNNNNNNNNNNNNNNNNNNNNNNNNNNNNNNNNNNNNNNNNNNNNNNNNNNNNNNNNNNNNNNNNNNNNNNNNNNNNNNNNNNNNNNNNNNNNNNNNNNNNNNNNNNNNNNNNNNNNNNNNNNNNNNNNNNNNNNNNNNNNNNNNNNNNNNNNNNNNNNNNNNNNNNNNNNNNNNNNNNNNNNNNNNNNNNNNNNNNNNNNNNNNNNNNNNNNNNNNNNNNNNNNNNNNNNNNNNNNNNNNNNNNNNNNNNNNNNNNNNNNNNNNNNNNNNNNNNNNNNNNNNNNNNNNNNNNNNNNNNNNNNNNNNNNNNNNNNNNNNNNNNNNNNNNNNNNNNNNNNNNNNNNNNNNNNNNNNNNNNNNNNNNNNNNNNNNNNNNNNNNNNNNNNNNNNNNNNNNNNNNNNNNNNNNNNNNNNNNNNNNNNNNNNNNNNNNNNNNNNNNNNNNNNNNNNNNNNNNNNNNNNNNNNNNNNNNNNNNNNNNNNNNNNNNNNNNNNNNNNNNNNNNNNNNNNNNNNNNNNNNNNNNNNNNNNNNNNNNNNNNNNNNNNNNNNNNNNNNNNNNNNNNNNNNNNNNNNNNNNNNNNNNNNNNNNNNNNNNNNNNNNNNNNNNNNNNNNNNNNNNNNNNNNNNNNNNNNNNNNNNNNNNNNNNNNNNNNNNNNNNNNNNNNNNNNNNNNNNNNNNNNNNNNNNNNNNNNNNNNNNNNNNNNNNNNNNNNNNNNNNNNNNNNNNNNNNNNNNNNNNNNNNNNNNNNNNNNNNNNNNNNNNNNNNNNNNNNNNNNNNNNNNNNNNNNNNNNNNNNNNNNNNNNNNNNNNNNNNNNNNNNNNNNNNNNNNNNNNNNNNNNNNNNNNNNNNNNNNNNNNNNNNNNNNNNNNNNNNNNNNNNNNNNNNNNNNNNNNNNNNNNNNNNNNNNNNNNNNNNNNNNNNNNNNNNNNNNNNNNNNNNNNNNNNNNNNNNNNNNNNNNNNNNNNNNNNNNNNNNNNNNNNNNNNNNNNNNNNNNNNNNNNNNNNNNNNNNNNNNNNNNNNNNNNNNNNNNNNNNNNNNNNNNNNNNNNNNNNNNNNNNNNNNNNNNNNNNNNNNNNNNNNNNNNNNNNNNNNNNNNNNNNNNNNNNNNNNNNNNNNNNNNNNNNNNNNNNNNNNNNNNNNNNNNNNNNNNNNNNNNNNNNNNNNNNNNNNNNNNNNNNNNNNNNNNNNNNNNNNNNNNNNNNNNNNNNNNNNNNNNUUUUCUUCUUUUCUCUUCUUGAACUCUCAACUAAAACCCUAGGCUAAUUUUUAGGAUUAUAAAACUGAACCUAAUAGUAUUAGACCCUUAAAAUAUUACUAAAAAUGAAUUAAAUCUGAUUGGGUAAGGAAAAUACCAAAAUACCCCUCUCUAUUUUCGGCUAAUUUUCCUUAACUGAACAACCUAUCUUCAAAAGGCCAUAUCUCACUCAUCCGACCUCGAAACUUAGCAAACUCAGCGGCGUUGGAAAGAUAAUUCAAAGAUAUUUCCUAUGGAAUCUAAUAGAACACCUAAAUCAUCCUGAUCUAGGAGUUAUGAUCGUUUGAAGUCAACCCAAAACUCAUACUUAGCUUAACUUGCAAAAUUUCAGAUUUUGCUAUUUCCAAUUUAAUUCUUUUUGGAACUCAAGGUGCUAUAUCUAGUGACCUUAACACUUAAGAAAUUUUAAUUCCUCGGUAAAAUCCUACUCACAACGAAGGAUGGUUCAAGUCUCAGUUCGAAAUUUUUUUUGGGGUAUUACAAACAGGAGCUUCGUUGAUACCACAUGGAGUUCGAGUUAGCUAUGGUGAGCCUUCUUGCUUUCAGAGGAUUUCAUUUACUUAUCAGUUGUUAGGAUGUCGUGGAUCUUGUCCUGACUUCCAUCUUUGUCAUUUAGAGGCUUCAUAGAUAUACAAUAGAGUUUCAAAAGUCUGUUAAUUUAUUUUGUUAAAUGUUUUAAAGACUUAAGUUGCUUAUUUUCGGGAGAGUUGAAUAUAUUAUAUUAUUCAUAGUUUUGUAUUGAUUUAAAGCUUUGUAUUUAAGUUUCAUGAAUUUUUAUUCAGUUUUUAAUCUUUUGCAUGCUUAAGUUUGUCUUCCGCUUGUAGUCAACCAAGGAUGAGGGUUCGCUUGGGGACCAACAAUGGUUCUUGAGUGCCGGUCACGUCCAGGGUGUAGGCUUGGAUCGUGACACCAAAACCGAACUAAAAUAAAUUCAGUUCAGUUCGAUUCAAUUUUUCGAUUUGAAUAUAAUCGGGCCCUUUUCUUAUCAUCAUUCAUCAGUUAACUUUUCUAAUACUAGGCAUUUGCAUUUGGUCUAAUUGAUAUGAGCCAACUGUUAGCUUAGGAAUAUCCCUCCAGUCAUGAUACAUAUGAGCUUCAUUAGAAAUAACGUGUUUAGCUAAUGCAUCUGCAAUUUGGUUAACUUCUCUAUGACAAUGAUUUACUUCAUAAUUGAUCUUUGCAACAACUUGUAAGAUGUCUUCCACAACACCUUUGAUCUUCAAUUGAGGCUUGUCCAUUCCUUACCAUAUCAACCACCAUUUUUUAGUCUAAUUCAAGAUAGCAAUCGUGAAAUCCUUGUUGUGGAUGAUGAUAACUAAAAUAAUAUAAUUCAUUACUAGUUAGUAUCUAAACUCAUAGCUCGUCUCAUCCCAAUAUUACUUUGGGCAGAUCAUUUUCCUACUCGAUCAUCUAAACUCCUAGGUUUUUUUCCCUUAUAUAUAUGAUGAUGCGAUCUCCUUUUGUAUUACUAUUAAUUGUGUAACAAGUAACGAUAUCGAGACCUUGAUUAACAACAAAUACAAAAGUAACCCUAACUUAAAAAGAAACCACAAACUAAAGAAAUUUAUGUAUUUUUGAAUGAAGAAGGUAAGGUAAGGUAAUAGGCUAAUUGCUAGCUUGUUUAUUUAUUGAUAAGCAUACAUUAAUUUACAUGGAGCGAUAGAAGGAUAUAUCCACUUUAUUUAGAAAGCUGCAAGCUAGCCAGCUAAUUAGCAUUCUACGCCUUGAUGAACACAAAUGGAAUAAAUUCCUUAUCGUCAUCGACAGUCACCAGACGAGGAUAUCCAUUUUUAAAGUUGCCGCCGAUAUUUUUGCACUGAAGAUGAGAGGGACAAUGCAGUAACUUGUAUACAUUUUUGGAACCUCCUGGUGUCACCAAGUCAGUUUUCCUAAUUUUGAAGAUGUCGUUUUCAUUUCCUACCUUACCACCAGUUUGGUCAACACACAACUUUGUUGUUUUAACAAAGAACUUGAUAUAAACACCAGUCAUUAUACGCACCACAUCACCAUAAUCCGACUCCGACUUACGAACGAACAUGACGGGCGUGCCUUCUCCCAAAAAUUGGGGAAUCGACAUGUGCUGCAACAUGGCGUUUGGGCAUUGAAGGUUUCCAAUAUUGUACAAGUAUACGGCUCCGGCCCCGAGGAGAGGAUUGUUAAUAAUGUACCUCUCACCAAUCCUCAGCGGAUUGCCAUCUUGGUCAUAAACUUCAGGGAGUACAAGAUUAUCAUCAUCAUGACAAGUUGUGGGGAGGACAAUUGGAUUUUCAGAAGUGAAAGAUCGAGCAAAGGCAACCAAAGAGAGGUACUUGAAAGCAAGAGGAAACUCAAAAUAUUAAUCGACUUCAUCUUUCUUUGUGUGUUGUGCUUGCUAUGAGUCUAUGUCCAAUUUAUAGACCUGCUAAGGGCAUUUUUGACAAACAAAAAAUGAAUACCUACUACCGCCUUAGACACCUCAAAUAAGUUUUAUCCAUUUUAAAUAACUAAUAUCAAGCUUCAAUAUUAAGUCACUCUGAACACUUUUUUUUUUUUACUAUCAACAAAAAUAUAUAGUACAUAAUAUGUGUUACACUGAAUAAUAUGUAAAGUAUCAAAUUAAAUAAAGACAUUUAUUAUUUGUCUCCAAAAUAAAUCUUAAAUAAUAAAUUUUGAGUAAAAAUAAAAAACGGCCAAUAAUUCAAUUUGUAGGAUAUUUAUUAUUUAAUGUGGCUUUAACUAGAGAAGUUGGUAAAAUUAAUAAAUAUUACUUGAGAAUAUUGUCCAUUGUGCUUAAAGGACUCUUGAAACUUGACAUCUAGUGGAGAACCAUUCAUGGGAUUAUUGCACUAAUAAAAUUAAGUUGCAACACCUAAUUUUACUUACCAUACUCAUGUACAUAAUUAUUAAGGAUAAAAAAAAUUAUCCGUAUAUAAUGUAUACACUAACCUAAUAUAUGAAUGACAUGUGUUUGAAUUUAUGGUUCAUUUUAUAUAAUUUUAAUUAAAUAACAUUUGUUUUGCUUCAUUUUAAUAAUUUAUAUUCACCACUGAAUACAAAUAACAGGCUAAUAAUUCUAAAAAUUGAUAUUAAUGUGCUACCUGGCAUGGAAUUAUUCCACAAGUAAAAUAUGUCACUGAAGUACGAUCGAGAUUUAUACCACUGAUUAUUUUGUUACCUAUCAAGAAUGGAUCUUAAAAAUAAUGGCAAAUCAUUAUUAUGAAAAAUGAUUUUUUUUUUAGAUUCUUUUUUUUGACAAAUUAAUAAUUGAAGGAUAGGAUUUGCGUUAUAUGAUAUAUAGAACUUAGUUUUGAAUUUGAGUAAAUUGAGUGUUGAAACUCAAGAAUAAUUAGGCAAAAUAAAAAUUGCACUUCAAAUACAUAUAACUGAAGUUUUAGUCAAUUUUUAUACACUUCAAUCAUAUGUACAUUCAAUAAAAUUAAAAUAAUGUUAAAUGAGUUUGUUAAAUUUAUUGUUAUUUUGAUAAAUUGUUGAUUCAAGUUUGUUUCAUACGAUUGUAGAUCUGAUCUUCGACUAAAUUCGGAUCGGGCUCUGCAAGGCCCAUUAGAAGGUGACACUCCCAACAGGAUUUUCUCCAUACCCAGGGCUCGAACCCGAGACCUCUGGUUAAGGGUGAAGCACUCCCACCAGUGCACCACAACCCAUGUUGGUCCUAAAGUCAUUAUUAUUAAUUAGGUAGGUACGUUCAAAAUAAUUCUUUAAAAAGUGAUCAUAUCCGAUCUUAAUCAAAUACAACUCUAACUCCAAUUUUAAAUUUUAAAUAAUACUCCCUCCGUCCCCUUUUAGUUGUCAUGCUGCACUUUUCAAAAAUCAUUUUGAAUUAUUUUUCAAUUUUAAUUAGAUUACAUUAAAGAUAUUUUAAAUUAAAAAUUUAGAUAUAUAUUUAAAAGCUAUACAAAAAGUACUAUAAAUUGUAAUUUUUUGCAUAUCAAUAUGAUGAAAAAAUACAUCGUAAAAAAUUGUCAAAGUUCUUAUUGUUUAACUCUAAAAAAAAGUCAUACAACUAAAAAAGAAUAAAGUGAAUAUAAAUAUAUUUAAUUUUCAUGAUCAAAUGCAUACUAAAAUAUAUUAGUCAAGUUGCCAAUCGCCGUAAUGAUGAAAGGAAACAGGUGAAUGCAGCUCAUAUCACUGAAAAUAAAGCACUUUAUACUUCAUCUUUUCAGCACUACCAGCGUAUAAAAAAAAUGAAAAUGUGUAAUUUUCAAGUUUAAUACUAAGCCGUAGAGAGUUUGUUUUGAUAAACUUGAGGGGGGAAAGCAAAAUUAAGGCAUUAACAAAUGAAUAAAGAUGAACUUAUAUGCUUUGAUUAUAAAAGUAGUCUAACAUUAUUUGUUUGUAAAAUUUGGAUGCAGUUAAACAUGGUUAUUAAAGAAUCACUUCGACUGUAUCCACCAGAUCCUAUCAUUGAACGAAUGGCUUGUGAAGAUAUGAUUUGUUAAACAUCUUAAUUUUUCAAUAAAAUAUUUAUUUUUUUCAAAAUAAGCACUUUUGAUCUCAUAACAAUAAUGCGGCUUUUAACCAUGCCGGUUAUAGUUAUACGGGUUGGGUUAUCUAUAGAAAAGUUAAAUGUACGGAACAAACCAAAUUCAAAUUAAACCUAUUAAUAAGCGAUUGAGACGUAAUUAUUUUUAAUAUGUACAUUGUGAAUCACACGUACUCAAUGGUCCCGUAAAUCUUAAUCGUAUUUUGGAUAAAAGCCACCUGACUGCUUAGAGAUUUAAUUAUUUUGGAUGUAUUUGAUAUUUUCCCACCGAACACCUUAUCUUCAGUCUCACUUCUUGUAGUGUCUAUCUUCACCAUCCCACACUUUUAUUUUUAUCAUUGUGUGUUUUAAUAUAUUUAUCUAGAUUAUAUAUAAAUAUUUUUUAUUUACCUACUAAACACAUAAAAAUUUUAUUUUCUUGAGAAACAUCUUUCAAAAAGAAUAUUUUCUUUCAUAACGAAUAUACCCUAAACAACCACAAAUGUUAAUAUCAACAUUUUGGUUUUAAUUGAGUUGAAAUGUUUAGAAAGAAGAACAAAAAAGAAAUGAAAACUAUUAGGCAUAUAAAAGUACAAAAUAGUUAACCAAACAACAAUAAUUAAGAUACCAAAAAUGCAAAUAAUUUUCUAGUCAUGAUUUUGUGCUGAAAGUUUUUAGAUAACUUUUAUAUGUACUUCAGUCAUUUUGUCUUGGUUUUAAUAACCUUAGUUAAAAAUGUUUGAAGGUAAAAGUUCUGUAAAAUGCUUGAAAUUUUGUCUUUAUCUAAUUUACAACUUCAAUAAAAAUUGUCUGAAUUUUUUUUUUAUGAUGACCUUCACAAAGGCACACCUUAGACAAAUAUGUUUAUAGGUCUAGGUUUUAAGUUGUAAAAUUUCUGUUCCAUAUUAGUUGUUCAUCUUUUAAAAAAAUAAUUUACCCAUAAUUUUUUUAAAAAAAAACUUUACAAACUUAUUUACAGUUUUUAAAAAGAAUUAAUUAUUAUAAGGAUAAAAAGAGAAAAUAAUAAUUAAUUCUCUCCUGAUUUUAUAAAUUGACAAAUAAUUUAAAAAACAUAUAUUUUUAAAAUAUGAACGACUAAUAUUGAAUGAACACUAAACAUCAAAGAAAUUAAAGAAUAAUUAAGUAGCCAAAUGUUCCGUUCCUAUCAUCAACUCUACUUGGAGUUGCACUGUUGCAGGCCAAUAAUGGAUAUAUAUUAUAUACUAAUGUGCCGAUGGGACCAUUAUUAGACCAUAGUUAUAACCAAUAAAGUGAUUCUAUUAAAAUAGUGAAGUAGAGAGGUGUUUUUAAAGCUAUCAAUAGUUCGAAAAUAAAAUUAAUAAUUCAUAUCAAAUUCAGAAGUGUUUUUAAUAUUUUUGUCUAUCAUCUAUUCUCAACUUUUAAAUUUGAGAGUUCAUAAACAAUAUAUGUCCUCUCAGUUUUUAAAUUCGUUCAACUUCACCAUUAUUAACAUUGUGAAAUUAAUUCAAUGUCAAUUGUUCAUACUAUGGACAAACCCUAAAUUACAUAAAUUGAAACAAAAGAUUAUACAAUAAAAUUAAUUUAGUACUAAAAAUAGCGUAAAGGGCUGAAACUAACGAACAUGGUUAAUUAAAAUUGAGGAACAUCGUAUCUUUUUGGCCUAAAAGAUAUUUGAAUACUAUACUAAUAUAUAUCCACCAUUGAAGAUAAAUACCAACAGGCUAACAACCAAGUUAUUUUCAUUUUCGUCAUGUAAUCUUAGCUUGUUAAAGCCAAAAAUGAAUAUAAUGUCUUGACGGGACCGCACGUGUUACUAUCCCAUAACUAAAACGGAGUUCAGAACUAAAAGGGUAAUAAUUUUUUUUCAAAAAUUUCAAAAAGAUAACUAAAUUAUAUAUGAAACCAAAAUGACAAUAAUUUAUAAUGACGUCUAAAUUAGAGUUUUUGCCGCAAGAUACAAAAACCCAUGAGCGAUGCAACAACUUUUAGCCUUGUAAAGCUCAGCUGGCGUGAGCCUUACAAGGCGCAAGGCAGGCUAUUUUUUUCAAAUAAAAAAGUUUUUAUGGUGUACGGUCCUUAAGGCUACACGUUUGCAAACUCGACCGCCCAUUUUUUUGUUAGAUAAAUAAAAAAAUCUGACUAUUUUGUUGAGAUGUUAAAUCAUCCAACUUUAAAUUUAUCUAAAAUGCAGUACCUUUUUUACAAAAAUACAAUGUAUUUUAGUCGGUUAUUUUUUAAAAAAAAAUUAUGCCUUUUUGAGUUAUCAAAAUAGGAUUUCUAUUGACCGUAAGCUUAAUUUGAUAAUGCAAAAAAAUUUAAAAUAAAUAAAUUGUAUAUUGUAAGUAAUGCACAUUUUCAACACACGUAUGCAUAUUAGGGGUGAAGCUAUAUAGUUCUUAUGACACUUUUUUAAGCUUGGUUUUCUAAAGAAUGUUUGGAUGUGUCGUUUACUUAAAUAUAAUGUUUAUUUUGAUGAUUAGUUAAAUUUAAUUUAUAUCAUUAAAUUUAUUAUUAGGUAAUAAUGUGAUUUUUUAUUUUGUGUAAUGGUUGAUUUAGUAUGAAUGUAUGGUCAUAAUAUAUAUAUUUUUUAUUUUGUUUCACUUACUAUUUAAUAAUUGUAUUUUAUUAUUUACUCUUUCUUUUUAUAGUAAAUCUACUCCGUACUCUAUUUUUCUGGUGUGUUUAUCUUUUUAAUUUUUUUUGAUAUUAUGUAAUUAUCGAAAAAGAUACAAUUUAAUAUAACAUAAUAUAAUAUAUUAUAAAAUGACAUGUAACAGCCAUCCAAACAAAGUAUAAAUAUAUAGUUUCAUCAAAAGUUAUGGUGAUAAAAUGAUAAAUUUCGUAGUGAGGUUUAGGUUCGAAUUAUAACAACGAAGUCACUUUUUAAUAAAUAAUAUUUUAUACCUUUAACAUGAGUUUUUAAAAAAAAAUUGAACUCAGAUGCGGAAUCUCAAUACGAAUAUUGAGCCUAAAAAGCACUCUAUAAAAGAAGGUCAUAAAUAAAUAGUCCAUUUAAUGGUAAAUUUUAUCCUUUUGUCAAUAAAAAAAAAGUCCAUGAUUAAUCUUUUCCGAUAUUUGGUAUUGCAUUUUAGUUCUAAAUUAAACACCUUUUACCUGAUUUGAUUACAAAUAUAUAAUAAAUUACUUGAAUCAUCAAAGAAAAAUGUGUACAUUAAUUAAUCAGAACCGACAGACUUAGGAAAUAUAUUAUUAGUCAUAGGCUCAUAGGACAUGGAUCUUGUUCCAUAUUUACUAGUUAUAAUAACUACUGUAACAUUUAUAUAUUUAAUUAAGCCAAAUAAAUAUAAUCUUUUCAGAUUUUUUUUUUUUUUAAAUAGCCUUGCGCCUUGUAAGGCUCAUGGCGGUUGAGCCUUACAAGGCUAAAAGUUGUUGCGCCUUGUAAGGCUCAUGGGUUUCUGUGCCUUGCGGCAGAAACUCUAUUUGAGACGCCGUUACAAAUUGUUACCCUUUUGAUUUCAUAAAUAAUUCAGUUGCCCUUUUGAAAUUUUUGAAAAAUUUUGUUGCCCUUUUGGUUCCGAAGGCCCCCUCAUUUUGAAGUUUUGGUUUCUUAAAUCUUGUUAUCCUUGAAUUUUUCUAGCACUUAAAGUUUUGGUUUCUUAAAUUUUUUUAUUUCUUUCAAUGUAUUAAGUUUCUUUCUAUUUCAUUCUGAUUAAAUAAAAAAAAACUUUAUUUUACUAUCUUUGUUGUGGUUAAAACUUAAAAAUAAUUAAAUGAAUUGAUCACGUAUUUGAAACAUAAUGACAUGUUUUUCUCAUAUAUUAUUGGAAAAAAUAAUAAUUUUCAUACCGAAUAAAUUAAAUUAAUAUUAUUUUAAUCCAGUAACUUGAACUUAAUGAUGAUUGUGUUUUGAUUGUAGUUGCAUUAGUAAUGAAAUAACUUGGUGAUAUCGAAGAGACAGAGUGAUUGAUUGAAAACAUAUAUAAUAAAAAUAAUAUAUCCUCGGGGAUAUUGGAAAAUUGUUAUACAAAUGAAUUUCUACAACAACAAUAAACAAUGAAACUUCUACUUCAAUUCAAUAUACGAUAAAAUUAACUCCUAGUCAAAGCAACAUAUAAUACACAUUUGCAUUCAUUACAAUAGUAUUUCUUGAGCUUUUUCUUUUUUCCAUCCUUAAACCUAAUUUAAGUCUACUGGGCAUGUCUAAUUAAAAUUAAUAUGCAAUUGAUUAAACAUAAAAGGACCUUAUCCAUGAAAUCCACAUCACGUAAUCAAUAACAAUGCAUAUUACAACUUGGAUUUAGUCGUAACUCCAAUGCAAACUGAUCAAUAAUGAAUAUUAAUGUCGUGAUGGUACCGGAUGGGAUUAUCCAUAAGUAAUUAAUACGUAGCACUUAUUAAUUACUAAAACAUAUGUUGGGUUUAGUAAGGUGUGAAUGGGAAAUAAAAAGAGAAAAUGGAAAGUGGAAGAACCAAUAAAAAUGGGGGAACCAAUUUGGAGGGAAAAUGAAAAAUCAUUGCAAAAGUGCAAAUGAAUAGUCAUUUUUACCAUAUUGGUAGAAGAGAGAAAAUCGUUGUCCUUAUAUUAGGAAACACUUCCUUUAGUUCUUAAAGGGUUAAGAAGAAGGUGCCCCUCGCGACAUCGUCGUCGCUCGCUCGGCUUUGGCAAUUGAUUGAUAAUAUUUUUUGGACAAAAUUUAUUUAAUAAAUUUUGUUAAAUCAUUUCCUUUCUCUUAUAAAUUAAUUCAGAAAGUUAGUUAACUAACAGAUUUAAUUUGGCGCAACUGAAUUUAUUGAAAUUCACAUGUAACGGUAAUCCUUCCGAAAAGUUGUUACUUUCCGAAAGGUCGUUACUUUUCCCAAACGGUAAUCCUUCCGAAAAAUCGUUAUUUUCCCAAAAGACACAAUGUUCUGGAAGAAACGGGUCUGGAUAGAUUUUUCUGAACAGACGCGUUCCUUGCUGCAAAUGGCUAUAAAUAAGAGGUCUUUUUCGUUUUUUAAAACACUGAAAAUUUUUCCUCUCUGCAUUCAUUUUCUUGCAUAAAUAAAAUUGUCGAUCGACUAAGUCUGUGUGUGCUCUUGUUGUUGUUCUUGCGUUCGCUGAAGUUAUUAAAGUUUGAGGUACCGCUACUUCUUUAACAGGUUAAUCCGUUUUAUCUUGGGAGGGAUUAAUCUGCAGCCUCGGAUACAGUGAGGGGAUUAAAUUUCUUAAGGAAACACAGUGGUUUCUGUGGACUCGGAUUAAAAAAUUCAUUCUGUCUAUUUCAUCUUUUUUCUGUUUCUGUAUUUUUGACUAACCUGAAUACAGGAGAUAACAACAUAUUUGUUUGAAAGCAGAAAUUAAUAAAUAAAGAACCUAGCUUUUUUAUUCAUCAUAAGCAUAAAUAUUACAUAGAGUGGGCUAGAAGCAUGCUCCACAUUAUUUUAGAAAGCGAUCGAGCUAGGUUAUAAUAAGCAUAGAUAAUUAACUAUGCAUCAUUCUUGUUUACUUUGGUGAAGCCAAAGGGAUAAGGCUUGUUAUUGAGAGCCAGACGGUAGUAACCACUAUUGUAGGUCAAUCCGACAUCUGCACAAUCAAAGUUACAUGUUGGACAAAUAUAUUGACUAGGACAAUACCUUAACUUGUAAGAAUAAGGUCUCCCCGUCUCAUAUUUCUCAAUCUUGAACCAGUUCUCUAUGUUAUUAGGCCCUGGAAAUCCUAAGGUACCACCAGUUAUAACAAACCUAAGUGGUGAAUGCGUCGGCCCUACGAUGGAAUAACCAACUUUCCAAACAGUUUCGUUAACACAUGACUUAGUUGAAGAAGAAGAAGUUGAGAACUUUAUACUAACAUCUUGAUUUUCAUAAACGAAAUGACUUCCAAGUUUCAUAGUAUAAAACAACAGAGGUGUGCUGUUAUCAAAUUCACCAGAACUGUCCUGCACAACGCCAUUUGGGCAUUUGGUGUUUCCAAGAUCAGUUAAGUAUAUGUUUCCACCGCCAUAGGGAAUACUGAUAACGGAGUACUCCUCGUUUAUCUUGAGUGGUUCGCCCUCCAUGUCCAGCACGGGAGGGAAUACAACAUUCCCAUUAUUAUCAGAAAUGGAAAAUUCAUGAGAAAAGGCAACCAAACUUGAAACCAAUAGGAAACUCAAAAUAGUACUAAUACACUUCUUCAUCUUUAAUUUGUUUGUGUGUUUUACUUGCUAUGACUCUAUCUCCAAUUUAUAGAGCUGCUAAGGGCAUUUUUGACAAACAAAAAAUGACCUUUUAUUUUAGGUUAUAAUAACCUAAAGAAAAUAAGUAGUACAUAACAUAUUUUUUUUAUUUUUAACAAAUAAAUAAUGAUCACAAAGAAUUGAAAAUGGGAAGGUUAAUGUUCUAUUUAUUCAAUCUAUGUUAAUUUUUAUAUAUAGUACCUUUUUUUUUAUAACUUUGAAGCAAAAAUAUUUAUUUAUAUAUAUAGGCUAUAGCUAUAAGAUUUUGUUUUCAAAUAAUUUUAUUAUGGUUAUGGGUCCUAUAUUCAUCCCUCCCACUGUCAAAGUUUGCGUCAAACAACUAUAUAUAUAUAUUUUAUUUUAUUUUUUUCUUGUAAAUUCGAAACUCAACUUAAAAUAAUAAUUAAAUAUUCCAUUGCAAAACUACAUAAAGUUCCCAGUUUUAUUUUCUCAAUUUUUAUUGUAGUAAAAAAGUUGAGAAAUUAACAUUGUCAAUUUAAUUUUUGUAGUUAAGGAAUUUUAUGAUUUCGUGGAUAGUCAUAAGUUCGAACUUUUGUAGCUAUUACUAGAUAUUAGCCCUGACUAGCUUUUAAAUUCAUAGCUAAAUCUUAGUAGUAAAGUUCCCAUUUUUAUUUUCUGAACUUCAAUUAUAUAGUAAUGAAGUUGAGAAAUAACGGUCACAUUAAUUUUUAUAGGUAAGAAAGUUAAUAAAAUUGUGGAUAGUCAUGAAACUCGAAUUUUUGUAGCUUUUACAAGAUCAUCCUUAAAAGUUCUUUUUUAUUAAAUUUGAAAGAACUUAAAAUAAGUUAUUCAAACAUAUUCUAACUUAUAAUUAAAUUCUAACUUAUAUUAUUGUAAUUUAUGACGCUUAUAAUUAUAUUCUACCUUAUAAUAUUUUAAUUUAUACAUCAUAAGUUAAAGCGAAAUUAAAUAGGCUCUUGGUUAACUAUAUACUAGUACAAGGAGUCCGUGCUAGCACGAGCUCAAUAUCUUAAUAUUUUUUUAUUUUAAUUUAUAUGAUAUAGAUAGAAUUUAGAAAGUUGAUUAAAUUUUAAUGUGAUUUUUAGAUAUUUAAGUUGUUAAUUACUUUUUGUUUGCGCAAAUUUACUGUGAAGAGUUUCAUUAAGAUGUCCAUAAUUAAUGUACUUUUCGUCAUCAAUCGUUGAUUUUUCUUAUUUUUUAAUAAUUAGUUUACAAAUUACAUAACUACAUAGGAAAAAUUCACCACAAAAAUAAAUAAUAUCUUAUUUUUUUCCCUAAUCUUGCAAAAGUAUUGUUUUUACCUUUCUUCUAAUCCUACAAAAAAUACAUAAAAUUUAAAAUGUAAUAUGUAAUCACAAAAUUAAAAAAAUAGUACAUAAAAAUAAAACAUAUUUUUUUAAAAAUGAAACUUAGCAAAACUUAUGAGAUGUGUUAAUUGAUUAAUAAGAUAUAUUUAAACCCAUUAAUUAGCGAUUGAGACAUAAUAAUUUUUUAUAUGUACAUUGUGAAUCACACGUACUCAAUGGUCCCGUAAAUCUUAAUGAUAUUUUGGAUAAACACCACAUGGCUGCUUAGAGAUUUAAUGAUUUUGGAUGUAUUUGAUAUUUUCCCACCGAACACUUUAUCUUCAAUCUCACUUUUUGUACGUAGUGUAUAAGAAUUUUAUUUUCUUGAGAAACAUCUUUCAAAGAGAAUAUUUUUUUUCGUAAUUAUUAUACCCUGAACAACCACAAAUGUUAAUAUCAACAUUUUGGUUUUUGAGUUGAAAUGUUAGAAAGAAAAACAAAGCAGAAAUGAGAAUUAUUAGGCAUACAAAAGUACAAAAUAGUUAACCAAACAACAAUAAUUAAGAUACCAAAAAUGCAAAUAAUGUUCUAGUCAUUCCGCACCAGAGACCUUUCUAAUGAGUGCUGAAAGUUUUAGAUAACUUUUAUAUGUACUUCAGUCAUUAAUUUUGUCUUGGUUUUAAUAACCUUAGUUUAAAAUGUUUGAAGUUUAUCAUUGUUAAGGCUACAAUUUUUUGUCAAAAAUGUUUGAAGUUAGAUAGUCUUCGCAACAAGGUAAGUUCUGUAAAAUGCUUGAAAUUUUGCCUUUACCUAAUAUAAAACUUCAGUAAAAAUUGUCUGAAUUUUUUUUUUAUGAUGACCUUCACAAAGGCACACCUUAGACAAAAAUGUUUAUAGAUCUAGGUUUUAAAUUGUAAAAUUUCUGCUCCAUAUUAGUUGUUUAUUUUUUUAAAAAAAUAAUUUAUCCAUAACCUUUUUUUAAAAUUUUUUUACAAACUUAUUUACACUUUUUAAAAAGAAUUAAUUAUUAUAAGGUUAAAAAGAGAAAAUAAUAAUAAUUAAUUCACUUUUAAUUUUAUAAAUUGACAAAUAAUUUGAGAAAAGUGUUUUUAAAAUAUGAACAACUAAUAUUGAAUGAAGGGAUCCGAGUAAAAUUAAGCUAUAACACCUUAAUUAGUUUUACUUAUCAUACGUUUGUGUUAGGGUUUUGCCCUAAUUUUCUUACCUUAUUUGAAGUUUAUAUUUUCCUAAAAGAAAAGACAAAACAUCACCAUAAAUGUUUUUACUUUUUGAAAGGAAAAUAUAAUUUUCUUCCAUAUUUGGGUUAUUUCUUCCUUAGAGGAAAUGUUUGGAAUCCUAUAAAUCGAAGACCUCUCCUCUCAUAUCAAGAACAACAAGAGCAUCCACAAUGUAGGGGAGAUUUUCUCAUAAACAUAUUUAUGAUUUUUUAAUAUUAGUUUUCAAUAUGUAGGUCGCUUGACCAAACCAUAUUAAUAAUAUGUCUUUAGUAUUUUCUUUAUUUGUCGUCUGAUUUCUCAACCAUAUGAUUUGCAAUUAUAUUUCUGUUUAUUAUCAAUUCUCAUUGUGAAUGUUUUUUUUUGGUUUCCCAUCCAGUGUUCGGAGCCCACAUUGGAGCUCCGACUAAAUUCAGAUCACGCUCUGCAAGGCCCAUUUGGGGUGGGAGCAAAUUCGUUCAACCUCAUAGUUACUGACAUUGUGAAAUUAAUUCAAUGUUUUUUUUUUUUGAUUUUCCACCCGGUGUCCGGAGCUCACAUUGGAGCUUCGACUAAAUCCGGAUUGCGCUCUGCAGGGUCCAUUCGGGGGUGGCGCUUCCAACAGGAUUUUCUCCAUACCCAGGGCUCGAAUCCGAGACCUCUGGUUAAGGGUGAAACACUCCCACCAAUGCACCACAACCCAUGUUGGUUAAUUCAAUGUUAAUUGUAUGUACUAUGGACGAACCCUAAAUUACAUAAACUGAAACAAAUGAUUAUACAAUAAAUUAUUUUAGUGCUAAAAACAGCGUAAAAAAUUGAGGGAUAUCGUAUCUUUUUGACCUAAAAGAUAUUUGAAUACAUCACCAUUGAAGAUAGAUACCAACAGGCUAACAACCAAGUUAUUUUCAUUUUUGUCAUGUAAUCUUAGCUAGUUAAAGGCCAAAAAUGAAUAUUAAUGUCUUGAAGGGACCGCAUGUGUUACUAUCCCAUAACUAAAACGUGCCAAACAAAUAUGUCAAAUUAUUUGGAGUCCGGAGCCAAAUGGACAAAAAAAAUUGUCAAAAAUUUCAAAAGGUCAACAAAAUUGAUUUUAGAACCAAAAGGGCAAACAUUGCAACACCCAAACUAACGCUGUUGAAAUCAGGGUACAGUUUACAAAGCGUAGCCGUCUUGAGUCCUACAAGGCGCUGAGAGCUUGCGCCUUGUGAGGCGCAUCGAGUGUGCGCUUCUCCUUAAAUUGAAAAAAAAAGAAAUGCAUUUUCAUUUGGGGANNNNNNNNNNNNNNNNNNNNNNNNNNNNNNNNNNNNNNNNNNNNNNNNNNNNNNNNNNNNNNNNNNNNNNNNNNNNNNNNNNNNNNNNNNNNNNNNNNNNNNNNNNNAAGUGCAGUAUCAGUACACAAAUCACAGUGUACUGAUAGGAUCACGCGGCUAUUCCAAUAGGGAAAUACAAGCAAGUAGUUACAACAUAGUAAACAUACAUAUACAUAUUGUAUCAUUCAAUUAUCAUUUAGGAACAACAUACAAUUUCCCGAUAUCAAUGAUAGGUAAACAUGAACGUAAUAAUCACUAGUGGUCCUCUCAUGGAACCCACGCCCAAAUUGUUAGUGUGUCGGAACGUGACACCCGCUACAAUAUACAUGUGUCGGAACGUGAAAUCCGGUUCAAUAUAUAUUUCGGAACGUGAUACCCAAUCCAUUGUAUGUGUCGAAACUUGACACCCGAUCUAGUCAGCACAACCGCAAUCACAAUCACCCAUAAUGAACAGUGCACAUAGUCACACAGUCAAGUAACAAGUUCAUGGCAUGCAUGUAAUGGUUCGCACAUAAUCAUUUCAUUAGAUUUGAUUCACAUUUUCCAAUUCACAUACAUGCAUGCAUACAAUGAAGCAAUUAGCCGGCAUAUAUCACACAAACAGGAAAUUGAAUCAUCACCUACCUUGAAAUCAAGCCUGAAUACUCCUAAGACAUGUGUGCCUUCCCUUUCCGAGUCUUUCAGCUCGUUCUUGAUCUAAAACAAGCAAUUAAUGCAAGGAUCACUAAACAAUGUCUAAUUUACUCGGAUAAUAACAAAAUUAUUAACCCAAGACCAAACGGAUGAUCCUAAUGUUCAACCAGGGCUUUUCCCCACCAUUAACUUCAGGCCAACCCCCCCUCCCCUCAACGAUGAUUACCCAAGAUUCUAAGUUCUAAGAAUCGAAAUACGGAUUAGGGGAGUAAUAAUCUUACCUUUAGCGCUAGAAAUCGUGGAAAACUGUCAAGAAACUGCCCUGGUUGUCCCUUAGCUCUCAAGAACGAAGUUUGCAGAAAAAUAACGAAUUUGGGGUUUUUCUCCGACUUAAUUCGCGACUAGCCCGCCAUGGCAGACCCCAUCCCACCACAGUGUCCCCACCCUGACGGGAAUAAUCCUGUCCCCGUGGCUUUCACAGAGAUAGAAGUUCAAAAUUUGAGUACCAAGCUCCUAUUUCACAACACACAUUUAAACCUGGAUGUUUUAAAACUACCAUUUCACGCCAAGAUCAGUUUCAGGAGUUCUACUCACCCGAAUUCGAUUCUGUAGAGUCGUACAUGCUCCUUAACAUCUUGGCUAUCCACUCAUGUGAUCCAAUUAUUAAUUAAAUCCACAUUCAUUACCAGAUUUCCCUAGACCUCACCUGACUCGAAUUUCGUCCAAGUCUGGCCUAGGGUAGAAAUUUCCAAGUCACUACUCAGAAGUUUUCUGGCCCAAAUUCUUUCCUCAUUGGCUUUUCAAUAACGACAGAAAUAGGUCAUUACACAAGGCAAUGAUUUUUUUUUAAUUUACAGCCAAGUCAUGAAUUUCCUGCGCCUUACAAGGCGCAAGUCGUCUGCAUCUUGUAAGACGCAAGGCGGCUGCGCCUUGUAAGGCGCAUUGCGGCUGCUCCCUAAUUUGGACGACGUUAAUUUGAUCGUUACAAAGUUGUCCUUUUGGUUCUAAGAUUAAUUUUGUUGUCCUUUUGAAUGUUUUGACAACUUUUCUUGCCCUUUCGGCUCCGGACUCCCCUCCUAUGUCUCCUAGGGGUGGGUGGGCAAAUUAAUUUAUUUUAGAACAUUAUUUUAUUUUGUUUAUUAAAUAGACUUUAAAAUAUAUAUUUUUAAUUAGGUGUUUGUUAUAUCAUCAACAAAUGUAUUAAACUCUUCUUUAAGGUUUUUGCUGGUUGUCAAAAAGGUGACAAAAUUAUAUAACAAAAUCCUACUACAAAUAUUUAAAAUGGACAAAAUCUACCGAAGGUUUAUAUGUGUGUGGAUUAUAUAGAUUACCCAAUCCGUUUAUUCGCAUCCUAAAUUGGACUGCACCAAUAUAAAAAUAUCACUUUCAUAUUGAUUAAUGUAUUUAUUGCUCCAUAUAUUAUUGGCCUAAAUGAUACUAAUGUAAUUGUCCAUAACUAAAACAUGCCAAUGAAGUAGGAUUUGAAAAAAAGAAACGUAGUUGUCAUGCAAGCAAAUCAAUUUGCUAUGUACCCUUUUAUUAUUUUUCCAGCUAUCAAGAAUGCAAGGCUAGAUUUGAGAAUUUCAACAAAAUAUUAAUAAAAUAAUAUAUCCUCCAUGCCCUAACAAGUAGGGAUAUUGGAAAAUUGUUGUACAAAUAAAUUUCUACAACAAUAAACAAUGAGACUUCUACGUCAAUUCAAUAUACAAUAAAAUUCACUUCUAGUCAAACCAACAUACAAUACACAUUUGCAUCCAUUACAAUAGUGUUUCUUAUUUUUUAAAGAUUUCCCCCUUUGAACCAAAUUUAAGUCUACUGGGCAUGACUAAUCAAAAUUAAUAUGCAAUUGAUUAAACAUCUUAUCAAUGAAAUUCACAUCACGUAAUCAAUAACAAUGCAUAUUAUAACUUGGACUUAGUCGUAACUCCAAUGCAAACAGAUCAAUAAUGAAUAGUACUAAUGUCGUGACGGUACCAUAAGUAAUAGGUAGCACUUAUUAAUUACUAAAACUAAUUUGUUUGAAAGCAGAAAUUAAUAAAUAAAGAACCUAGCUUUUUUAUUCAUCAUAAGCAUUAAUUAAUAUUACAUAGAGUGGAAUAGAAGCAUGAUCCACAUUAUUUUAGAAAAGCGAUCGAGCUAGGUUAUAAUAUAAUAAGCAUAGAUAAUUAACUAACUAUGCAUCAUUCUUCUUUACUUUGCUAAAGCCAAAGGGAUAAGGCUUGUUAUUGAGAGCCAGACGGGUGUAUCCCCUAUCUUCGUACAAUCCGACAUCUGCACAAUCAAAUUGGCAUGUUGGACACAUAUAUUUACUAGGACAAUACCUUAACUUGUAAGAAUGAGGUCUCCCAUCCUUAAACCUAAUUUAAGUCUACUGGGCAUGUCUAAUCAAAAUUAAUAUGCAAUUGAUUAAACAUAAAAGGAUCUUAUCCAUGAAAUCCACAUCACGUAAUCAAUAACAAUGCAUAUUAUAACUUGGACUUAGUCGUAACUCCAAUGCAAACAGAUCAAUAAUGAAUAGUACUAAUGUCGUGACGGUACCAUAAGUAAUAGCUAAUAUUGUGACGGUACCGGAUAUGGAAUUAUCCAUAAGUAAUACGUAGCACUUAUUAAUUACUAAAACUUAUUUGUUUGAAAGCAGAAAUUAAUAAAUAAAGAACCUAGCUUUUUUAUUCAUCAUAAGCAUUAAUAUUACAUAGAAGUAUGAUCCACAUUAUUUUAGAAAGCUAGGUUAUAAUAAGCAUAGAUAAUUAACUAACUAUGCAUCAUUCUUCUUUACUUUGCUAAAGCCAAAGGGAUAAGGCAUGUUAUUGAGAGCCAGACGGGUGUAUUCCAUAUCUUUGUACAAUCCGACAUCUGCACAAUCAAAUUGGCAUGUUGGACACAUAUAUUGACUAGGACAAUACCUUAACUUGUAAGAAUGAGGACUCUCCGUCUCAUAUUUCUCAAUUUUGAACCAGUUGUUUAAGGUAUUAGGUCCUGGAAUUCCUAAGGUACCACCAGUUAUAACAAACCUAGGUGGUGGAUGCACCGGCCCUAGAAAGUAAUAACCAGCUUUCCAAACAGUUUCGUUAAAACAUGACUUAGUUGAAGAAGAAGUUGAGAACAUUAUACUAACAUCUUGGUUUUCAUAAACGAAAUGAUCUCUUCCAAGUUGCAUAGUAUAAAACAACACGGGUGUGCUGUGAUCAAAAUCACCAGACCUGUCCUUCACAACGUCAUUUGGGCAUUCGGUAAGGUUAUCAAUAUCAGCUAAGUAUACGCUUCCACCUCCCGGGAGAACACUCAGAAUGGAGUACUCCUCGUUUAUCUUGAGUGGUUCGCCGUCCAUGUCCAGCACGUGAGGGAAUACAAUAUUCCCAUUAUUAUCAGAAAUGGAAAAUUCAUGAGAAAAGGCAACCAAACUUGAAACCAAUAUAUUACUAAUACUCUUCUUCAUCUUUAAUUUGUUUNNNNNNNNNNNNNNNNNNNNNNNNNNNNNNNNNNNNNNNNNNNNNNNNNNNNNNNNNNNNNNNNNNNNNNNNNNNNNNNNNNNNNNNNNNNNNNNNNNNNNNNNNNNNNNNNNNNNNNNNNNNNNNNNNNNNNNNNNNNNNNNNNNNNNNNNNNNNNNNNNNNNNNNNNNNUAAAGUUCCCAGUUUUAUUUUCUCAAUUUUUAUUGUAGUAAAAAAGUUGAGAAAUUAACAUUGUCAAUUUAAUUUUUGUAGUUAAGAAAUUUUAUGAUUUCGUGGAUAGUCAUAAGUUCGAACUUUUGUAGCUAUUGCUAGAUAUUAGCCCUGACUAGCUUUUAAAUUCAUAGCUAAAAUUUAGUAGUAAAGUUCCCAGUUUUAUUUUCUCAAUUUUUAUUGUAGUAAAAAAGUUGAGAAAUUAACAUUGUCAAUUUAAUUUUUGUAGUUAAGAAAUUUUAUGAUUUCGUGGAUAGUCAUAAGUUCGAACUUUUGUAGCUAUUGCUAGAUAUUAGCCCUGACUAGCUUUUAAAUUCAUAGCUAAAAUUUAGUAGUAAAGUUCCCAGUUUUAUUUUCUCAAUUUUUAUUGUAGUAAAAAAGUUGAGAAAUUAACAUUGUCAAUUUAAUUUUUGUAGUUAAGAAAUUUUAUGAUUUCGUGGAUAGUCAUAAGUUCGAACUUUUGUAGCUAUUGCUAGAUAUUAGCCCUGACUAGCUUUUAAAUUCAUAGCUAAAAUUUAGUAGUAAAGUUCCCAGUUUUAUUUUCUCAACUUCAAUUAUAUAGUAAUAAAGUUGAGAAAUAACGGUCACAUUAAUUUUUAUAGCUAAGAAAGUUAAUGAAAUUGUGGAUAGUCAUGAAACUCGAAUUUUUGUAGCUUUUACAAGACCAUCCUUAGAAGUGUUUUUUUAUUAAAUUUGAAAGAACUUAAAAUAAGUUAUUCAAACAUAUUCUAACUUGUAAUAUUUUAAUUUAUGAUGCUUACAAUUAAAUUCUAACUUAUAAUAUUUUAAUUUAUACAUCAUAAGUUAAAGCUAAAUUUUUUGGAAACUGUAAUAUUUUAUUACCAGAUUUGCAAUAUGUACAAAAUUGGAAACUCCGGAUGUGGACAGUUUCCACUCUCAGAGUCCAUCUAAUUCAAAAGAGUUCCUCCUUGCUAGUACUAUUCUAAGGAUAGAAGUUUAGCUUUUGCGUAAAACCUAUAAAAAGUUAAAGCUAAAUUAAAUAGGCUCUUGGUUAACUAUAUACUAGUAAAAGGUGUCCGUGCUAGCACGGGUUCAAUAUCUUAAUAUUUUUUAUUCUAAUAGACUUCUUCAUCUUUGAUCUUUGUUUGUGUGUUUUACUUGCUACGAGUCUAUCUCCAAUUUAUAGACCUGCUAAGGGCAUUUUUGACAAACAAAAAAUGACCUUUUAUUUUAGGUUAUAAUAACCUAAAGAAAAGUAACAUAUUUUUUUUUAAUUUAAAAGUAAGGACUAUAUAUAUACUGUGUUGUAACGUCUAAAUUGGAUCAGACCACCAAUAUGAAUAGUAUUGAGCAAAUUUUAUCUUGAUAUUUUAAUUAUAUAUUCACCGUUCAAUAUAUAUAUAUAUUAACUCCAACCACCAAGGAUACAAGUUUCCUAAAUGGUGGAGGAUUGGACAUAGAUCCCUACCAUGUAUAUUACUAAGCAAUAACACCGUUCAAUAUAGAUAACAGGCUAACAACCACAAAUGAAUAUUAAUGUCCCAGCGAAACCGCACAUGCAUGAGAUUAUCCCAUGACUGAGGGUGUGUUUGGUAGGGAGGAAAAGACCUGUAGGAAUGUUGGUAAAAAAAGGGUGCAGAAAUAAAAUAAAAAAGAUGUUUUGCCAAGAAAAAAAAAUGCGAAUGAAGAACAAACUAAAACUUGAGAAAAUGGAAGAGUGAGAGAAAAAAUGUGACAACGAAAAGGACCCACAAAUACACUUGUCAAAAAGAGAUUGUUCCCACAUACAACUAAUCUUCAUAUUUUAAUUAUAUAUUUAUAUUCACCAUUCAAUACCGACAACAGGCUAACGAUAACCACAAAUAAUGAAUAUUCGGGACCCAUGAGAUUAUCCCAUAACUAAAACGUGUCAAUGAAGUACAAUGACAAAUUUUACUUUAUGUGGGUUUUCUUCAAAAAAAACAAAAAAUCCAUUCUCUUCCGGCCCGUUUGACCAUGCGAUAUGAAAUCAUGAUAUGGUAUCAUAAUAUGGAAUCAUGAGAUGAAAUUGAAGUUUUAUUUGGACAUGCGAUAUGAAAUUUUUGUUUUAUAUAUUUUCUCAUACUCAUAAGAAUCUAUAAGUUGUAAAACUAUUAAAAUAGCCCAAAUUGUUUAUGCAAUCUUAGCAAAUAAACAAAAUUUUAUAAAAUUGCAUAAUAAAUUAUUAUAAAGCUAUUUGUUUCCCACUUAAGUAACUAUUAUAUCACUUUAAUUCAAUUAAAAAAAAUUGAACAUAAAUUGUAGUGAACAAGUCUUUAAUAUAAUCCUCCCACAUAAUACAGACAAUCUCCUCACGUUGAACUUGCAUUUCUCGAUCAUGUGAUCGAGAAGACAAACCAGCAUUGUUACUUUGAGCCAUUUUUUGGUCAAUAUCAUCUCAACUAUAUUUUCAUCAUCAUAGACCAUAAAUAUUUCAUUACUCCUUUUCACAAAUAAUUAUGUAACACUGCACAACCUAUGACAAUUUUCACUUGUGUGUCAAUAUCAUAAUGAUUCAUGCCUUGUUUCAGUAUCUUGAAUCUAUUUUUCAAGCUCCAAAAGUCUGUGGGGUUGUUUUAACAAAAUAUAAACUUGUGAAUCAAUUUUUGUGUUGGUGUCAAUAUCAUAAUGAUUCAUGCCUUGUUUCAGUAUCUUGAAUCUAUUUUUCAAGCUCCAAAAGUCUGUGGGGUUGUUUUAACAAAAUAUAAACUUGUGAAUCAAUUUUUGUGUUGAAAAAAUCUCAAAUCAUGAUAUGGAAUUCCCAUAUAAUUCCAUAUCAUGAUUUUUGGUGAAUAUGGUAUUCCAUCAGCGUAAAAUCGCAUGUCUAAACGUUGAUUCCAUCUCACGAUUUCAUAACGUGAUAUGGUAUCGCAUGGCCAAAUGCCUACUUAUUAAUUGAGAGGGAGUUUGCGUUGCACGAGAUUUGUUUAUGUAUUUUAUAGAAAAAAAGGGUAAAAAAUAUCCUUUAAUUUUGAUUUACUAGUUGAUUAUGUCAUUACCGUUAAAAUGAAGUUAUCUCUGUCGUUAUUAAUUUCAUCAUUUAUGUCCUUCAAUUGGAUGGAAAUCCCAAAUCAUUUAAAAUUGCCUAAUUUAACUUAAAUUAUCCAAUUUUAACCCGACCCGACCCACCUAAUAAUAUAACCCAUUUUGUUCAUCUUCAUUUCUGUACCCUCCCCUUUUUCUCAAUUUCCUCCUCCACGCCGGAAAUCACGAAACCCCCUAUCUCUUCCGACCUCUUUCACCACCAUACAACACUCAACCAGUCACCGUAAACCACUUGGAUAUAAUGUAUUUUGCAAAUUAUAUCUAAUUUUUAUCUCAUAUAUUUCGGUAUCCUGAGAUACAUGUAGUUGGAUGCAUCAAAAUUUAGUAAGAUUCGUAAAUAAGCAAAUUAAAAUAUAUCUAACUAAUUAGCUCCUAAACUAGUGAGAUUUAUGUAAGUUUCUUAUUAUUUAAUUGUAUGCUUGAUUAUGAAUAUUAGUAUUAAAAUUUCACAUUUUUACUAAAUUGGCGGGAUUAACUAUCCAUAAAAAAGAUAUGAUAGCUAAUUCCAAGAAAUAUGAUCCCUGUCUAUCUCAUCUCACCAACCAAACAAUCCCAUAAUGUUUUACAACUGUUUUUAACCAAGAAAGAAGUAUUGAAUGCAUUCCCUCUAUUUGACUAACUAGUAUUAACUAAUACUCAUUUUAAGUUUACUUUAAAGAACCACUUUCAUAUAUGAAAUGGUUUAUUAUCUUGAUUUAUAAAGAUUAAAUUUUUUUGAUGUUUUACUUUGGUAAAUACAUAAGGGUUUUAAAAUAGUAAAUGGGAGGUGGGGCUUCUUAAAAGGUUGAAUCCAUCAAUAGCCUCUUAAGAUUGACCCGAAAUUUUCACUUAGACACCUUAAAUAAGUUUUAUUCAUUUUAAAUACCUAAUAUCAAGCUAUCAUAUUAUGUCACUUUAACACCAUUUUUUUUUACAAUCAACAAAAAUAAAUAUGUAAUAUGAGUUACACUGAAUAACAUGUAAAGUAUCAAAUUAAAUAAAAAUAUUUAUUAUUUGUCUCCAAAAUAAUUCUUAAAUAAUAAGUUUUGAGUAAAAAUAAAAAAAUCAAUUUGUAGGAUUUAUUAUUUAAUUUGGCUUCAACUAGAGUAAUUGGUAAAAUUAAUAAAUAUUACCUGAGAAUAUUGUCCAUUGUUCUUAAAGGACUCUUGAAACUUGACAUCAGGUGGAGAACCAUUCAUGAGAUUAUUGCACUAAUAAAAUUAAGUUGCAACACCUAAUUUUACUUACCAUAAUUAUUAAGAGUAAAAUUUACCUGCAUAUGAUGUAUAUACCAAUCUAAUAUAUACAUAUCAUGUGUUUGAAUUUAUGGUUCAUUUUAUCUAACCUUAAUUAAAUAAGAUUUGUUUUACUUCAUUUUAAUAAUUUAUAUUCACCAUUGAAUAUAAAUAACAGGCUAACAAUUCCAAAAAUUGAUAUUAAUGUGCUAGGAUCGCACGGAGUUAUCAUUAUCCCACAAGUAAAAUAUGUCAAUAAAGUACGAUCGAGAUUUAUACCACUAAUUAUUUUGGUACCAAUCAAGAAUGGAUCUUAAAAAUAAUGGCAAAUCACUAUUAUGCAAAAUGAUUUUUUUAGAUUAUUUUUUUUGACAAAUUAAUGAUUGAAGGAUAGGGUUUGCGUUAUAUGAUAUAUAAAACUUAGUUUUGAAUUUGAGUAAAUUGAGUGUUGAAACUCAAAGAAUAAUUGGGCAAAAUAAAAAAUAAAAAUUGCACUUCAAACACAUAUAACUGAGGUUUUAAUCAAUUUUUAUACACUUCAAUCAAUCAUAUGUACAUUAAAUAAAAAAUAAAAAUAAUGUUAAAUGAGCUUGUUAAAUUUAUUGUUAUUUUGAUAAAUUGAUGAUUUGAGUUUGUUUCAUACGAUUAUAAACCUUAUAAUUUAAAUUCAAACAUAUCUGAAUCAGAUUUGAGUAUUAAAUCAAUUGUUUGGAAGUAGAAACUAAUAAAUAAAGAACCUUGAUUUUUCUUAUUCAUAAUCACAUUAAUAUUACAUCGAGUGGAAUAUAAGCGAUAGAGCACCACAUUGCUACUUGCACUCUGUUUGGAUCAUUGUUAACCAUUGUAUUGUAUUAUAUUGUUACUAUACCUACAAUGUUUGUUUUGAUUGUUACUUAAACUGUAUUGUAUUGUACUGUUAAAUUUCGUUGUUACAUAACAAUGAAAACCCCUAUUUUAUGGAACAACCGAUUUGGUGUGUUCCCAUCGUUACUUAAUUUCUUUUUCCAAUUAUAUCUUUACAUAAUAUUUCAAAAUACUAUUUUACCCUUUACCUUAUAUUAUUUAAUUCUAGUCAAACCUCCUACCCUAGAAUAAUUAAGGAUAUUUUAGUAAAUUUAUAAAUCCUAUCCUAGAAUAAUUAAGGAUAUUUUAGUAAAUUUAUAAAUUACAAUACAGUAUGAUACAAUCAAACCAAACAAUUAAAAUGUUAUUAAACAACAACAAACAAUACGAUCUAGCCAAACAUUGUAUCUACCAUACAAUACAUUACAAUAGAGUACAAUACAAUACAAUAUAUUAUGAAACAAUGGGUAACAAUGAUCCAAACACAGUGUUAGUGGCAUGGGUUCAUUUGCACGUUUUUGUUACAUGAAUAAUAGUAUCUAUUGUCCUUCAAUGUGUGAGACAUAUAAUUAGUAUAGAGACUUGCUAUUUUAACAAAUAAUUAAAAGGUAAGGUUGGUAGACGUUAGCAGAGUAAAUUUCAUCCAAUUUUGUGUUCAUUACCUAAAGUCAUCAUGUAGGAGGUACGUUCAAAAUAAUUAUUCUUUUAAAAGUGAUCAUAUUUUAUCUUAAUCAAAUACAACUUUAACUCCAAUUUUAAAUUUUUGUAAAUAAUACUUCCUCCAUCCAUUUUUAGUUGUUAUGUUGCACUUUUCAAAAAUUAAUUUGAAUUAUUUUCAAAGUUAAAUAGAUUACAUUGAACAUAUUUUAAAUUAAAAAUUUAGAUAUUCAAAAACUAUACGAAAAGUACUAUAAAUUGCAAUUUUUUGCAUAUCAAUCUGAUAAAAAAAAUACAUCGUAAAAUAUUAGUCAAAGUUCUUAUCAUUUAACUCUAAAAAAGAAAACCAUGACAACUAAACAAAGAUGGAGUGAAUAUAAAUAUAUUUAAUUUAACAAACGAAUAAAGAUGAACUUAUAUGCUUUGAUUAUAAAAGUAGUCUAACAUUAUUUGUUUGUAAAAUUUGGAUGCAGUUAAACAUGGUUAUUAAAGAAUCACUUCGACUGUAAUUUAUUAAACGAAUGGCUUGUGAAUAUAUGAUUUGUUAAACACUUUAAUUUAUUAAAAAAAAAUUAUUAUUUUUCGAAAGAAGUACUUUUGAUCUUUUAACAACAAUGCGGCUUUUAUCCAUGGUUAUAGUUAGACGGUUUAGGUUCUCUAUAGAAAAGUUAAAUGUAUGGAACAAAUCAAAUUUAAAUUAAACCUAUUAUUUAGCGAUUGAGACGUAAAAAAUUUUUAUAUGUACAUUGUGAAUCACACAUACUCAAUGAUCCCGUAAAUCUUAAUGAUAAUUUGGAUAAAAGCCACCUAGCUGCUUAGAGGUUUAAUGAUAUAUUUUGGAUGCAUUUGAUAUUCUCUCUAAACACCUUAUCUCUAUUCCCACUUUCUAUAGUUUUCAUCUUCACCAUCCUACACUUUUACUAAUAUUCAUGAUAUGUCUUUUAAUAUUACUUGUUUAAAUUAUAUAGGGAAAAUGCAUAAGUACCCCCAACCUAUGCUCGAAAUCCCAGAGACACUUAUACUAUACUAAGGUCCUAUUACCCUCCCCCCCCCCUCCUAACUUAUUUUAUAAAUAAUUUUCUACCCCUUUUCGGCCUAUGUGGCACUAUCAACCAGAUAGCUUGAAAAAAUUGUCAACACGCGUUGGGCCCAGAAGAUAGUGCCACGUAGGCCAAAAAGGGGUAGAAAAUUAUUUAAUAUAUAUGAUGUAUGUAAUUUUUUAAAUUGUUCAAAGGGUAAAGGGUCAAAUAUGCCCCUAAACUAUUCAAAAAGGUCCAGUUAUACCCUCUGUUUAAAGUUUGGCUCACUCAUGCCCUCGUCGUCCAACUUUUCGUCUAAAUAUGCCCUUAUGGGCGUUAGUUGGCAUGCUGGACAUAUCCAGCUCAUUUUCCAUUUCUUUAACUACCACAUGGAAUUGCCAUGUCAUUUUGACUUUACCACAUGACAUUUAUAUAAAAAUGGAAAGGGAUCAAUUAUGCUCCUAAAAAAUUCGAACCCAUUAACACCUAAUCCGACCCAUAAAUCAACCCCCCCCCCCUCUUUUAAAUAAACUACCCGACCCGUUUUCAACAAUUUUGUUUAAAUUUUUAUUUUUUUCGGUAAAUCCUGAAAAUUAGUAAUUGAUAAUAAAAAAUAGGAAAAAUAUAAAAUUAACACCAAAAAUUCACAAAUAAAUAUUGUAACCUUAAAUUCAACAAUUUUUAAAAUUUUGUUUUUUUUUGGUACAUUCCAAAAAUGAGUAAUUGAUUAAUAAAAAAUAUGAAAAAUAUGAAAAAAAAAAAUAAAAUUAACGCCAAAAAAUCACAAAUAAAUAUUGUAACCUUAAAUUCAAAAAUUUCAACAAUUUUUUUUAAUUUUUAUUUUUUUUAAUAAAAUACUCAUUUUCGGAAUUUGUNNNNNNNNNNNNNNNNNNNNNNNNNNNNNNNNNNNNNNNNNNNNNNNNNNNNNNNNNNNNNNNNNNNNNNNNNNNNNNNNNNNNNNNNNNNNNNNNNNNNNNNNNNNNNNNNNNNNNNNNNNNNNNNNNNNNNNNNNNNNNNNNNNNNNNNNNNNNNNNNNNNNNNNNNNNNNNNNNNNNNNNNNNNNNNNNNNNNNNNNNNNNNNNNNNNNNNNNNNNNNNNNNNNNNNNNNNNNNNNNNNNNNNNNNNNNNNNNNNNNNNNNNNNNNNNNNNNNNNNNNNNNNNNNNNUAUUUUUUUCAUAUUUUUCCUAUUUUUUAUUAAUCAAUUACUAAUUUUCGAGAUUUAUCAAAAAAACAAAAAUUUAAACAAAAUUGUUGAAAACAAGUCGGGUAGUUUAUUUAAAAGGGGGGUUGAUUUAUGGGUCGGAUUAGGUGUUUAUGGGUUUGAAUUUUUUUAGGGGCAUAAUUGAUCCCUUUCCAUUUUUCAUAUAAAUGUCAUGUGGUAAAGUCAAAAUGGCAUGGCAAUUCCAUGUGACAUUUAAAGAAAUGAAAAAUGAGUUGGAUAUGUCCAGCAGACCAACUAACGCCCAUAAGGGCAGAUUUAGACGAAAAGUUGGAUGGCGAGGGCAUGAGUGAGCCAAACUUUAAACGGAGGGUAUAUCUAGACCUUUCCGAAUAGUUUAGGGGCAAUUUGACCCUUUACCCUUGUUCAAAAUACAAAUAAUUAGAAAACCACGCAAAUAUAUAUAUAUAUAUAUAUAUAUAUAAUACAUUCAAUUAAAAUCACAAACGUCAUAUACAAAUAAACGACUCACAUUUCAAAUUGUAUUGAUUUGUAUUGGAUUUAUUUAGUAACAAAACUCUCUCUAAAUAAUUUGUAAGCUAAUUUAUUUAAAUAAAUUUACUAGUACAAACAUAAAUCAUAAAAUCAAGAAAAUAAACAAAAUAAUUAAAAUAGAUUUGAGGGAUAUUUUUGUUCUUUACAUAGACUUAUCCCAUGGUAUUAUAUCCUAUAAUACCAUGUAGGAGGUAUAACUAAUCCAUGGAUUAGUUAUACAUAGGCUCAAAAUCCUACCAAAUAUAGUACUAAAUAAUACCUUACAUAAUACAUGGACUAUUUCUUCUAAUGUGGCCUACCAAACGACCCCUAAAAGGAUUACACAGCUAAAGACAUAAAAUUUACAUUAAAAAAUGCAAAUUCAUGAAGUUUGGGAGGUGGGGGUUAAUGUUUCAAUUAUUAAUUAAUUCUAUUUUAAUUCACUCAAUUUACUCCAUGCACUACAAAAAAUACGGGUUUUAGCAACACGUAAAACCGUGGCUAACACGACUUUGCCAUAGUCAUUUAGCCACCGUGGCUAUAACGGGUGCCACCAACAAAUUUGCCACGGUUUAGGCGACCGUGGUAACAUUUUGUUAGCCACGAUUUGAUGUGAAAAUAGUCACGGUUGAUCGUGGCGAAAUAUCACCAAUGAAAAUGUUCAUAAUAUAUAUUUACCAUGGUUGAACCGUGGCUAAAUACACUUUUUUAAUUAAAAAAAAAUUUCAAUUAUUUCCCAGCAAUACCCUGCAACCAAUGCAUUAUUUGAUAGGCAUCCACUAAUACACUGACCAUAAUACACAAAUCCUAUGCUCAAGAUGGUAUUUUUUAUUAACUGGACACAUAUCAAUUCAACGAGAAUCUAAGGUGCUUAUUGAAGGAACUAAAUAUACAUUGGCAUCCAUAAAUAUUUGAAGUGCCAAGGCAUAUGGUAUCUCUUUCAGGGUCUGUUUUCCUUCAUUUGCCUUAAGCUCAACAAUUCUCCUAAAAGAUUCGAAAGUAACGAUGCAAUAAGUUAGACCUCACAACAGUGAUAAACCUCAAUCAUACAACGCAUGUUAGAUUCCUUAUUUAUGCCAACAAUUAGAUAAACUAAUUUAAAUAGAUAGUUUUUUCCAAGGGAAACUCUUUAUUAACUGAAUAUGAUGUUUCAUUUGUCAUAUCCAAGUGGAUACAUGGAUUACAAAGAAAAUGGGAUUACAUAGGUCAAUCAAUGUUGAGGUGCCUCUUAAUUUAAAAAAUCAGCUGCAGCAGGAUGUAGACACACAUUUACAAAAUUGAAUAAUUGCACAUUAAAGGCAUAAAAUUUGUAGGCUAUCAUAUACGAUGAAAACAUAUGUCAAACGAACAAAGAAAUAUCAGCAAGAACCCAGUACAUACUCAACAAAUUCCACAGAGAAAUCCAAGAUCAACAGUUUGACAAAUGUCAAGAGGUAGUAUCAGAUAUACAUUUAGAAUAAAGGAGAAAAAAAGAUAUGAGUAGGCAUACAUCUUUAUUUUUUUUAAUAAGAUAGGCAUACAUCAAUUUUUCUCAAUUUGGACGGAGAGGGCACUUUCUGUUCUCAUCAGUCCCAUCAAAUGAGUGGAAGAUAUUGGUAAAAUCAUUCCGGAGGGCUGAAAUUUUAGUUAUGUUUAUUGUUAUCAAAGGUUAAAAGCACCAAAAGAAUAGUUGUUUUGUGAGAUGCCAAACAAUAUGCAACACAAUUGAUAAGCAUUGUACCUUGAAGAAAUCAUAUACAUGAUACUUGAACACCGAAUGAUAUGAUGAGUAACGAUCUGUAACAAAUUCUUUUAGCUGAAAUUAAGCUCCCAAGAACUACAAACCAGCAAAUAAAACAGAUUAGGAUUAUAGGAGAGCACACACAAUCAGUUCAUAUGUUAGAGACAUAACACAUAUUUUCAAAACAAGUAAGAUGAGAGAAUUACAAGUAAAACAAAGUGAAAAAAAGUUAAAUCCACCAAAUAUUUAGUGAAUAAGGAAAGCAACCUUGUAAUCAUAUGUGUUUUAGAUAAGCAUGAUUAGAGAAAUAUGCAAAAAAAAUUGAUAAUGUAUUUUUAGGAGAUUUAUUGCAGGCAUGAACCACAAUUGCAAUAACAUUGCAUUUCAAGGAAAAGUUUUGCUUAAAAUACCUUCAACCAACCUUUAACUAAAUGAUGGGAACAAGUAGAAGGAUGAUCUAGUCAUGAAACAAGAAUAAAAGAAAAGAGAGAAAAAUACUUUUAGAAUAACUAUAGAAUCGGCACUAUAAUAUACUACUCCCUCUGUUUUUAUUUUAUGUAACUUAGUUUGACGGGCCACAAAGUUAAAGGUGUGUAUAACAUAUCAAAAGUACCCUAUGAAUCUUAUGGUCUUAAAUAACCAGAAAGCUCUAGUGACCAAUUCUAAGAAUUGACAACAUCAAUGGUACUUAGAUAAUGUUCUUAGAGAUUAUACAUUUUCAAGGUGACUGCUAAAACAAAAUAUAAUCAUGAGGCAGAACACUAGAGCAAUCAAGUGGUAUACUCCCAAAUUCAUCUCAUUGUUUUAACAAGUAGAUUUGAUCAAAAGGCUCAAAUUUAAGCUUCAAAGUAUCCAACAAGAUGUUAAAUGCUAAGAACUUGUUUUCAUCUUCAUUUCCACAAACAUGAGCUCACACUUCACAGACAUACACAAACAAAAAAAAUGCAAUAUAAGUCCAUAGAGCCAAAUCAAAAUAAUCAUAUCUGGGCUAGAUUUCAUAUUUACUCAACUUGCUUAUUGAGAAGCAAUAUACUACGUGAAACAAAAUAAAAACAAAGAACUAUAAUCGAGGAUGAAACAUGGGAACAACAUGACACUUAACACAAAUGCAAUUCAAUAGUCGUACCAAUUCAAGAUAUUGUUGGAAAAUGGUCAUGCUGUGUAAAUACAGGGAAAAUGCUUCUCACUCAAUUCCUGUUAUAUUGUUAUAAGAUAUACACAUUUUUUUAUCCUUAUGUAUUCAAGUGUCACAUUGAUAAUUUACACUAUUGCAUCGUAGGAUGCAAUUCAUAUCAAAUGAGGAAACAAACCUAAACAAAUAUGUCCAGUGCUUAAAUGUGAGGAUGCGAUGGAGCUGGAGGGAUGAAAACAACCUAUCAAGUCAACAGAUAAAAUGCUAUACUGAAGAUAAAAUAAACUUUUAAAGAAAAGAAUACUAUAGAUAGGCAAGCUAAUGUUUUAUACGAUUAAAUCAUUCUAGACAUAAAACAAGAAGUUAGGUCAACGAAAAAACACAUAUAUAUUAAUGUAUUUCAUAAUUUUCUGAAGUGUUUCCCAAAAGACAAUCGUACAUUAUACAACCAAUACUAGUGGUGUCACCUACUCAAUAGACCGAGAAAUAUGAGGCUCUAAAACUCUUAAUUAUAUUCAAAGUCUUCCUAUACUUGGCAAGCUGAUUUUCAAUAAACAUUGAACAAUUAACAUUUAUUUACCUUAGUGGAGCUUGAGAAACCAAUCUCCUUUACGGUAUUUUUAGAGAAUCAUAACAGAGCUUCAGAACUGGACCCAAGUCAUAACAGAGCAAAAGUUGAAAAUUAACAAUCAAGAAACCUAAAUUAGUAAAAAUAUUCAAAAAAAAAAAACAUGCAGAAAUUUGAACAAUAAAACAUCAAAAGUUAUAGAAAUUUUAGAGAUUACAAAACAUUAAUUUUCUUUUGUAUUCAUGCAUGGGUUGGGGUGAAAGGGGGAAUUUGGGUUACCAAACAGUUUCUUUACUCGAGAUUUUUCAAAUUUUUGUACUAAAAAAACCUCAAAGAAACCAUUGAAUAUUGAACAAACUAUUGACUUGAAACUCCUGGAUAGCAAAGAUUUGUUACAUGAAAAAAGUGAAUUUACCAUUUCCGCUACUAUUCGAAGCAAGGCUACAAUAUUCUGCUAUUGUUCGAACCAUUCAAAAAAAUUUGGAGUGAAGCAAAUUAGUGUGAUUUUGGAUGAAGCUAAUUUUGGGUGAAGAAUUUUUUUGGGUAAAACAGAUUUGUGUGAUUUUGGAUGAAGUAGGAUUUUGGGUGAAGUAGAUUUGGGUGAUUCUCGAUGAAAAAAAGUUUUGGCUGAUUUUGGUUGAAAAGAAAUAGGGGCAAAUGAAAUAAAAAGUGAGGGAAUGAAAUUAUAUUACCUGCCUAAUUUGCCCACGUUAUUUUAGCAUCGUUCUCUUAUUCGUAGGAAACAUUAACACUUCCUAUUAAUUUUGCCACGGUUUUUAGAACUGUGGCUAAUAAACCGUAGCUAGAACUCAUUUUUUGGUAGUGAUGUAAGAGAGUUGCACUAAUUCGAGCUAAAUAGGUAGUCGAUCUAGAUUGACUCACGACUGGGCUGACUCUUACUUUAAAAUAAUUAAGGCAUAUGCCUUAGGUUCUUAAUUAGAGGUGUACAAAAUCGAACCAAAAACUGAAUCAAACCGCAAAUUGAGUCAAACCGGAAAAAAAACCCGACUAGUGGUUUGGUUUGAGUUGGUUUGGUAUUGGAAAAAAACAACCCGAUUAUAUUUGGGUUGGUUUGAUUUUAACUAAAAAAAACCAACCCGACAUUAUAUAUGCAAUUUUAAAAUUUUAUUUUAUACAUAAAAAUAUUUAUUUUGAUAUAAUUUUAAAAUAUUUCUUAUACUAUUUCAUAGUUUUUAUCUUUUAAUAUAUUAUUUCAAAUUUAAAACUUAGAAUUUGGAAUGGUCCAAUAGAGAUUAUAGUUGAUAGAUGUUAAUAAUUAUAAUAAAACUUAAAUCAAAAUCAAAUUAAUACUAAUGCAAAAAAUAAUCAAUUCAACACUAGAAUGACAAUAAUAUUGAAUAUUUGUUCUUUAGUUUUACAUUGGUUUAGACAAUUAAAUUACAUAAUCUAAUUUUAAUUUUACUUAAAUAUUCAGUAAUGUAACUAUUACUUAUUAAACUAAUUUUAGCAUGAUUUAGUACUUUUAAAUUAUGAUCAUUUUCAUUAUGACUUUGCAAUAUUUAUUUUAUAUGAUGAUUUCAUUAUUAUUUUUAUUGAAUAUUCGCAUCUCAUAUUUGUGUUAUUUUCUUAAGAAAUACCUUAGAUAAUUGUAUUUUGGUUGUACUAAAUAAAGAAAUAUUUGGAGCACAAGUUAAUUAUAUGUUUGUAUGCAAACUUUACCGAAAAAAAUCCAAAAAUCUGAAAAAAAUUCAAGGUUUAUUAGUUUGGUUUGAUUUAUAAAUUUAAAAAUUUGACACAAUGAUUUGGUUUGAUAUUUGGAAAACCCGAACGAACCCGAGGUUAAAAAACCCAAAAAAAUCUGAAUUUUAUUAGUUUGGUUUGGUUUAAAAAUUUAAAAAUUUUACAAAAAUGGUUUGGUUUGAUAUUUGAAAAACCCGAACCAACCCGGUCUUGUACACCCCUUCUCUUAAUUUUGGAGGGAUUAAUUUUUUACUAAGAAUAAAUGAUGUGCUAGUUUUUUUAUUUAUAGAAAAAUGAUAGUUAUUUUAUUCUCUUAACCCUAUAAAAAUAGAAGAAAUCAAGAAAAUGUUAACAUAACUACUAUAAAAACAACUUUUAGUGGAAAUGAAUAGAUCACAUUAAUAAAGAGUGCUAAAGUAUUUACCGGCAUUAGUUAAGUGUCAUUAGAUCCAAUGUCGCUAAAGACUUUAGGGACAUAUACAAAGAGUGCUAAUUGUCGCUAAAAAUACAUAUUUAGCGGCAAUUGAGCUAUUGCCGUUAGUUGCCACUAAAGAUCAUUUUUCAUGUAGUGUCCGUCCAACAAUAGUUAUCCAUUAUACUAUUUUGGAAUGUCAAACAAUACUUGUUCACUCUAUGAAAUCAAUGGAUAAUUUUACACUUAGUUACUAAUUUACCCUUAUCUUUAAUUAUAGUAAUUUUCUCUAUUACAUUUUUUAAGACACUAUAUUUAUUAUAUUCAAAGGGUGAUAUAGUAAAAUCAUCCUACUAUUUAUAGUUUCUUAAGAAGUGUACAAUGUCAGUAGUGGACAACUAUUAUUGGACAGGGAGAAUAAUAAUAUGUUUCAAACUUGUUUUACACAAAUUUAAAAAGCAUUUAUAUUUUUAAAAAAUAGGGUCUUUGGCUAGGGUGCUUCUCUGACUCAUAAUUAAUGGCAUACACAACAUUCAUAGCUAUGACAGUCUUCGGUCUUCCGCCCAAGUAACAUUUAGACUUACCAGGGUUGUGGUGCACUGGUAGGAGUGUUUCACCCUUAAUCAUAGGUCUUGGAUUCGAGCUUUGAGUAUAGAGAAAAUUUUGUUGAGAGCGUCACAUUCGAAUAGGCCCUGCAGAGCGCAAUCCAAAUUUAGUCGGAGGUGAAUUUCGAACAUCGAGUGAGAAAAAAAAACAUUUAGACUUAGUAAGAGUUGGAUGGACAGCUCGUUUCAUGGCCCAUAAUUUAGCUAUCUUAAACCCAAUUCAUUUCCUUCCGUCCAAGUAAUAUUUAGAUUGAAUCAUAAACUUAUUCAUUUAUCAUAUCAUUAUAAUUCAAUCCGUCCCCAUAUCUGACACCCACCCUUUAUUAUAUGGUUAAGCAUGAAAAUAUGUAUGGAUCACAAUUCACACAUAGAAACACAAAUUAAAUGUAUAUAUAGGAUAUGCAUGAUAAUUAAAGGAGAUGCAUAUUCGAACAUAGCUAGCUAGCUAGCUUGUUUUAUUCAUAACUCAUAAGCAUGCAUUAAUUAAAAUUACCUAGAGCCUGGAGACGCAUCCACUUUAAUUUAUUCCUUAACGAAGACAAUGGGAAGAGCUAGGGUUUUCACCGGAAGCCACGAGAGGAUAUAAUCCGUAAUCAAAAGUCAAGCUCACACAAUUAAGUUGAGGGGAAUCCGUACAAUACAUUAACUUGUAUGCAUUUUCCAAUUCUUGUUCCUCCGACGUCUCAUAUUUCAAAAUCAUUGUUUAGAGGCUUCAUAGACGGAUAGUUAUAGUUCUUUAGUCUUAUUCAUUUCAGAUAUUGUUUAAAAACUUGAGUUUGCCUUAUUGGCUAGUUGAAUGCUUUCUUAUUAACAUUCUUAAGUUAUAUGGGUUUAUCUCUGUUAAGUUAAACUGAGUAAGUAAGUCAGGCCAAGGAUUCGCUUGGGGUCAGCAAUGGUUAUCUAGUGCCAGUCCUGCCGCGUGACACAAACACAAAUUAAAUGUAUUGCAUAUGAUAAUUAAAGGACGUAUUCGAAGAUAGUAGCUUGUUUUAUUCAUAACUCAUAAGCAUACAUUAAUUAAAAUUACAUGGAGCGUGGAAACGCGAUUGAACGAUCCACAUUAAUUUAUUCCUUAAGGAAGACAACGGGAAGAGGGUUUUUACCGUCAGCCACCAGACGAUGUAAUCCAUUAUGAAAAGUCAAGCUGACAUGUUUACACAUUAUAAGUUGAGGGGGAUCCGGACAAUACAUUAACUUGUAUACAUUUUCCAAUUCUUGUACCUCAUGUUUCAUAAUCUUGAACAAGUAAUUGCUUUCAUUUCCUAUGGUACCACCAGUCACCACGAACUGAUCUUUAUCAUCACUAACUUUCCAAAUAGCUAGUUUCGUUAAAACACGGACUAGAUAGAUAUAUCAAGUGUUGAGAACAUGAUAUCAAUGUCAUCCGUUUCACGCACCACAUCAUCAUCAUUAUCAACCAUAAGAACGAAUUUCACGGGGGUGCCUUUUCCUAUCAAACCGGGAAUCGGUACGUGCUGCAACAUGGUGUUAGGGCAUUCAAGGUGUCCAAUAUUGGCCAAGUAUACGGAUCCGCCUCCAAUGAGAGGAUUAUGAAUAAUGUACUUUUCACCAAUGUACGUAGUGUGGUAGGCGGUCCAUGUCCAACACUUGAGGAGCUACAUCAUCAUCAUCAUCAUCAUUAAUAUUAUUAUUAUUAUGAGUAGUUGUGGGGAGGACAAUGGGAUUGUUGGAAGUGAAAGAUCGACAAAAGGCAACAAAGGGAAACAAAGAGAGUAAGAGGAAACUCAAAAUAUUAAUCAACUUCAUCUUUAAUUUGAGUGUGUUGUGUGUAUAUUUUGCUUACUCUAUCUCCAAUUUAUAGACCACCACAUGUAUGUAACAACAUUUUUGAGAAACAAAAAAUGCCUACCUUUUAGGUUAGGUUAGUGACAUGAUUUAUUAACUAGAUCUAAUUAUAAGUAGUAUAAAGACUUUCUAUUUUAACAAUGAAUUAAAAUAUAUAUAUAUAUUGUUAGAAAACAUAAGCAAUGUGGAGAAAUUUUCUGUGUAUUUCUUCAUGAAAAAAAUCACUGUGCAGCCUUCUAGUAUAUAUACAAAUUCUAUUCUAUCCUAAAUUGUGUGAACUAUGAAAUUAAUGCAAUAUGUAUUUACACUUGUCAUUUCAUUAUUGGUCUUCUUCUAACAAACUCCAAACGGCUGUCAUGUGCCAUACAUGUGCUAUGGUUGAGAAAUAUCUAGAAUUAUACAUUUGUACCAUACAGCUGGAUGGCUCUGAUUAAUUUGAUUCAAUAAGAGAUCUUUGCCCCUGAUGUUGCCACGCGUCCUUUAGACCUUUUUGUAUGCCUAUGUUGUUUUUGUCCGAAACUAGGAGAACUUUGAACAUUGUUUCCUUUCAUCAUCUCCUUAUUUUUACUUUUUCUGUAAACUCACCAUGGCCAUAAUCAUGAUGUUCUUGAUUAUCGACACCCCUUCAAGGUGAAGGGAAAGAAACGACACCCAACUUGGAAAGAAUCGAGAAGUGUGAAGGACCAGAGAGAGCCUUUGUGAACAGAUUAGCCAACUGAGCAGAGGAUGGAACAAAAGAUAGAGAGAUCAACCCGGAAAGGAAUUGUUGUCUCACGAAGUGGCAAUCAACCUCAACAUGCUUGGUUCGUUCGUGAAACAUCGAAUUUUUUGCAAUAUAAAUAGCAGCUUGGCUGUCAGAGUGAAGAGGCACAUGCAAUGAUGGAUAAAUGGAUAGAUCUACAAGAAGUCAGGUUAACCAGGUAAGUACCGCAAUAACUCUCCUCAUAGACCUGUAUUCUAAUUCAGCGGAAGAUAGUGAAAUAAAGGCUUGUUUCUUGGACUUCCAAGAAACUGGUGAGCCACCAAGGCUAAUAAAGAAACCACUAAUAGAUCUCCGACUAUCUCGACAAGAUGCCCAGUCAGCAUCACAUAAAGCAAUCAGGAAAAAUGAUGAUGUAGGAUUGAAGAACUGACCUUGGUCUGGAUUGAGUCGUAGAUAUCUCAACACUCGAAGUGCAGUAUCAAAAUGGCCCUGACACGGCUGUUGCAUAAAUUGACUAAGAGUGAUGACUAAGAAUGAAAGGUCUGGCCGUGUAUGUGUGAGAUAGUUCAAUUUAUCCACUAAUCUCCUGUAAAUGGAAGGAUCUGCAAGUAAAGGACAUGAUGAACUAGUGAGCUUAGAACAAGGGUCAAGUGGAGAGGAGACUGUAGGUAGAGAUGUGCAAUCAAAUUCUUGUAACAAAUCUAGUGUGAAUUUUCGCUAACCAAUAAUACAACCAUGUUCUCCUCUUAAAAUUUCCAUGCCAAGAAAAUAAUGAAGCUCCCCUAAGUCCUUGAUUUGGAAUUUAGAGUUGAGAAAAUCCUUCAUAGUGGCAGUUUCAAUAGGAUCAUCCCCGGUAAUCAAAAUAUCAUUAACGUAGACAACAAUAAUUGAAAUCAGAUCCCCUGUUUUGUUGAAAAACAAAGAAUAGUCAUUAAGAGAUAUUGUAUAUCCUUUAAAAGUCAGGGCUCCUGCAAGCUUGACAUGCCAUUGCCUUGAAGCUUGUUUGAGCCCAUAUAGUGACUUUUGAAGCUGGCAAACAUGAUUGGGACUGGGUGAUGCCAUUCCUGAAGGAAACUUCAUGUAGACUUCCUCUUGAAGGUCGCCAUGAAGAAAAGCAUUAUUAACAUCAAAUUGUGAAAUAGACCAACCUUUCUUGACUGCAAUGGCAAUGAGACACCUAAUGGUUGUCAUUUUGACAACUGGGGAAAAAGUCUCAGUGUAGUCUAUGCCUUUCCUUUGUAUGUCAUCUCUUUUCACAUGUCGUGCCUUAUAUCUUUCAAUUAAUCCAUCAGAAUGUUAUUUAAUUUUGUAUACCCAUUUGCAAGGUAAAGCCUUCUUGCCAGUAGGUAACAACAUGACCUUUCAUGUAUUGUUUUCUUCCAAAGCUAUAAUCUCUUUUUGCAUUGCAAACUGCCAAUUAGGAUCCAAACUAGCUUGUUUGAAACUAGUAGGUUCUGAGUAAGCACUAAUAGAACCAAGGAGAUAUUGAUUCUGUAAGGAUAAAGCUCCAAAAGAAAAAGUAGAUGAGUGCACAGGUUGUGCUAAACAAGUGUCUGAAAUGUUAGUGAGAAACACAUGAUUAUAGACAAAAUCAUUUAGAUAUGCAAGCCUCUUACUUUCCCUGUUAGAUUUUCGGAUAAUAGGUGUGGAAGGGGGUGGAGAUACAAGGAGAAAAGAAGGGGAAAAUGAAGCAUAUGAUUGAGGAGAUGUGCUAGAGGAGGAUGAAGGAAUAUGGAGGGUUGCAGAGUCAAUAGAGGAGUCAGGAGUGAAGGAAGAAAUAGGAAAAAUUGGCUCAGAAUCUGAUUGAAGAUUUGAGAAAGGGCAAAUGUGCUCACAAAAUUGAACAUCUCUAGAUAUAAAGAUCAUUUUAAAUGAUAUGUCAGGAAGUUAGUAUCCUUUUUGGCCCUGUGGGUAGCCCAAAAAUACACAAGCAAUAGCCCUGGGAUCAAACUUGUUUCGAUUACUGCGCAAAGUAGAGGCAUAACAUAGACAACCAAAAGCUUGCAAAAACUUAUAAUCAGGACAUUUCUGAAAAAGAAUCUCAUAAGGGGUUUUCCCAUGAAGUACUCUGGAAGGAAUUUGAUUAAUAAGAAAAGUAGCAGUCAAUAAACAAUCCCCCCCCCCCAGUAGCAUUUAGGAAGUUUGAAUUGAAAAAGUAAAGACUUUGCAAUUUCUAAUAAAUGUCUAUGUUUCCUCUCAACAACCCCAUUUUGUUGAAGUGUAGCAACACAAGAUGUUUGAUGAAUGAUCCCUUUUGACCUCAAAAAUUUUGCUUCAUGUACCCCUUUCCCCAAUUCUAGAGCGUUAUCGGAUCGAAGCUUUUUCACCUUAAGGUCAAAUUGUCUCUCAACCAUGGAUAAAAAAUGUUUCAAAACGGAGAAAGCAUUAAUCUUAGUAGUUAAUAAGUAUGUCCAAGUACCCCUACUAAAAUCAUCAACAAAAGUAAGAAAAUACUUAUAUCCAUGGUAAGUAAGAACUUUGAAAGGUCCCCAAGUGUCCAUAUGAACCAGUUCAAACACCCUUUUAGAAGAAACAUGACUAAUGGAAAAGGGUAAUCUGGUUUGUCUAGCAAGGGGACAUAUGUCACACACACAAGAAUAAUUAGAAGGAAAAGAAAUGAAACUGAAAUUUUUUAUAGCUGAAUAAGGCAAAUCGCCUAGUCUGGCAUGCCAAAGAGCUACAUCAGAAACAACACUAGCAGAAAAAGAAAAACAAAGAUGGACAUUUUUGGAAUCACUUCCUUCUAGUAAAGAAACUACAUUACAUAGAGAUUGAAUACUAGUACUAGAAAUGACAGAUUCUAAAAGAUAAAAAUCCUCUUUAGCUUCACCAAAAUCUUGUUUCAUCUUCAUUGAACGGUCCUGCAUGACACACUUUUCAGGAUUAAAUAAGAGAAAACAACCAAAUUGACUACAGAACCUAUGAACAGACAACAAACUAUAUCUGAAAGAAGGAACAAAAAGAACAUUUUGUAGAACAAGAGUAGGAAAAAUGGCUAUGUUGCCAGUGUGUGUGACCUUAAUCCUGUAAGAAUUAGGUAAAUUUAUAGUGACAGGUGCUGGAUGAGGGACAAGAUUGAGAAAGGAAGUAGGUUCAUAACAUAUGUCUUCAGAAGCCCCUGAGUCUAUGAUCCAAGUCUAAGAGUUAAAAACAGAGAAACAAGAAGUAGAAUAUUAAGUAAUAGUACCAGCCACAACAUUUGCAUUAAUCUCUGAGCUAGUACCAGCUCUAGAAGUGGUCUGUCCUUGUUUGAAAAUCUGUUUCAUAUGUGAAAUUUGACUCUUACUCAGGGAUUGCAGGAAAUGCUCAUCAGAAUCUUCAUAUCCAAUAGGUGAAUGCCCAUAACUAUCCUUAAUAAGUUCUCUAUUCCCAUUGAUAGGUGUUUGAAAUCCUUUAGUGAACUGAAAAUCUUCUUGGUACCCCAUCAAUCUAUAACAGUCAUCUUCUACAUGCCCAGUCUUUAGACAAUGAGUACAACUCACAUUAGGAUUGUAUUUCUUCCUUCUUACUUUUCUUGGAUUCUAAGGUGUAAAAUUCCUUUGAGGAUUUGCUGAAGGCCUUUGUCCCUGAGAUUGCCCACCAGAAUGUUGAAAUCAUCCUCCAGACCUUUGUGAAGACUGACCUGGGUGACCAGGCUUCUGCAUUUGGUUUCCAAGUUUCAUUUGGGAGUUGAAAUUCUUAGCCAUAAAUGAAGAGUUGUUAGGGGAAAAUUGUGGAUUAAUAUAAACUUCUCUCUGAUUGUCAUCCUGAAGCAAGAGAGAGUAAGCAUGGUUGAUUCCUGGCAAAGGAUUCAACAUGAGAAUAUUACCCCUUGCUUGAGCAUAAAGAUCAUUCAACCCCAUAAGAAAUUGAAUUAGCCGCUAAUCUUCAACAAAUUUAGUCAUCUUUUGCUUCCCUGUACACACACAAGGACAUGUACAACCAACAUGAGAGUUGAGAGAAUCCAACUCAUCCCACAGCCUUUUUAAUUUAGUGAAAUACCCUGCUAUAUCAUUGGAUCCUUGCACUAACCCAGUCAUUUCUUUUUGCAUGUGGUAUAAUUUAGCACCAUUCGACUAGCCAAAUCUCUGUUCUACAUCUGUCCAGAGGUCCUUGGCAGUCCUGGAGUAGAUGACAGAGUGAGCUAUAUCCAUGGAUAACGAGUUAAGUAGCCAAGAAGUUACCAUGGCAUUGCAUCUAUACCAAGAAGAAAAAGUGGGUGUUGUGUUCAAAGGCUCUACACAACUACCUUCAAUAAAACUCAGUUUGUUCUUAGCUGACAAAGCAAUUAGGGCAGAUCUCCUCCAUCCCUGGUAACCCCUCACAUCGAAGGUGCUAUUAACAAGAUUCAUACCUGGUACAUCUGAAGCAUGAAGAAAAGAGGAUUACUAAAAUAAAAAAUACUCCCUAUUGCUGUUUGACCUACAGCAAAUAGGAGCUAUAGCAGUAGGAAUGACCCAUUCUGUAUCCAUUAUUUAAAAAGGGGGGAUGAACACAGAAAUUUGUAUAAGAGCAAAAAAUUGUGGAUCUUAAUGCUCUAUACCAUGUUAGAAAACAUAAGCGAUGUGGAGAAAUUUUUUGUGUAUUUCUUCAUGAAAAAAUCACUGUACAUCCUUCUAGUAUAUAUACAAAUUCUAUUCUAUCCUAAAUUGUGUGAACUAUGAAAUUAAUGCAAUAUGUAUUUACACUUGUCAUUUCAUCAUUGGUCUUCUUCUAACAAACUCCAAAUGGUUGUCAUGUGCCAUACGUGUGCUAUGGUUGAGAAAUAUCUAGAAUUGUACAGUUGUACCAUACAGCUGGAUGGCUCUGAUUAAUUUGAUUCAAUAAGAGAUCUUUGCCCCUGAUGUUGCCACGCGUCCUUUGGACCUUUUGUAUGCCUAUGUUGAUUUUGUCCGAAACUAGGAGAACUUUGAACAUUGUUUCCUUUCAUCUCCUUCUUUUCUUUUUCUGUAAAAUCACCAUGGCCAUAAUCAUGAUGUUCUUGAUUCUCAACAUAUAUAUAUAUAUAUAUAUAUAUAGUAUAGCUAAAAGAUUUUGUUUUCAAAUAAUUUAUUAUGAUUAAAAAUUAAUUACUAUUGUUACACUAACUUUUAUUGCGUGACUAAAAUUUCCAAUAGGUCAUAGACUCAUAGACUAUAGUUGUGUGAAAGUCGCGACAGACAACUGUAUAUUCAGUUUUUAUUAUUUUCCUUGUUUUUUCUUGUAAAUUCUUAACUCAACCUAAAAAUGAAAAAUUAAAUAUUUCAUUGCAAAUCUAUAUAAAGUUCCCAGUUUUAUUUUCUCAACUUUUAUUGUAGUAAAGAAGUUGAGAAAUUAGCUUUGUUAUUUUAAUUUCUGUAGCUAAGAUAUUUUAUGAAUUUGGACCACAUAUUAAAUAUGAAUUUAAUUUUUUUAGCUAAGAAAAUUCAUAUAUAAAUAUUUACAGCCUAAUUUGGACACAGUUAUUCAGAGUAGCUCGUACAAAAACAUUGGAAUGUCUCUUUCGGAAUAUUGUAAUUAUGGCUCCAUGGACCACUUAAUAUCACAUAAAAUAAAUCAAUUGAAAUAGAUUCUAGUUUAUAUUUUUUAACUUACAAGUGAUAAGCCAAAAAUUAAGCUAAACACACCCUUUGUCUCUUAUUUUUCUUUUUUAAUUUGUCUAAAAACAAAUUAUUUUAUAUUUAAAUAUAAUUUAACUUUUAAAUUCUCAUAUAUAUUUAAUGAGAUAAUUUAUAAUGACAUAAAUAUUUAAUAUAAUAAUUUUGUACCAAAAAUUUCAUGAAUGAUCACCUAAAACACACCACCUACCGGAACUAAGACAUCCACACACGCAGUGGCGGAUGUAGAGUGUGUCCAGGGGGGUCAUCCGACCCCCCUCGAAAAAAAAUUACACUAUAUAUAUAAGAUUAAUUUUUUGUGUACGUGUAUAUAUUUAAAAUUGAACCCCCUGAGCAUAUGUCAAAGGAGUAGCUCAAUGGUUUAUGGGGUUCAGGAUUUCGCCUAUGUUUUAUUUGAACCCCCUCGAUAGAAUUCCUGCCUCCGCCACUGCACACACGAUAAAUAUAUAAAACUGGUAGAAUACCGACGUGGUAUAAUUCAAUCAAUCCACGUACAAAAUUUUAACCAGGGAGAUGUUUGGAUACUGUAGUGGAACAUCAAAAUAUAAUGCAAAUUAUUUUGUGGAUAUCUGAACUAAAACUAUGAUAUGGAUCAUUCUUUGAAAUUUGAUCACAUAUAAUCUAAUCUCGAUAAUUUGUCAGAAUUGGUUAUAAAUUUUUGAUAGAUUAUUAUAAUUUAUUGUGUGAAAAUUUCACCAGUAUGAUCAUGCUUCAACGUAAAUCUUCAAAAAUAAAUAGAUUUACUUUAUCUUUGAUCCUCAACAUUUAAAGCUCAUUAAAAUCAAACAAUGAUGCUCUUCAAUUUCUUCAACCAAUUGAAACCAAAUAAUGAGAAGGUGGAGAGGAAGACUCUAAAAAAUCGCCAGGAAUUUGAUCAUAAUCUUGACAAGUUGCUGGAAUUUGUUUGGUCCUUCGUUUCGUUGACACAAAGUUUAAAAAUAAAAAGAAAAUGUUUGAAUUUGUUGAUCUAAAAAAAUAUGUCGAAUGUAUUAAAAUGCCCUUUAAUCUUUGUUGUUUUAAACAUGUCACAUGGAAAAUUUUAAUUAAGGAUUUGUUGGAAAGGGUAAUUUUUUAAUAGACUAAAACAAAAAGUAGGUCAAACAAAUUAAAAUCGAGGAAAUAUAAAAUUUUGAUGGAUUGUUAUAAUUUGUUGUGUAAAAAUUUAACCAAUACAUUUUUUGUUUCAAAAUCGGUCCGAAUCAACUUCUAAUUACUCCAAAUUUGAUAUACAACCUUCUCAUAUAAAUCACAACAAAUUUUCAAUUAUUAGAUUCUUUGUAAACCUUCAAAAAUAAAUAGAUACCGUUGAUCUUCCACAAUUUUUCUUAAGCUCAAUAAGAUCCAACAAUUUUUUCAACCAAAUGAAACCAAAUCAUUAAGGAUAACAAUAUAAAUUCAAUGGAACAUUACAUAUAUAAUUCCAAUCACAAAUUAAUAAGCAACGAGAAGGAGAAGAAGAGAAAUAGGAGUUUCCUUGCAUUUCAUGAAGUUUGGGUGAGUUAUUUUGAUUCAAUUAAUUUAGUCUUUCUAAAAGUUGGAAUUAUUCGAGUUAAAUAUAUAAUCUAGAUUGACUUAUAAAUUUUUCCGUACCGAACACACCCUUUGUCUCUUAUUUUUCUUUUAAUUUGACUAUAAACUUAUAUUUUAUAUUUAAAUAUAAUUAAAUUUUAAAAUUUUCAUAUAUCUAUAAUGAGAUAAUUUAUAAUCACAUAAUUAUCUAAAUUUAUUAUUUCUGCACCAUAAAUUUAAAAAAUAUUACUCAAUUUUUUUUAUGUGUAAUCAACUACGAUAUAAAUUAUGACGAAAGGGGUAGCUUUUUAAACUCAAGCAUUUAUGGACCACAAUAUGCAAUGGUCGCCUAACAACAACACCUAUCUGAAUUAAGAUGUCUACAUAUUUAUUUAUUUGUAUUGUUAAGCAAUGACUCUUAGUUUUGAUGUUUUAGAUAGAAAAAUUGUAAACAUUUUGAAUUGGAUGUGAAUUAUUAAUUUCAUACUCAAAUUAUUGAUAGCCUUAAAAAUAUUCAUCUACUUAACUAACUGAACCUAAAAACACCCUUUCAUCCUAUAAACAUACAUGUACGCGUACGUACAUUGGAGCCUCGAUUAAAUCUGGAUCGCCCACCGUAGGGCCAUUUGGGGAUAGCGCUCCCAACAAAAAUUUCUCCAUAUCCAGAGCUCGAACCCAAGAUCUCUGAUUAAGGGUGAAACAGUCUCACCACUGUACCACAACCCAUGUUGGUGGUAGGUUGGGUGAAUUAAUGAGCCCUUAUGUUAAUUUAGUUUAUUUUGAUCUAUUUUAUUUAAAAUUUAGCAAGGAUCGAACAAAUUACCUUUCUAAAUUAUGCAAAAAUUAAUACAAAAAAAUCAAUCACUAUGUUUCUAUUUUUAAAAUAAAAUAAAAUUAUACCACUAAACAAAGUGUCUAUCAAUUUUUUAUUAAAAUAAAAAACUUCAAUAGACAAGUAUUGCCUUUGCCCUUAAUUUGCUAUUAUAAUAUUGUUACCGGAGAAGAUGCAGAUAAGAAAAUUUAUUCCGGCGACCUUAGAGCCCUUACAAAAAGUAGCCAUUGUUUUUAGGGAAAAUUGUAUAUAAUAGCAAACUAUUAAUUCAAAUUAAAUGCUAUAAAUAUACUUUGAUUUAAUUGUACCCUAUAGCAAAUUAUUGCUAUUUUCGCCACUCUCCCUGGUGGAAUCUCGCUCGCCACUCUCGUUUGGCAGUAGUCUUGCUCGCCUCUUUCGCUUUUAUACAAAUACAAAUAUAUAAAAUGUGUUUGUGUUUUAUAAAGCGAGAGAAAAUUGUAUAUAUACAUAUAUUUUUGUUCCCCUCUCUCAGAUCUCGCUUGCCACUCUCCCAAAUCUCGCUCGCCACCCUCGCCUCUCUCGCUUAUACAAACAGAAACGAAAUGUAUAAAUUGCGCUUCUAUUUAUAUAAAGCGAGAGAAAAUUGUAUAUACACAUGCAAUUACAUAUAUCUUCGUCCUAUACACUUAUAAUUAUACAAUACAAAUAUUUCCCUGCCCAGUUUUCUUUUGCCUUUUUCUCUUUCUCGUUUUAUACAUACACAGAUUAUACAAUUGAUCUUUUGUAUACAACUGCUUUCUUUUGUAUAUGUAUAGCGAAUUAUACAACUGCCUUCUUUGUAUAUGUAUAACAAAUUAUACAACUGUUUUUUUGUAUAUGUAUAGCGAAUUAUACAUUUAUAUGUUUGCUAUGGAGCGAAAUUAUGCAAACUUUGCUAUAACAUACAAAUAUGAAUUUUAUGUUUCCUACGUGAAAGUUGCUCUUGUUUUUAUGGAUAAAUCUAUCUCUAUUUUGCUUGCUAUUAAUGAUUAGUCUAUCUCCAAUUUAUACAGCUGCUAAGGGCAUUUUUGACAAACAAAAAAUAGCUACCGACCGCCACCUUUUAGGUUAGUGACAUUAUUUCAUUUAUAAAUUAUAAUGAUUUAAAGAAAAUAAGUACUCUAGUAUAAAGCAUGUAUUUGGCUUAAUUAAUUCUCUUAAAAUUAUCCCCUUAAUUUAUCUAGACAUUUAAAUUCAGACUUGUACCUAUUGAACACUUCUAUUCUUUUAAAUUUGAGCCAUUCUAACAUUUUUUUAACAAUCAACUAAAAAUAUAAGAAAGAGUGAAAUGUACUAGCGGUGACAUGACAAUUUGACAAAUUAAAUAAGUAAAAUUUACAUAAAUCUCAUAGUGUUAAGAACUAAUUAUAUCAUAUCUCUACUCUUUUUCAAAUUACAAAAAUCAUUUAAAUUUAUAGGAUCUUGGAUAUAUUUGAAAAUAUGUAAAUACAUAGUUCAUGGAUUGCGAAUGAUACAUUACUUAAUGGAAGGGAUGUAUUCGAAGGGGAGGGAUGUAUUCGAGAGGGGAUAGGAUGUAUAUGAGAGGGGAUUGAUAUUAGUAAAAAAGUUGAAAAAUUUACAUUGUCAAUUUAAUUUUUGUAGUUAGUACUAGAUAUUAGCCAUGACUAGCUUUUAAAUUCAUAGCUAAAAUUUCCUAAUUUAAUGUCUGAUUUAAAAGUAAAAAUUUAAAAUAAGCCAAUUCAAACAAAAUCUGUACUUACCAAAAAAAAAAAAAUCCAAGCAUUCCAUUCUAGGCGAUAAGAAAAAGGGAACAAGAACACUAUGUCUGCGACUGAUCAACAACAAUUCAGUAAGCCACACGUCCAAACACUAAAGGCAUACUCAAAAACAUAGGAAAAAGUACUUAUAGAGGUUUCUAACAUUAUUCAAUUUGGAGGGCUUGUUUAUGGAUUCUAUUGUGAUUAUUCUACUGUGUUGUAUUAGUCUCCUUGGAUGUUCAUUUUGCUAGAAUAAUCUGAAAGCCACUCGCCUUAAUAUAUUAACAACCACACGCCUUCGCCUUUGUGUAAUAGCCAGACACCUUAAUGUAAGCCAGAGAUCACAAACACAAAACGAUACAUUUAUGAAUCUCAAAUCACUUGGAAAUCACAUGUAAUACCUAAAUAUUGAUUAGUUCUUCAAGUGUAUUUUCUGUUUUUUCUUCCGGUUAAUGUGUAAAUGUAAUGAACAUAACGAAAAAUAAACUAUAGGGUUAAAUUAUCAACGACAAUGGGUAAUAAAACACGAUAGAAACAGAGGAGUGGAGGGGAGCGACGAACCAACCUGAAAGUUUCUUUGUUCUUGGACGUAGUUGCUGCGAUUCAAUUAUAGAUGCUGGAACCACACGCCUUAAUAUAACCUUAAUAUAUAUUAACAGAGGAAUCGAUAAUCAAUUACAUUCAAAAUAGUAGCAGCCAGAGAUCACAAACAUAAAAAUGAUACUUUUAGGAAUCUCAAAUAACUUGGAAAUCACAGAUAAUACCUAAAUAUUGAUCAGUUUAUCAAGUGUAUUUUUUGUUUUUCUUCCAAUUAAUGCAUAAAUAUAAUGAACAUAAUGGAAAAUAGGUUAAGUUCUCAACGACAGAGCAACAGGGGUAAUAAAACAUGAUAGAAAUAGAGGAGUGGAAGAGCGACGAACCAACCUGAAAGUUUCGUUGUUCUUGGAUGUAGUUACUGCGAUUGAAUUAUAGCUGCUGGAAGUAGUUCUUCGAUUCAAUAUAUGUUGCUGGAAGGUCUCUGCUGCUAACGAAUGAAUAUAUGUUGCUUGACGUUGCAGCUCUAAUCGAUUUAGGAUGAUGAAUCCUAAUGUGUGUGGAAGAUCUUUUUAGGAAUACUUUCCUUAUUAGAAGCAUAUAGAGGGUUUUUUUGUUACUAAUGUUUUCCUUAUUGACCAGGAGUUCUUUUUUUCCAGAAAUAAGAGAAUCGCGGGAAAAAAUAUUAAAGGGAAAGCAGGAGUUCUAAUUUUCAGAAAAAGAAGAAGAAGAAGGCUUUUAGUGACUAUUUUUAGAAUUGCUUCUAAAAGUGUACAUAUUGCAUUAAACAUUAGCCGUUAAUAUUUUGCCUCACAUGAAUAUAUUAGCGGCAAUUUGCUUAUUGCCGCAAACCAAUUGUCGCUAAAGUUCAUUUUUGUAGUAGUGUAUUUUUCAACACAUUGAGUUGCUAUCUACAGUUUUACAGCUUUCCAUAUAUUGCAUCUUUUAUUGUUGCUUUAUUCUUGAGUAUCUUGAGUUGAACUGUGCUUCAUCGAGUCGAGUACAUUAUUGUUGAGUUGAGCCUUAUUUCACUGAGUUGAAUAUCUUAUCCCUUGAGUUGAGUAUCAUAUUCUUGAGUUGAGUCGAGUAAGUGAGUUGAGAAGAGGGAAGUAUGUUUCAUUUUUAUUAAGUUCAAGCUUGUGUUUAUGCUUUAGAAUUUCCCUUACAUGCUCGUACAUUUCACGUACUAAGCCAUUUGGCCUGCAUCCUUUCAUGAUGCAGACACAUUUAUAUUCAGGGUCAUCAACAGUGUCACAACCCGAGCCUACACCCUGGACGUGGCCGGCACUCGAGAACCAUUGCUGGUCCCCAAACAAACUCUCAUCCUGGCUGACUACAAGCGAAAAACUGAUUCAAGCAUACAAAGCUUAAAAACUGAAUAAAAUCAAUAACUCAAAUACAAAGCUUUAACUCAAAAUAAAACUCUGAAUAAAAAUAAGAUAUUCAACUCGCCAAAAAAUAGGCAACUUAAGUCUUUAAAAUAUUUAAUAAAAUAAAUGAAUAAUACAGACUUCUCAACUAUACUGACUAUCUAUGAAGCCUCUAACUGAUAAAAAUGGAAGUCGGGACAAGACCCACGACAUCCUGACUAAACUGAAAAGUAAAUGAAAUUCUCCGAAAACAAUGAGGCUCACCAUAGAUAACUCGAACUCCUGGAUGUAUCAACGAAUCUUCUGUUGAUGAUCCUGAAUACCUGUGUCUGCAUCAUGAGAAGAUGCAGGCCAAAUGGCUCAGUAUGUGGAAUGUACGAGCAUGUAAGGGGUAUUCUAAAACAUAAACAUAAGCUUGAAACUUGAUAAAAAGGAAACAUACUUACCUCUUCUCAAACUUACUCAACUCAAGGUAUACUCAAGGAUACUCAAAACUACUCAACUUACUCAAUUCAUAAGUAUUCAAGGAUAAGAUACUCAACUCAGAGAUUAGAUACUCAACUCAAAGAUAUGAUAUUUGACUCAGGUACUCAACUCAAUAUAAAACAACAAUACACAUGCAAUAUAUGGAAAACUUUAUAAAAACAGUAAAACAACUUAGUUCGUUAAAGAAAAUGCAAUAACAAACUCAAUUUUACUUAUAUAAUAAAGAAAUAUAGUUUAUGUGGGAGUUUCUCUAACUGACAACUAUCACUUUAAGAGCUAUAGUGAUGAUACAACACUUUUACCUCACGCUGCCAAGGACCAUUCUAUACCUUGCCAUCAGUAUAGGGACCUAACUUAACUUAGUGGAUCCACUAGUCUAUGCGAAAAGGAUUCAUCUAAAAAGUAUUACCCUUUUCUACCUAUGAUGGCUACAUGGUUUUCAUCAAGACUUGAGUUAAUAGGAAACUCGCAUCCCCAUAUCGGUGCUCAAUACUACUCUCACAAUAUAACUAGCUCAUAUGUUUAGAAACAUAACUCUUUCUGUGUUUUGAGAUUAUUACUCAAANNNNNNNNNNNNNNNNNNNNNNNNNNNNNNNNNNNNNNNNNNNNNNNNNNNNNNNNNNNNNNNNNNNNNNNNNNNNNNNNNNNNNNNNNNNNNNNNNNNNNNNNNNNNNNNNNNNNNNNNNNNNNNNNNNNNNNNNNNNNNNNNNNNNNNNNNNNNNNNNNNNNNNNNNNNNNNNNNNNNNNNNNNNNNNNNNNNNNNNNNNNNNNNNNNNNNNNNNNNNNNNNNNNNNNNNNNNNNNNNNNNNNNNNNNNNNNNNNNNNNNNNNNNNNNNNNNNNNNNNNNNNNNNNNNNNNNNNNNNNNNNNNNNNNNNNNNNNNNNNNNNNNNNNNNNNNNNNNNNNNNNNNNNNNNNNNNNNNNNNNNNNNNNNNNNNNNNNNNNNNNNNNNNNNNNNNNNNNNNNNNNNNNNNNNNNNNNNNNNNNNNNNNNNNNNNNNNNNNNNNNNNNNNNNNNNNNNNNNNNNNNNNNNNNNNNNNNNNNNNNNNNNNNNNNNNNNNNNNNNNNNNNNNNNNNNNNNNNNNNNNNNNNNNNUUCAUGGGUAAUAGGUAAUAGUCCCAUGAUUAGGAUUAUAAUCUCGGAAGGGUUAGAAACUCAAUACUUAAGACUUAGGACAUGGGGACAUUAAUCCUCUCAUAGAUACUAAACUUAUGGAGUUCAUGCGGAAUUUAUGGGCAUGAACGACUUGACUCGUAGGUCUACANNNNNNNNNNNNNNNNNNNGUAUACAACUCUUCUCAUUCUCAUACUUACUUUCUCAAAAUUUAGUUCAAAUCAAUAGUUGAUCUCAAAUGGUUCACAACCGAACUCAAAGGCUUUCUUGAACUCUACUCUUAACUCGAUCUCUUAAAUGUGAAUUAUGAAUUCAAGAGUUAUGGUUCAUGCUAUGAAAGAUUUCAUGAUGACAAAGUAUACUCAUGAAUACAUUCUCCUCACUCUCAUGCUCACUUACUCGAAUCUUGAAACAAGUUACUAGAAGUUGUAGAAGACUCCACAAAAGGACUCAAAGGGACUUUCUUAGAAUGUUUUAAAAAAAUCUCAAAACUUAACUCUUAGCUCUACCUUGAAUUUGAAUUAUGAAUUCAAGGUUAUGAUCAUGUUAUGAAUGAUUUCUAGGUGUGUAGAAGUAGUUUAAAGUGUUUAGAAUCAAAGGGGAGUAAAGGUACCCUUUGAAAUAACUCAAACGGACGAAACGAUGGACAACGGGUGGGGGCAGGCGACCCUGGUGCUCUGAGUGGCGUGGGGUGCCAGCCCCUAAAGUUCAGAGAGGUGGUUGGGGCGCUCUGCUUGGCGUGACACGCCAGGCCCCAACCCAUAAAACUUUGACGACUUUCCAUGCUCGUUUUCUCACCCUAACUCGCCUAAAAUUGAACGAUUUCCUCCCCAAACACUUGGAUUUGAUUACUUAACAUUAUUACACUCUCAUAUACUCAAAAAAACACUCAAAUUACUAAAUUUCAUCUGAAGAAAUCAUCAAAACCCCAACACAACAAUAUUUAGAAUGAACUUUAAGAACACUUAUCAAGAACUCAUCAAAAACUCUAAUCUGUCAACUUUAAGAAUGAAAUUUGCGCUGAAAAUAACAUGAUUGGCAUGUGGGUGAACUAACCCAACACUAUGGAAGCUUACAUACCUCUUAGGGAUCAAACCCAUGGCGAAAAUCCGCUACAACACGCAAGAAUCUCGACGAACGCUUGAUCCUCUCCUCUUUUCUCCUCUUCUCUCUUCUUUUCUCUUCUUGAACUCUCAACUAAAAUCCUAGGCUAAUUUUAGGAUUAUAAAACUGAACCUAAUAGGAUUAGACCCUUAAAAUAUUACUAAAAAUGAAUUAAAUCAGAGUUGGUAAGGAAAAGACCAAAAUACCCUUCUCUAUUUUCGGCUAACUUUCCUUAACUAAAUAGCCUAUCUUCAAAAGGUCAUAUCUCACUCAUCCGACCUCAAAACUUAGCAAACUCGGCUGUGUUGGAAAGAUAAUUCAAAGAUCUUUCCUACGGUAUCUAGUUGAACACAUAAAUCAUCCUGAGAUAGGAGUUAUGAUCGUUUGAAGUCGACCCAAAACUCAUACUUAGCUUAACUUGCAAAAUUUCAGAUUUUUCUAUUUCCAAUUUAAUUCUUUUUGGAACUCAAGGUGCUACAUCUAGUGACCUUAACACUUAAGAAAUUUUAAUUCCUCGGUAAAAUCCUACUCACAACGAAGGAUGGUUUCAAGUCUCAGUUCGAAAAAAAUUCUGGGGUAUUACAAUAUCUCCCCCUUGGGAUCAUUCGUCCUCGAAUAACGACUGGACUGUGUAUGGAAUGGGUUACUCUUACUAAGGUCUGCGUCUAAUGCUAGGCAUUUGCAUUUGGUUUAAUUGAUAUGAGCCGACUGUUAGCUUAGGAAUUUCCCUCCAGUCAUGAUACAUAUGAGCUUCGUUAGAAUUAACGUGUUUAGCUAAUGCAUCUGCAAUUUGAUUAACUUCUCUAUGACAAUGAUUUACUUCAAAAUUCAUCUUCGCAACAACUUGUAAGAUGUCUUCCACAACACCUUUGAUCUUCAAUUGACGCUUGUCCAUUCCUUACCAUAUCAACCACCAUUUUUUAGUCUAAUUCAAGAUAGCAAUCGUGAAAUCCUUGUUGUGGAUGAUGAUAUCUAAAUAUAGAUACCCUUAAUUACAUCAAGCACGUUGCCAUAAAAUAAACAUAAAGUAAGUAUUGUACACCAAAUAAAAAAAUAUUCAGCGCAAGUAGAAUCCAAAAUGGCUUAUUUUGGCUUGACACGGAGUUUAAAAAAAUAUUUGAAUCAUGUGAUCUAAAAAAAAGAUAUGUCGAAUCAUGAAUGUAUCAAAAUGACCUUUUAAUUUUGUGGUCUUAAAAUGUCAUGUAGAAAGUUGAAAUUAAAGAAUUGCUAAAAAGGAAAAAGGUCAUGUUUAUUUUAAAUGAAUUAAAAAAGAAAAUAGCUCAAAUAAAUUGAAACAUAGAGAAUAUAAAAUUUUGACGGAUUGUUGUAAUUUGUUGUGUAAAAAUUUAACCAAUACGUUUUUUGUUUCCAAGUUGGUCCAAAAUCCAAAUCAACUUCGAAUUGCUCCGAAAUUUGAUAUGCAACCUUCUCAUAUAAAUCACAACAACUCUUCAAUUAUUAGAUUCAAUCUAAAUCUUCAAAAAUACAUAAAUGUCUUCAAUAUUCAACAAAACAAAUUGUUAGAGUUAUCUUAUCAAUAAUAUAAUUCAUUACUAUUUAGUAUCUAAACUCUUAGCUCGUCUCAUCCCAAUAUUACUUUGGGCAGAUCAUUUUCCUACUCGAUCAUCUAAACUCCUAGGUUUUUUUCCCUUAUAUAUAUGAUGAUGCGAUCUCCUUUUGUAUUACUAUUAAUUUUGUAACAAGUAACUAUAUCGAGACGAUUGGUUAACAACAAAAACAAAAGUAACCCAAACUUAAAAAGAAACCACAAACUGAAGAAAUUUAUGUAUUUUUGAAUGAAGAAGGUAAGGUAAGGUAAUAGGCUAAUUGCUAGCUUGUUUAUUUAUUGAUAAGCAUACAUUAAUUUACAUGGAGCGAUAGAAGGAUAUAUCCACUUUAUUUAGAAAGCUGCAAGCUAGCCAGCUAAUUAGCAUUCUACGCCUUGAUGAACACAAAUGGAAUAAAGUCCUUAUCGUCAUCGACAGUCACCAGACGAGGAUAUCCAUUUUUAAAGUUGCCGCCGAUAUUUUUGCACUGAAGAUGAGAGGGACAAUGCAGUAACUUGUAUACAUUUUUGGAACUUCCUGGUGUCACCAAGUCAAUUUUCCUAAUCUUGAAGAUGUCGUUUUCAUUUCCUACCUUACCACCAGUUACCACCAACUGUUCAUCAUCAACUUUCCAAACAGUUUGGUCAACACACAACUUUGUUGUUUUAACAAAGAACUUGAUAUAAACAGCAGUCAUUUGACGCACCACAUCACCAUAAUCCGACUCCGACUUACGAACGAAUACGACGGGCGUGCCUUUUCCCAAAAAUUGGGGAAUUGACAUGUGCUGCAACACGGCGUUUGGGCAUUGAAGGUUUCCAAUAUUGUACAAGUAUACGGCUCCGGCCCCGAUGAGAGGAUUGUUAAUAAUGUACCUCUCGCCAAUCCUCAGCGGAUCGCCGUCUUGGUCAUAAACUUCAGGGAGUACAAGAUUAUCAUCAUCAUGACAAGUUGUGGGGAGGACAAUUGGAUUCUCAGAAGUGAAAGAUCGAGCAAAGGCAACCAAAGAGAGGGUACUUGAAAGCAAGAGGAAACUCAAAAUAUUAAUCGACUUCAUCUUUC
rnacentral:lncRNA from 1 species